GAUCAUGGAGUUGCUAAGCUUGGAUGGGGCUAUCUUUAUUUGAUGCCUUGAUCUUCAUCUUUCUAUUUGUGUAUUGAUAUUGCUUGAUUCUAAAGUCCAAGGGAAAUUUGGGUUUCUAUAUGACAUUCUUGUCUAUUGGAUUGCAGCCCAUUGGUUAGAUAUUUUCAACUCUUAACUUUUAAAUUUGUGCUUAGGAUUAGUAUCUUCAUCUCUCCCCCAUUUAUUUAAUUUCAAAUCUCUCUCUACUUUCAAAAAUCUUCUUUGCUAGUGUUUGUUUUCUAAACUUAUACCAUUUUGCAAAUUAGAAACUUUGGCCUUAUGCCAUUGCAUUUUUAAAACUCUUUUCUUUGUCAAAUUUGUAAAUGAACUUAACUAUACUUGACUUAAAAUUUCAAAAGCGAAAAAGAACUAACACUCAUUCCAACCAUUUUUAGGCCUCUUGUGCCUUUGUUAAACUUAAAUUUUGUUAAAAGAAAUCCACUCACUUUGAAAUUGAUACCACAAACUACGAGGUUUUGAUCCCUCAUUUUAUGUUGGUACGUAGGCAUAAGUCUGAAGGUCUUAUCAAACACAAAAAUACAAUUAAUGAAUUAUUUUCUCAUCCCCCCACUCUAUUUAUUGCAAACAUCAUUUGGUACAAAAACACAUAUGCACACAAGAAAGGGCUCCCUAGGAGUACCUAGGACACUUUGGGUGCUAACACCUUCCCUCUGUGUAACCAACCCCCUUACCUGUAAUCUCUGGCAUUUUAUUAGUUUUGAUAGGGUGCUAACACCUUCCCUCUGUGUAACCAACCCCCUUACCUGUAAUCUCUGGCAUUUUAUUAGUUUUGAUUUGAAAAUUUCUUAUUUUUGGGUUUUGUUCGUACUUUUCCCUUUUCCCUUGGAAACGAUAAAAGCGCGAUGGCGACUCUGGUUUUAUUGACGUCUAGCUUAUCUAUAGCUUGAUGGUCAUGAAUUUACCGCCAUAGAAAUUAAGUGGCGACUCUACUGGGGAGUAGUCUCCAGUGGGUUUAGCCUACUUUUUCGUGUGUAUAUAAUUGUAUAUUUUGAUGUAUGUAUAUUUGUUUGUGUGAUAUAAUGUACUUGUUGUGCUUGGUGAUCUCUGAGUGGUGAAAUAAGUUCUAACAUGGACUUGAGUGAAAUUACGAUAAGAGGAUGGUAUAGUCAUGUUCGACUUGUGUGGAGUAGUCCUUAACAAGUUGGAUUGAGACCCAUCUACUCAGUGGAUACCCUUUUGGAGUUAUGAAUGUUACACAAGUUAUUUGUGGUUAGGCAUUACUUCCUCUGAUUUGGGGUCCGAGAAGUUGAGGACCGUAGAACAUUUAACCCAUCUUGGCCUAUUUAAGACGUAGUGCGGAGACUGUUCAAAUGUAGACUUGAUAAUAGUUGUCACGCGAUACUACACUCAGACGAGUUUCUCUUGAGAUAUUAUGGGUUGAUGAGUCAGUCAUCCUAACUUGUAAUAUCCGAUAGAUGGAAUUAAGACUCUGGGAACUUUUUAGAACAUGAUCUACAGGUUCUUAUCCUUAGUACACUCCUUUGGGAUGGUUCUUACCCAGACUCCAUGCUCGUGACUCACAACAAACCCUUUGAUUCUUGGUUGAUCCAAUCAAGUCUUGUCAAUAUCAAUGGAACUUAGGUGUUGAUAAGGCGAAAAACAUAAUCCACUAAAAUGGAUGAUUGAUCUUGACAAUGCCUUGAUUCAUCCCUUGACCUUUGUUUGGUUUCCUUGUGUGUGAUCCCUUAUUUGUGAUUGUUGCAUUCAUGCAUUCAUGCGCAUCAUAACAUUCAUCACACGAAAAAUAAUUUCAAGAAACUGAGGUCUUAUUUGUAACUAUUUUCAGACCAUGGAUUGUGGACGUAGGAACACUAAGAAGUACAGUUUUAGAAGUCCGGAUUUGAAAGAGUUAAGGAAGGUAUCAUCUUUUGUAUUAGGUCUCUUGGACUUCAAGCUACGUCAUGGGAAGCUUCUAUCUAUUUUGUGUGCUGAUGUGGUUGAAGGAAUUUUGAGUGUGUUGGUUCAGUUAUAUGACCCUCUCUACCGUUGCUUCACUUUUCCUGAUUAUCAGCUUGUGUCUACGUUGGAGGAGUAUUCCCGUCUGUUGGGAAUACUUGUUUCUGACAUAGUGCCUUUUAGUGGAUUGGAAGAGAUUCCCAGAUCUCAUCUUAUAGCUGAAGCUCUUCAUCUGAAGAAGUCUGAGAUAGAGGCUCAUUGGGUGAAGAAAGUAGGAUUAUUUGGGUUGACUUCUGAUUUCCUCAUCAAGGAAGCUACUGCCUUUGCUCAAGCCGGUAGUGUGGACGCUUUUGAAACCAUCUUUGUGCUGCUCAUCUAUGGAUUAGCUUUGUUCCCUAACAUUGACGGUUUUGUUUAUGUUAACGUCAUUAGAAUAUUCUUGAUUGGGAAUCAUGUGCCUACUCUUUUGGGUGAUAUGUACUUAUCUUUCCAUCUAAGGAAUUCUAAGGGUGGUGGAACUAUCGUCUUUGCGUUCCUCUUCUGUACAAGUGGUUUAUUUUGCACUUGUCUCAGACGCCUACUUUUGUGGAGAAUAAACAAUGUCUAAGGUGGUCUCAGAGACUUAUGUUUCUCACUAAUGAUGAUAUAGUUUGGUAUGAUUCUUCAUUGGGUAGCUUGGAGAUUAUUGACAGUUGUGGUGAAUUCUCUAAUGUACUUCUCAUUGGUACACAAGGAGGAAUCAACUAUAACUCUACUUUGGCUCGUCGUCAACUUGGAUUCCCCUUCAGAGAUAAACCUAAUAACACUUUGUUAGAAGGUCUUUUCUAUCAAGAGGGUAAAGAUCCCCAUCGUUUGAAGCAGAAUAUUAUGCAUGCUUGGCAUAAUGUGCAUAAGAAAGGAAGAUCCGAGCUUGGUCCGCGCAAUUGUGUAGCUUUGGAAGCUUACACUCUUUGGGUGAAGAAGAGAGCUUUGGAGUUGAAGAUGCCUUAUGCUUGUGAAAGACCUGUGUCUAUGGUUGUGGUUGAGCCAUUAACUCUCCCUAACCAAGAUGUAGUGGAGUUGGAAUACGCGCUCGCCAAGAUGAAGCAAGAGAAGGAUAGGUGGGAAGAUCGUUUCCAUGCUUUGAGUAGAAAGCAUGAGGAGUUGUAGCUUGAGUCUAAGGACAAAGAUGCACUUAUUGAGCUUCUUGAAGAUCGGGUAAUGAAGAGACAGAGAGAACUAGAGGGUCCAUCUUCCUCUAGUAUGUCUCAGCCUUCCAUCGCUUGGAAGAAGAUUGUUGAUCAACUUGUCCUUGAGAAGGCUCAGAUGAAGACUUCUUUUGAAUCCGAGAUUCGACGCAUUCGAAGGAAGUAAGCACCUACAGUUAGAUCUUCUAAUGUUGUUAUUAGGGAUCCUUAGAAUGACUAGUCUCCUUUUCUCUUGUAUUUUGUACUUUUGGAUUCUGAAAUUGUACUCAGUGUAAUCCUUCCAAUUAUAUAAAUAAAAGAGAUUUUUAUGGUCAAUCAAAUUGUUGCAAUCGUUUUUAUCAUAUAUAUUUGAAAAUAAUAUAGUAAGUUCCUUGGAAAAUAAAAACAAUCAAGCAUUGCAUUUCAUGCAUCAUUUGCAUACAGGUUUCUCUUCCGCCAGAUGUCUUAUUGGUAUUUCUUAUGUGCUUCAGCCAAGCUGACUCAUCGAUACAAUACUCGCGCAAAUCACUCAAGGAUCAUGGAACAUCUGGAGCAAGAGAACAGAGAUUUGAAGGACGAGAUCGCCCGCUUGACUGCCAUGAUGGAGUCAGUGUUAGCCGCUCAUAGCCAAUCUUCUCCAACACCUGCAACUCCUCCUCCUCAGAGGACUGUUAUUUCCGAGGUUGCUACCUCUAUCAUUCCUGCUACUGCUGCUCACUUUGCACCGGCCAUGUGUCGCAUCUCGAAAAAUACGAUUCCUCGCGAUGGUCGCGGAAAAAAUUAAUGUUCGAAUAGAGUUGCCAUCGAACUUAAUUUAUCCCAAUGAAGGGAUAGUAAAAUAUCGAUAAAACCUUUAGGAAAUGGAAUAAUGGUCGUCGCAACCAUAUUCGAGUUCGGGAGUGGAUUACGUAAGGGGAAGGUAUUAGCACCCCUUACGUCCGUUGUACUCAACGGGAACCUUUAAACCUUUAGGAAAUGGAAUAAUGGUCGUCGCAACCAUAUUCGAGUUCGGGAGUGGAUUACGUAAGGGGAAGGUAUUAGCACCCCUUACGUCCGUUGUACUCAACGGGAACCUUUUAGUUCUAAUGUGCGUUUCAUGUGUUAAUUUAUGUUUGUUUGUUAUUUUUGGGUUAUACAAUUGUAAAAAAUAGAAAUGGACGAGAACCUCAGAAAGGGAAAGGGGAGGUUUUUUAUUAGUGUGCUCGCGAAGGUACAACAAUCUCCUACCUACGUAUCCUUAUGGUAUAAUAAGGAAAUCAGAGCAUUCGUAGUUCGGGGAACUACGAUUGGUUGGUGUUUUUUAAUGAACAACUGUUUAGACUGCGUUUCUAAAGGCUAAACGUUGGCUUGUCUAGUCUCGGCGGAGGCUUAAGCACUAGUUUGCUGUGCGCAUUAGAAAGGAUUAACAAUGUUCUUUCUGAAAAUAGUUUUGGUCACAUGGGGGUGACAAGUUGGACUAAUAUGUUGGAUGUUUUGAUUGGUUGAGAUGUUUUUGGUUGAAUGACGAUUACUCUGAUAGUUGAGUAAGACAACUCGUAUCCUAACAGUCGGGAAAGGGAAUAGAAGACUCUAGACCACUUUCUUUUUCAUCCUUAAUUAUAGAAAGGAUUUGAUAAUAAUUAGGGUGUUUUGAGUGGAUGACGAAUACUCGGAUAAUCGAGUAAGACAACUCGUAUCCUAAUAAUCGGGAAAGGGAAUAGAAGACUCUAGACCGCUUUCUGUUUCAUUCUUAAUUAUAAAAAGGAUUUGAUAAUUGUAAGACCCCAAUUUUGACCCUAAGAUCCCUCAUGGCAUCAUUACAUUGCAUUUACAUUGCCUCAAGGAUCAUGAGCGUCUUGGUUCCCUUUGCCUUUGGGUGGGAUCUCUUGAGAUGUGGUUUGAGAUCACCAAGCAUGCUUGAAUUGUAUAUUAUUGCUUUCCUCAUUUCUUUUAUUAACUCAAAAGCACAAAAAUAUGUCACUAACAUCUUUUAUUUGUAGCUUGAGCAGUCACAAGGUCUAAAGCUUCUAGGAGAUCCUUUGUGCAAUGAUAUGGUCAAGAGAAGAUGAAAGCAAGCAUGGUAAUGGUUCCGAAAGCUCUCAUCCAUCAAAUAUGCCUCCCAAGUAUCUCAAUUCAUCAUUUUGAUCAAAGCAAGUCAAAGGGUUUGAGGUUUGUUUCCCAAGGAAACCUUAAUUCAUAUAUUCAUCAACUGUGCCUUGCUCUUGAAGAAACCUCAACCCAUGGUCAAAAAAAAAUCAAGGGAAGUUCUUUAAUUCAUCAUUUCAUGCAUUUUUGAACUUAUUUGAGUGUCCUCAAUCAUAAGUUCAUCAAGAUAUAAGUUUUGGACUUGAGAAGUUGAUCAGUCAAUUCAUCUGACCAUUUUGAAAUGCAUUGAGACCUAACUUUUUAUGUGUUAGUCCAAUGGAGAUGACCCCAAGAGAAAUAUUGUUAUUAAGGACAAUAUGAACAACUUUCAUGUUCAUCAAAAUUUAAUUUGAAGCUUGGAAGGUCAUCAUCCAUUCCAAGACAUUAUAGGUCAUUUUGACUGAAACCCUAAUUUUGGGUCAACUUCCCAAGGACCUAAGUCCUUCAUUUUUCAUGAUUUGGAGGUGGGAUCAAAUGAAUUGGAAAGCUUAAUGUUUGUAAUUCAAAUGUUAUGUUGAGAAAAAUUACAAAAUCCCAAAAGAAAUACAUGUGAUAAUGCAAAACAUUAUAGGUCACUUUGGGCCAACUGCAUUGAAAUGUGAAAAAGUCCAACUUCAAGUGCCCAUAACUUCAUCAAAAAUCCAAAUGAUGCAAAAUUUAAGUCCAAAUUUAUUUUCUUGAAAAUAUCUACAACUUUCAUGUUGAAGAUUGUAUUAUUUGGAGCUUGCAUCAUUGAGACAGAGGGGCUUGAACAUUGGCCAAUUUUGGAAAUUUCACAUAUGCAUGUUUUGCACCUUACACUUCAAGCUUAAUUUUCAUUAAUUUCCAAGGCCCAAUUGGAUUUUUGAUCAACAUAGCAUUUGUUCCUUAUGCAAUAAGCUUUCCAACCAUUACCCAUAAGCCUAUGUUUCAAUUUUGGAAGUAUUAUUUUCGAAGAGGAGAACUUUUUAGUGCAUUUUUGGAAACUUGAUUCAAUUGCCAUGCAUGAGCUCACACAACCUAAUUUGCACGUCCAUUUCAUUCAUUUAUGAUAUAAGCCUGCAAUUCCAAUCAGAAUUGGGCCCUCCAUGCGCCUGUACAGGCCCAUGCAUGAAGGCCCUCUUCUCCGAUGCACACUUUGUUCAUGCAUAUCAGUUGGCUUUGGCUAUAAAUACAUGGCAUGUGAGCUCUUAUUUCUUAACCUGAAGGCACCUGAACCUCUGCUGAACUCAAAACCUACCCUCACCAAAGGAACUUUUCUCUUUCUUUCAAAAAUAUCAGAUCUGAAAUUCAAUUGCAUCGAUUGAUUUUUAAGAUCCAUAGUUCCUAGACCUCUUCAGCUUGAUCCAUAGAAGCUUCUGUUUGCAAAAGAACUCAAAGAUAGUGACUCAAUUCAGCUCAAUUCCAAGGUUUUGCUCAACUGCAUUUUGCUUCAAAACAGCUCAUAUAUUGUUCCAUUUGCCUUGAUUUUGUGUGAUUUGAAGUCCUCUGCAUAGAGGCAUCAUUAUUGUGUUCUUAAUUUUUGAAAUCAAGCAAGUUCAGUUGAACACCACCAAAGUUCCAUCUCUGAUUUCUCUCUCAAUAGGGAUCUAGAGUGGAAUUGAGUAAUAGAGGCAUCAUUAUUGUGUUCUUAAUUUUUGAAAUCAAGCAAGUUCAGUUGAACACCACCAAAGUUCCAUCUCUGAUUUCUCUCUCAAUAGGGAUCUAGAGUGGAAUUGAGUGGCAUAGGAGUGACGUACAUCACUCCACCUUUCAUUUGGUACCUGGAUCGUGCGUUUUGGUGCACAUUUGUUCUUCUACAAAUUUGAGCUCUCACCGGAGCUAUCCGGAGAAGACGGUGGCGCUGACCCCUGUCUGGUCUCCAGAUCCAAUCGUGGUCGUCCAUUUUCAUUUCCAGAUUAGAUUUAGGUUGUCCGAUGUUAUGACCAUUUUUAAUUGUUUGUGUGGUUGCAUUGACUCACGUGUAUUAUGGAAGCGUGCUCAGAUCCGUCUGAUCUGCCAGGUCAAUUAAUGAACUGGAUCCAACGCCUCUCCUUUUUUCUUAUUUUUAAUUUCUGAUUUCUAUUUUCUUUUAUUUCUUUUAAUUCCAUUUUAUUUCUAAAAUCCAUAUCUCUUUCAUUAUUGGUCCAAAAAUUAUGGGACCAAUUGCAUUAUUUCUCUUUUAAUUUCUAGUUUCUAAAAAUGAUUUUUAAUAUUUUUUAUUUUGUCAUUUGCUAUUUUUUAAUAAUUUUCUCUUUUCUGGUUAUUUUUAAUUCAUUUUAAAUAGUUUUUCAGAUCCAAAAAAUACCAAAAUAUUUUCUCAACCUCUUUGAACGAUGAUAGAUCUAUGAAAAAUAUUUUCAUCAAUUUAUUAAUUGAUUUGAGAUUUAUUUGAGAUUUUAGUUCAAUUAGGUUAUUUUUAUGCAUUUUUAAUUGAUCAAAAAUAGUUUCUGACUUUUAUAAAUGUUGAAAUUUUUUGUCAAACUUUUUUUGACCUUGUUGAACUUAGGAUAAUUCACUUGGACUUUUCAAAGUUGAUUUGAAGUGAGUUUGAAGUUUGACCUUUCUUUAAUAUUUUAAUUCAAGUUUUAUUUUAAAUAUUAAAAAAUGCCAAAAAUAUUUUGUUUAUUUCUUGACUUCUAAUCUUCAUUUUGCUUCUGUUUUCUAUUGUUUGACCUUGAUCUUCUCUAUCUUUGGUCAUAGCUUGUUGAUUAUCUCAUUCCAUUUCAUUUAAUGCACUUUAAUUCUUCAUGUCUAUUCUUNAGAUUGUUGGCGAACACUUGCCUACGUACCUCUUAAACAAGAUUAGGAUCAAAACCGUCUGUAGUUGGCGUAAAAAUUCAAAAUUGAGUUGGUGAAUUGAUUUGGUCCGAAAGCACUUAAAGGUACUUUUUGUGUUGAUCCAAGGGAGAAAAACUCAAACCUAAAACACAACCCACCAUGUGCAGGAUUAGCUUAACAUGUUAUGAGGGGGUUUAACCCUAUACGAUAAGCAUGGAAGACACAUUGUCCAUCACUAAGGAUAUAGGUGAGUAUUACGAGUCCUAACCUCAAAGCAUAACUCAAGAGCCUGAAUACGCUAAAGGUUUAAAAGAUUUAAUUAAGAAAGUGGCCAUUGAAACCACAAAAGUAUUUGAAUGAUGGUAUUUACGCAAAUGAAUAAGAUAUUUGACAAAAUAUGGUCAAAGGUGAUUUAGAAGUUCAAUUCAAAAAUAAGUGUUAUGAAAAAAGUUUGGGAAAAUCAAAAAAAGCCAUAAGGCUUAGGUUUCCUAAAUGUUGAAAACAAGGUUAAAUGUUGCAAACAAAAGUUUUGGUUUGGGUUUAGAAGGGAGAAGAAGAAUGAAUGGCAAAGUCCUAAUCAUACAUGAAGAGACAAGGGAUAAGAAAACAAGACCAACAAAUGGAGUUCCCUCUCUUUGACGAUCGAUAUUGAUGAAAUCAAGUAGCUCCCAUCUUGGAAUAUGCAAGCAAAAAUUUAAUAGUCGCUCAAGCAAUCAACACAUCAAACAAGCUCCUUAGGCGAAUCCUCAAUGUAUCUGGUUGUAUCUUUCACUUGGAUGAACAUUGGCAAUGGUUCCUUUUAACUCUUGAGCUCUCAUAGGAUCCCCUAGCACAAAAAGCACACACAUCAAAAAGUUCUAUGAAAGUAAAUCAAGAAUGGAACAAGAGUGUUGAGUUUGGGUCCUUCUAGUCCAUCUCAACAUUAAAGGUCCUUGUUACUCCAAUUUGCCAUAGGAAAGUUCUAGAAACUAAGUCGCAUUUGUCCAUAUUCUUUGCAUUUGGUCCACAAACAAUCAAAACAAAAACACAAGCACAAUUAAUUAUACUACACAAUUACGUGUGCUCAAAGUGAGCAAGAAGCAAUUGCAUUAAACAUACAUGUGCUAAAUGAGCAGAAGGGAAAAGAAAUGAUAUAUGUAAGAUAUAGUUAAAUUGAUAAAGUAAGUGCAAGAGUAAAUGUUAAUGGUUAAUUGUUAGUGUUAGUAGUUCAGGUGUCAUAGGCAUUUAAGCGCUAUGUUAAGCAAAUCGUAAUGGAGUUAUUGUGAAGUCACACUAUCUGAGGCGGUUAAUAGUAUAUUUAUGGCAACACAACAAGGUUAGAGGUCUUGAUUGUGAAUCAACACUCUACAACUUGCCAUGGCGCAGAAAGAAGAUGAGAAUGAUCUUGUUUGGUUUAGGUCCUUUUGCAUGUUUUAGAAAGCAAUCUUCCGUUAAUGGAAAGCCAUUCACUUUGAUCAUGUGAUCAAGUGAUUAGAUUUGAAUUCAAGGAAGAUUAAAACCUCCCUAUCAAUGCUAACCAUCGAACCUUUAACUCAUUGAUAAAAAAAGAAAAGAAGAAGAGAAGAAGAUGAAGAAAGUGAAAGAUAGCAUGAAGAAUUAAAGUGCAGCUUAAAUGAUCUCUUGUAUGAUUAGGACUUUAGCCAUUCUUCUUCUUCCCUCCACUCUAACCCAAACCAAAACUUUUGUGCAAACAUUUAACACUUGUUUUCAAACAUUAGAAACCUAAGCCUUAUGCUUUUGAUUUCCAAACUUUCUUUUCAUAACACUUAUUUUGAAUUGAACUUCUAAAUCAACUUUGACCAUAUUUUGUAAAUACUUUUCAUUGGUAAAUACCAUUCAUUCAAAUACUUUUGUGGUUUCAAUGGCCACUUUCUUAAUUAAAUCUUUUAUAACCUUUAGCUAUUAGGUUUGAGUUAUGCUUGAGGUAGAUGUAAUACUCACCUAUAUCCUUAGUGAUGGACAAUGAGUCUUCCAUGCUUAUUAUAGGGUUAACCCCUCACUAACAUGUUGAAGCUAUCCUCACAUGGUGGGUUUGUGGUUUUAGGUUGAGUUUUCUCCCUUGGAUAACAAAAGACCUUAAGGCUUUUGGACCAAUCAAUUCACCAACUCAUUUUUUGAAAUUUUUACCCCAAACUACGAGGUUUUGAUCCUAAUCUUUUUUAAGAUGGUACGUAGGCAAUGGGUUUAUCCAUCCAAACACAAAAAUGUAAAUAACUUGCAUAUUCUCUUCUCAUCUCUUCAAUCAUGUUUGCACAAACAAAUUUUCACAAAAUACCAACCUUACAACAAGUGUGAAAAGGGCUCCCUAGGAGUACCUAGGAUGUUUUGGGUGCUUAAAACCUUCCCAUUGCAUAACCAACCCCCUUACCCCGAUCUCUGACAUUUUUACUAGUUUUUAAUUCGAUAAAAUUUUUAGGUUUUUAUUCGCUUUCUAACCAUUCCUUUGAAUAAAUAGAAGUGCGGUGGCGACUCGACUUGUAUGGUUUACCUUAGAUUUAGUCAAUAUCUCUAAUGGUAACGAAUACCCCACUACAAUAAUAAUUAAGGUGUUUUGAAUGGAUGACGAUUACUCGGAUAAUCGAGUAAGACAACUCGUAUCCUAAUGGUCGGAAAAGGGAAUAGAAAACUCUAGACCACUUUCUCUUUCAUCUGAGUGGUUAUGAAAAUAAGUUUACGUAUGGUUGAUGUAUUUUUAGAAUAGACGACAAGUACUUGAAUGGUUGAGUAAGACAACUCAUAUCCAAGCAUUUGAGGAGAGGAAUCUAAGGCUCAAGACCAUCUCCCUUUUCGUAUAGUUUGUUAUGAAAAUGAUUUGAUUAAGUUGUAUGUUUGUGGAAAAAUGACAAUUGCUCGACUGGCCGAGUAAGAGAACUCGUAUUCAAGCAAUUGAGGAGAAAAGUUGAAAACUCAAAGUCAUCUCCCUUUUCAUUUCUUAUUAUGAAAAUAAUUUGAUUUAGUCGGGUUUGGAAGUUUGUAGAGGAACGACAAUUAUUUGACUAACCAAGUAAGAGAACUCGUAUUCAAAUAAUCGAGGAGAAAAAUUGAAGACUCAAAGUCAUCUCCCUUUUCCUUUCUUAUUAUAAAAGAGUUUGAUUUAUUUGUUCUUAAGUGGGUGGAAGUGACGACUAUUUGACUAACCGAAUAAGAGAACUCGUAUUCAAAUAAUCGAGGAGAGGAAUUGAAAACUCAAAGCCACCCCCCUUUUCAUUUCCAAAUGAAAUGUUGUUUGAUUGUGAUUGGAUACGUUCUUUUAAUUUUUAAUGAAAAUACUCGACAUUGGAUUGAGGUUUUGAUUUUGUGUUUAUGAAUGAAAUGAAUUUUAUUUUAGUGUAUUAUUCUUCUACUCGAUUAAUUAAUAACUGGAUAGGUCUCAUUGUAAGAAAGCCCAAGAGUAAGCUAUGUGAGGUUGAUGGCGAUACUUUUACAAGUAAUCGACUUACAAAGGCGUUUUGAAAAUGGGCUCGACUUUGAAUCGAGAAGUAUGUGUUUUAUUUUUUUGAAAUUGGCUCGAAUGAUUUUAAAUUGGUGAUAACGACAUAAUCUCGUCAUAAUUAUAACAUGUCAUCCAUAUGCACUCGAGACUCGGUAUAAAUAAAUAAAUACAAAAUAAUCAUGCACAUACACUCCACAAAAAUCAACAAUUAUCUAAAUUAUAAGUGAUAUUAAUAAUAAUAUAAUUAAUUAAUUAAAUAUUUAGUAGAUUAUUUUGAUUAAAUAAUAAGUAAUUAAAAAAAUGAUGAUAUAACCAAAUAAUUGCAUAUUUAUCAUUAAAUAUUAAUAAUAGUAAUAACAAUAUAAUUGUGUAUUUACUAUUAAGUACUAAUAAUAAUAAUGAUAAUAAUAAUAAUAAUAUAUAAUUAUAACUUUGAAAGAAAGUAAAUAAAAUAAAAUAAAUGAAAUUAAAGUAAAAAAAUAUUUAAAUUUUGUAAAAUAAUUAAACAACUAUCAUUAGGAAUUAAACUAUUAUAUAUAUAUAUAUAUAUAUAUAUAUAUAUAUAUAUAUAUAUAUAUAUUAUAAGUAUAUAUGUAAAAAAUAUAAAUAAAAAAGAAAGAAUAAGUCAAAAAAUAAAGAAAAUGGGCUAGUGGUGGUGAAAAAUUAAUAAAAUAAUUUAAUCAAAUUAAAUCAAAGAUACCGAUGAAUUAAUUUAAAUAAAAUAGGGUCUACUUAGGAUAUUUAAGUAAUUUAGAUUAACAAAAAUAAUUCAGGAUAAUGAGUCAUUAAAUUAAAAAAAUUAGUAAAUUGAAUUGUUAGUUAACUAAUUGAAGCUAAUUGUUAGCUAACAUGAUUAUCUUUUAAAUCCUCCACACAGUAAAACAGAAGAAAAAGAAAUGGGCUAAAACCGAAUUUAAUGAAAAAUAGGAAUAAACAAAUGUGCUUUUUUUGACUGAACAUAUGCUAUAUUCUAAUAUGCAAUGUCACCUAGUAUUCAAAGUUAAUUUAUUGUUUUUUAUUAAUGAUGCAUUGAAUAAAAUAACAAAUAGGGGUGGCUGUCAGCAUAGCCCACACGGUAUCCCCAAGAAAAAUCAAUUACUCACCAUAAGAACCUUCCAUAUACUAACAUAUGACACCUAAUGAUGUUUAAAGAGAAAUAAACAAUAAUAAAUGAAAAUUAAAGUAAUGCUUGGAUAUUUUAAAAAACGUAAGGACGAAAAACGUUCCUUCACAAAACCAAUGCACCUCUUUCUUAAUCUAACACCCUUUCCUCCUAUCCAUUUCUUCUCUCCAAAAGGGUUUAUGAAAAAAAAGUUCAGUUCACCAUCAAGUUUAUCGCACAACAAAAAUAUUCAAACACAAAGAUCUACCUCAAACGAUACAAAACCCCAAAUCUCAAAAUUAGCAACGAAAUUUUGCAAACAAAAGUUUAUCGCACAACAAAAAUAUUCAAACACAAAGAUCUACCUCAAACGAUACAAAACCCCAAAUCUCAAAAUUAGCAACGAAAUUUUGCAAACAACCUCCAAAAGACCCAAAUCGUGACUUUACAAAAAAAAAACUAAAAAUUGAAACAAAUCGAACCAUCAUCAUCAAUAAAUUCAAGCAAUCUAAAGGAGGCUCCUACUCAGUUAAUCACGACAAACAUGCAGGCACAAUCAAUUUGGAUCCAAACAUGAAGAAAUUUACCUGACCGAAGCUAGUUCAACGAAGUUCUCUCCGGCAACCCUCAGAUAACUCUAUUUCCUCUUCUUUUCGGUUUUACGAUGGCCUCCUCCUUCUGUUUUGAUGUUGUGUUAUCCUUUAAUGUUAGGGUUUUUUGUGUUUUUUACAAAAUAUUUUUUGAUUUGUUCUGCUCGGAUCCUCAAAAACGUGUGUUCUGUUUCUUUUGAGUUAACAAAGAAAAGAUUACUUUGACAAUUUCUUCUGGAUUUUAUUAAAACGUGUUACUGUUAAUUAGUUUUGUGGUUUAUAUACAUGAAUGUUGGUUUAUGUGAUAUAACUUGUUGGAUCCUAUUUCCAGAUUUUGUGGUAUGAUUAAUCUAUGGAUUUAAAGUUGUUUAUUUGGAUAAUGCAGUGUGUUUCUGAGCGCUUCCUUUGAUUCAUUGUGUAACAUAUUAAUUUGCUCUUUCUAUUAAUUAUUUUCCAGGUUUUUAAGUGCUUAUUUGAUAAGAUGUUUUUAAUUUUGAAUUGGUUUUGCAGGUUAAGUGAUAUUGAUGCUGAUUGAUUGAAAAAGGGGCGCUGUUAUUCAACAGGUUUUGGAAAAGUUCUGAAGAGUUGCUUUUGAAUUGGGAACUUCCAAAAGAGCUUUUGGAAAAGUCUGUGAAAUUUGCUUCAAACUGCUGUGUUUACAGCUUAUUCCAAUUUUUUUAAUAAAAUUAUUUCUGAUGUAACAGAGACUUUUUGGAUUAUGAACUUAGGGACUGCUUGUAACAUGUACAAAUUUAAUUUGGAAUUUCUCUUUUUGGACAAUUAUGUAAUUGUUUUGGAUUAUUAGGAAUUUGGGAUUAGUUAGGAUAUAUUAAACUGUAAGAAAAAUUGGGUUAGACGUGUAACCCUUUGGAUCAUUUGCAAAAUUUACAUAAUUUUAAUUUAAGUUUUUUUGUUAUUUAUGUGGAUACUUUUGGGUUAUUAUGUAACAUUUGGAUUAAAUAGGAAUAUGAUUUGGGAAUAUUAUUUGUGUAAUUAGUCUCUCUUUCUUUUUUUUUUAAAGAAAAAUUAAACUUUGUCUUAACAAUUUAAUUGUAUUAACCAGAAGAAUAUUUAAAUUAUAAUUCAAACCAAAAAUGAAUUGGGCCCAACAAUGCAAUUUAAUGGACUUUUAAUUUGAUUGAUUUUAACACACUAAUAUUAUCGAAAAACACAUUAAUAUUAUUGAAAAUAAAAUAUGCCAAAAAGGCCUAAGAUAAAAACAUGUCACAAAAUGUUGCACUUUCAAACUUUGAUCAUAGAAAACUAAUUAAAUACCCAUGCACGUAAUAUCUUAAUCCUAAACCAACAUACUCACUUAGCUUAAGAAUUUUUAUGAAUGGUUUAAAGAUUUGACAUAUGUAUUUGGGACGUGCAAAUAGGUUUAAUGAUGAGUGAUCAUAAAAACAUCCAUGGCUCUUAAUAUCUUACUAAUAAUCAAAUGCAUUUUGAAUUAGUAGUGUAAAAAAGUUCAAACCACAUUUUAAAUUAUGGACACGUUUAUGCAAAUGGGCUUUUGAAACAAAAAGAUCUCGCGGGUAAACCACAAUGGGCUUUGUUAUCCAAAGGUGCAUAUACCAUCCCAUGCUUCAGUAAAAACAAAUGCAGCAGAUAUUUUCUUAAGGAUCCUAACAAAUGAAAAAUGUCAUUGAAGACUUGAUGUCACCAAGGACCGGACAAAAUUGGGGUAUGACACCAUGCCUUCCGGAUUCCCGUGGGGAAUGCCGCCCAACUUUGUGCCUGAAGGUUUCGCGCCUAUAUUUGCUUCCAUGUCGGCAUCUAGCCCGAUCAUGUCUGUGCCACCACCAGUUGUGCAUACGCUACCCCGUGUUGAAGACACUUUCUAUCAUUCCGAGUCGUCUGAGGGUCCAGAUGUUUAUGAGAAGAUGGACGAAAUGAAAGACUAAUUCCUUGAGCUGCGAAAGGAGUUGAAAACUUUGAGGGGUAAAGAUUUGUUUGGUAAGAGUGUUGUGGAACUUUUCUUGGUUCCUAAUGUCAAAAUCCCGAUAAACUUCAAAGUCCCUGACUUUGAAAAGUAUAAUGGGAAUACUUGUCCGCUCAGUCAUCUCAUCAUGUAUGAUAGAAAGAUGUCGACACAAACUGAUAAUGAUCAGUUAUUGAUUCAUUACUUUCAAGACAGUCUAAAUGGUGCCGCUUUGAGGUGGUACAUAGGUUUGGAUAGUGUGAGCAUCCGCAUGUUAAAUGAUUUGGGUGAAGCAUUCGUAAAGCAAUACAAGUAUAAUAUGAACAUGGUGCCGGAUAGGGACCAGUUAAGGUCAUUGUCUCAGAAGGAUAAGGAGACGUUCAAGGAGUACGCUUAAUGAUGGAGAGAACUUGCUGCUCAGAUUACCCCUCCUUUGGAAGAAAAGGAGAUGACCAAGAUUUUCCUAAAAAACCUAAGCUUAUUUUACUAUGAGCGGAUGAUUGCCAGUGCCCCCGGUGAUUUUACUGAAAUGGUAAACAUGGGGAUGAGACUAGAGGAAGGUGUCCGAGAGGGACGAUUAUCUAAGGAGGAAGCUUCGUACAGCAAGAUGUAUGGUAACAGUUUUGCUAAGAAGAAAGAGAACGAGACCAAUGCAGUAUCUGUGGAGAGGCAGAGGAGGCCUCAUGUGAGAAGAAGUCAACCACCCCGUCAACAUCAUCAAGUAUCAUCUGUCAUUCCAGUAUUUUCGAAUAGUCAAUUAACAUCAAUUCAACAACAACGUCAACAAUAGCCACCACAAUGAACAAACACCUACAACAUCAACAAUACCAACAAUCAUCAACAACAACAAAAUUUUGAGAGGAAGAAGGUCUUUUUUGACCCGAUUCCUAUGACAUCACUACGCCAAAAACUGGAAUAGACAACACACCUUAGAGGGCGCUUUCUUAAAGAAGCGCACUCUAAAGUGAAGAGAAAAAUAAGGAGGAAUAAACAGCGCACUUUAGAGGGCGCUUUUGUAACAAAGCGCCCUCUAAAGUGAAGCGAAAAAAUAAUGAGGAAAUGGAGGGACACCAAUAGAGGGCGCGUUUAUGAAAGCGCCCUCUAAGGGUACCCUUAGAGGGCACUUUUUAAAAAGCGCUCUCUAAGUCCAUGUACAUUUCCAGUUUAUAAAGCGCUUUUGGAAAGCCUUAGAGAGCGCUUUUAGAAGCGCCCUUUAGGCCCCCUUUAGAGGGCGCUUUUUUACCACAAGCGCCCUCUAAGGUCCCCUUUAUUAAGCAUUUAAAUUAUAACAUAUAUACUGCGUGUCUCUUUAUUUUCCCUCUCUAUAUGCUAUUUCGUUUACGUAACUGGUUUUCUCUCUACUGCGAUUACUCUCGUCCUCCGUUCGUUCUCCCUCCCUCACCGUCGUCGUCGUCGUCGCCUUUCUGCUGCUGCGUUCAUGUUCACUGAGUUAUCUGCUCCACCGUCGCUGUUCACUUUCUUCUCCAUCGUUACCGUCACCUUGAAGGUAUUUCUCUUUCUCCAUCGUUACCGUUCACUUUCUUCAGGUGUUUGAUUAGGGCAUUUUCUAAACUGAGUUUUACAUUUUGUGCAUUAUGUUGAUUUAAUGUUGUUUAGGGCAAACGAGCACUAUAUGGUGUUCAUGAGCACCUUGUUGUAAGGUUUUUUAUUUCUGAUUGAAAACUGAUGUCAUUUGGAGUGUGUUUGAGCUUGUGCUUGGAAGUUUGAUGAUUAUGGAUGCAAGUUUGUUCAUGUUCCAAACACCAUAAGUUUGCAUUGGUGUUUUGUAUGCAGUAGGUGUGUGUGAGUUUGUAUUUAAUAAUGAUGAAAAAAAGAGAGAGUUUAGAUUGUUGUAACAUGAGAGAAAUGGAAGGUAUAUGAAUGUGUUUUUGUUGUUAGCUUCACGAAUAUGGUCAUUGUCUUACUUGCGUCUUAUUGAAUCAUUUCUAUAUUACAGAUAAAAAAGGCUAACCAAGACGAUACCCAUGACGCGAGUGGAUCACGUAACAAUGUUGAAAAAGAAAUCAAACGAGGAUUGACUGUUAUGAAGUCAAUCAUUCGUGCAAGAGACAAGGGUGAAAAAUUCGAAGUACAUUGGAGUGCUGAAGACCAACUAAUUGAGCCUAACGGUUCAAUGUUGGCAAGUUACAUUGGUUCCUUGUUCGACAACAUAUUCCGAUUACAUGUGAUAAUUGGGAGAAGUCCGGACUUGAAGGUUGACAAAGAAAAAAUAGGUCCGAGAUACAGGUACUACCAUAUUAUUAUAUGUUUUUUUGUUGACUAUUUGUUGACCAUAUAUUGUUAUAAUAUUACUUAUAAUAACAACACUCAUUUGUAUGUUUUUUAGAGAUCCUUUCACAUCGAUGAAAGCCGGCAAAAAUAUUGUAUUCAAUUGGCCGGAAAAAGACUCUGAGGAUUUCGAUCCUUUUUGUCCAACAAAUUUCUCAAGGAUGAGGAAGGAAACUUUGUUGAAGCAGAACGGCCAAUGAAGUAUGCGGAGAUUAUUUCAGCCGAAGAAUGGAUAACUUUGUCACCAAACGAAGAAACGAAAAAUUCCAUGUAAUGUCUAUUAAUUAUGGUAUUAUACAAUUGUUAAGUUACUUGGUUCUAAUAUGCCUUAAACUUUUUAUCCAUGAAGUAAGAGACAAAAAUCGGAAAAGGCAUCAAAACCCGCGUAUCCGUACAAAAAAGGGCGUACGGGAUAUGCACGGUUACAACAAAGAAUUGUGAGUAUAUUCAAAUGCUAUGAGCUUAUACAUUGUCACAAUAUGUUAUAAUUGAUGAUCUUAUAAUAUGAUUCAAUUUGUAGCUAGCGAGGAGAAAAGUGACGCAACAUUCUCUCCGGAGCACGUAUUGUGAAGGCUGCUCGGGUUGGGAAGGAUGGGCUGUCGUUGAAGCGGUUCAAAAUGUUAUUGACGAAUGUGUAAGUAUAUGUAACAUUAUUUCUUUAAUUAUAUCGAAAAUUUUGUUAGACAUAAAUUCAUUUUUAAUCUCCUCUAAUAAUAUUUCAGGAGACUUUAUCCCAAACUUUACCUUCAACCGAGGUCCAGGAUUGCAGGAGCGUACUUAGUCGAGUACUAAAUGUUCCUGAGUAUUCCGGUCGUGUGGAGGGUAAGGGUUUUGGUGUGACUCCGUCGUCAUUUUUAUAAAAACCAAAAACAAAAAAUCCUACACAAAGAGGUGAUGAGACCUUGGUGGAGUAGGGCACAAGUACUCGAACUGAAAAGGAGAAUGCAAGGUAUAGAGUGGAAAGUGCGGUUCCGAGGCAAAAAUACUAGUGACCGAGCUAGUAUCAAUUGUCAACCGAAAUUUCCCGAGGUAAUUAUAUAUGUUAUUAUGAAAUUAAAAUAGCACUUUUUUACUUGACACAUAUAACACGUUAACAAUAACAUUAUUAUUGGUUUAGGGCAUUACACCUUGUCAGCUGUAUCUAUCGUCACCAACUUAUCGCAUAGUUGGCAAGGAAAAGUGCACAACACUUCGGUGGAAUUACUUCACCAUAAUCCCCUCCCGGUGGGAUAUAUGAAAGUUCGGUUGACCUUGUAUUAGAUACCGACGCCUUCUACCAUUACCUGACGUUGUUUCAGAGACAACGUUGACGCGAGAUGCAGUCGGAUCCUUUGUUGGAUGCCAUCAGAUCUAAUUUUCCCAGAUGCCGAGGUAUAUAUGUUCUAAAUGAUUAUGAAUAUUUAGUAUUCACAUUUCAAUUUCAGCUACAAUUAUGAUAUUUAAUCAAUCUAUUUACAUGGUAAUGUUAGACUCCUACAAGACCCACACAUAAAGCUGGUAAAGGGAUUUCAAGACGCAUCGAGUCGGUUGCAUCUCAAAAAGAGGUACAAAUAUAUAUACCCAUUGAAUUUUAUACGCAACGAUUCUGUGUGCAUCAACAAAAGUCAUGAUUUAAUUUAUAUGAAUUUUUAGGUUCCCGGUCGAAGUUGAAAAAAGCUGGUAAGGAUAUUCCAACGACGUCCGGGACAAAAUCUCAAAUUAUGAUGCGUCUUGAGAAAAUGGUGGAAAGUCCGAUAUUAUGCACGGCGCCAUCCGUAGUGUAGAUUUUGAUGAAGGUGUUUUUCGGAAUUGCUCAUUCCGAAAUAAUUGCAAAGGAGGACAUGCAACAACUUUUUGAACACGAAGAAUUGGGCAUCGCUGUCAUUCAUACAUACAUAUGAUACUCCGAUCAAUCUAUUAUUUACUUAGUUGAACAAUUUAUUUACACAUUUCAAUGAGUAGUCUAAUGUUUAUUAUGUUUCUAUUUAAGGUAUAUGUAUGUAACAUUGAUGCGGGGAACUGAAUUGUGUAACCGAUUCAAUUAUUGCUGCUUCCCGUAUCAACACAACAUUAUAACGAAAAAAUCCAACAUCCGUAAAGAAUGAACUAGUCGAUAGAUUCAUGGCGGCCGGCGAUAAUACUACACCCAGUUUGUAUUUUUUUACCGGUUAAUUCUGGCAAUGGGUUAGAUUUUCUUUCUAAUAAUUCAUUUAAUCUAGUAUAUCUUUUACGUAGAAAAUUUUCAUGCAUCUAAAUUUUGUUUUAUUUUACAGUGGUCACUGGGUGUUGGUUGCUAUGGAUCUUUCGGGACUAAUGGUGUAUAUCUCGAUUCGUUAUCGGGUGAUUGGAGUAAAUAUCCGAGUAUGAGAAGACGGUUGACGCGUAAGUGAAAUUCCCCUAAAUAUUCGUGUGUAUGUUAUAUUUAAUUAUGUCUGUCAGAUUGAUCUCAAUAUACGUUUAUUUGUUAGGGCAUACUAACAAUUUAGAUCGAAAACGUAAUAGGAAGACAUUACCUGGGUCAGAGUUCAGGUAUAUAUUAAGUAUCUUAUUUUUGCUUAUAAUAGUUUUUGUUUUUUUGCUUAUAACAGUUUGUUAAGAAAUUAACUAUAUAUAUAUUGUUUGUUUUUCUGUGUAGUGUCCUCAGCAAAACAUAUCGGUCGAUUGCGGAUUUUUUGUAUUGAGAUUUAUGAGAGAUAUCAUUGCAUUGAAUCGUAUAGACAUCCAAAAAUGGUAUGGAAUAAUAACUAGGGUUUAUUAAUAUUAUCGGAUAUUUCACUAAUUUUACUAAAUCAUGAAUAUGUUUUAUUCUCUUAAUUGUAGUACUUUGAGGAAUACAAAUCUUACUCAAGAGCCAUUUGGAUGAAAUGAAGGAUGAAUUGUGUCAAUUUAUGUUGAUCAAAGAAUCAUAUAGCUAGGUUGUAUAUUGUUUGUACAUAUAUGUAUGGAAUGUUGUUGUUGUAUGCUGUUGUUGUAUAUAUGUUGGAUAUUUUGUUGUACUUUACUAAAUCAUGAAUAUGUGUUGUAUAUUGUUGAUCAAAGAAUCAUAUAUUAAUGUUGUAUAUAUGGAGGAUUAAUGUUGUAUAUAAAUGGAUUCAUGUUGUAUAUAUCAAUGGAUUAAUGGUGUAUAACAUUGGAUUAAAGGAUGAAAUCAAUAGAAUUUUACACUUUUGCAGCAUGCGAACAGGUUCCCAAUUAAAUAUCCACUGUUUUUCAAACAAAUUCUUUUAAAAUAACUAACACUUUAGAGGGCGCUUUUGUAGGAAGCGCCCUCUAAACACUUUACAUUGACAACUUUAGAGGGCGCUUUGUCCAGAAAGCGCCCUCUAAACACUUUACAUUGACAACUUUAGAGGGCGCUUUGUCCAGAAAGCGCCCUCUAAGGUGUCCCUUUAUGGACCACUCCAGGGGGCGCUUUUUUUGAAAGCGCACUAAAUGUGGCCCUUAAAGGCCACUUUAGAACAGCUCUUUCUCCAGGAAAACAAAGCGAUGUCUUUACCUAUGCCAGCGCCACUUUAGAGGGCGCUUAAAAGCGCUGUUAUAGGCCAAAAUAAGCGCCCUCUUUUCCCUUAUUUGGCGUAGUGCAUAUGCUGAAUUGUAUCCAUUGUUGGUUCUCAAGAACCUUUUGCAACCAAAAAACCCACCUCAAAUCCCUGAACCACUUCCAUGGUGGUACAAACCGGAACUCUGCUGUGCCUUUCACCAAGGAGCUCCCAGUCAUGAUAUUGAGAAUUGUUACCCCCUGAAGUACGAAAUCUAAAAGCUGGUUAAAAAUGGAAUGGUGUCCUUUGAGGACCGUGUGCCAAACGUCAAAGCUAACCCACUACCUUGCCAUGGAAAUUCAUCUCUUAAUAUGGUGGACGGCUGUCCUGGGGAAUUCAAAGUAUUUGAUGUACGCUUUAUUAGAAGGUCCUUGGUGAGGAUGCACAAGGAUAUCUAUUUGGUUAGCGAUUAUGAGCAUGACCGUGAUGGUUGUGCAAUUUGCAGUGUCAAUCCUAGAGGUUGUAUGGUUAUGAAUAGAGACGUCCAGAGGUUGAUGGAUGAAGGUAUGAUUCAGAUUCUCCAGUCCCGUCACUUAGGUGACGAUGUGAAUGUCAUAGUCUCGUUUUUAAAACUCCAGAGAGAUGGUGAUCCAGUACGAUAGCAGCAGCAGUAACAGUGUCAGUAAUAGAUCGGUAUCAUCGUUGGUUAUACGGUUAGCGAGACCCGUCCCGUAUGCAUCCGGUAAGGUUGUCCCAUAUCAGUACAAUGCUACCAUGUUGGAGUAUGGUCAAGAGGUUCCUUUCCCUACGACCAAUUCUGUUGUGAGUAUAGAUGAUGUUACUAAGGUGACCCGUAGUGGUCGUGUCUUUGGGCCGGCGUUCCCUAAGAAUGUGGAGGAUAUAUCUAUUAAUAAGAAGGUUGAGGUGCCUGCAGUAGAUCUUGUUAGUGUUCCAAAGUGUUAGUCUGGUGAAUCCAGCGGUUUGAAGCCUAACGAUGACGAUGAGGUACUCAGAUUAAUCAAGAGGAGCGAGUUUAAUAUGGUGGAGCAGUUGCUCCAAACUCCCUCCAAGAUUUCAUUGUUGUCUCUGUUUAUGAACUCAGAAGCAUAUAGAGAAGCACUGUAGAAGGUAUUAGAGCAAGCGUAUGUAGAGCACAAUGUUACGGUGUAUCAGUUUGAUCAUAUUGUGGCUAACAUCACUUCCUGCAAUAACCUCAGUUUUUGUGAUGAAGAACUCCCCGAGGAGAAUAGAAAUCACAACUUGGCUCUACACAUUUCAAUGAAUUGCAAGGAGGAUGCUUUGUCAAAUGUGUUGGUUGACAUUGGUUCUUCAUUGAACGUGCUUCCGAAAUCAACUCUGUCAAGGUUGUCAUACAAAGGAGCUCCUAUGAGAUAUAAUGGUGUGAUUGUCAAAGCAUUUGAUGGUUCUCGCAAGAUUGUGAUCGGUGAAGUGGACCUUCCAGUGAAAAUAGGUCUGAGUGAUUUCCAAAUUACUUUCCAAGUAAUGGAUAUCCACCCGGCCUAUAGUUUUUUGUUAGGGAGGCCAUGGAUAUGUGAGGCAUGAGUUGUUACUUCAACAUUGCACCAGAAGCUGAAGUUUGUCAAGAAUGGUAAACUUGUCAUUAUUGGUGGGGAAAAGACUUUUUUAGUAAGCCACUUGUCAUCUUUCUCUUAUGUAGAAGCUGAGGAUGAGGUUGGAACUCCAUUCCAAGCCUUGUCUAUUGCUGAGGAAAAGAGAGUUGGGGCACCAAUGUCCUCAUUUAAAGAUGCGCAAAGGAUUGUUGAAGAUGGUAAGUCUGACCAGUGGGGACAAAUGGUAGAGGUCUCCAACAAUAAGAGGAGAUCCGAUUUGGGAUUCCAACAAGGGUCAUCUGUUACUAGAGCUGAAGAUGUUCAACCCAGUUUCCGUAGCGGAGGGUUCAUUCAUGGUAAUGAACAACACUUGGCUGUUGUGAUUAAGGGUGAUGAAGAUGAAGGCUGCACCGAUUUUGUGACGCCUGGAAAAGCUUGCAACAAUUAGACUAUUGUUGAUGUUCCUAUUAUUGUUCAUCGAUCUAAGUAAUUUCUUUUAUUUGUUUUCGAAAUUCCUUCUCCUAUGCCUAAGGGAGAAGUGAACAUUGUUUGGGCAUUUUCAAAUUUAAUCAUUAAUAAAAUAUAAUUCUAUUCAUCCACAUCUAUGAUGUUUUAUUUUUUUCUUUAUUCUGAAAAAUGGUAAUUACAAAAAAAAAAAAAAAAUUAUCCAUCUGCAUAAUAUUUGGUCACAAUUCACUUCUCUAAAAUCAAAAUAUCAAAUCAUUAUGCAGGUUGGUUUCUAAACCCAUUGAAUACAAUGACCAUUCUCCUUCUCCAAAUUUUGAAUUCCCUAUGUUUAAGGCUGAGGAGGAAAGUGAUUAAGAGGUAUCUGAUGAAUUGUCCUGUCUUCUCGAGCAUGAAGGAAAAUCCAUUCAGCCAUUCAAAGAGCAGAUUGAGUUAGUCAACUUGGGUUCCGAGGAUGAUGUGAAGGAAGUCAAGAUUGGGUCUCGACUAUGUCAAGAUGUUAAGAAGGGGUUGAUUGAUCUUCUCCGAGAAUAUUCAGAUAUGUUUGCUUGGUUCUAUCAAGACAUGCCUGGGUUGGAUUCCGAGAUUGUGGAGCAUAGAUUGUCGUUGAAGCCAGAAUGCCCGCCAGUCAAGCAAAAGUUGAGGAGAACUCAUCCUGAUAUGACAGUGAAGAUCAAAGAAGAAGUGCAAAAGUAGAUUGAUGUCGGUUUCCUUGUUACUGUUGAAUAUCCACAAUGGGUGGCCAAUAUUGUGCUUGUUCCGAAGAAGGAUGGAAAAGUCCGUAUGUGCGUUGAUUAUAGAGGUUUGAAUAAAGCCAGUCCGAAAGAUGAUUUUCCUCUACCACACAUUAAUAUGUUGGUAGACAAUACAGCUAAGUUCAAAGUCUUUUCGUUUAUGGAAGGAUUUGCAGGUUAUAAUCAGAUCAAGAUGGCACCCAAAGAUAUGGAGAAGACCACAUUCAUUACACCCUGGGGAACAUUCUGUUAUAGAGUGAUGCCUUUCGGUUUAAAGAAUGCUGGUGCAACUUACCAAAGAGCAAUGACUACUCUUUUUCAUGAUAUGACGCAUAAAGAGAUCAAACUCUAUGUUGAUGAUAUGAUUGUUAAAUCUAUUAAUGAAGAGGAACAUGUCAAGCAUUUGUUGAAGUUAUUCCAGCGUUUGAGGAAGUACAAACUCCGCUUGAAUCCCAAUAAGUGUACAUUUGGUGUUCGUUCUAGUAAAUUGUUGGGCUUUAUUAUCAGCGAGAAUGGUAUUGAAGUUGAUCGUGCCAAGGUCAAUGCAAUACAAGAGAUGCAUGCACCCAAAACUGAGAAGCAAGUCAGAGGUUUUCUCGGCCGCUUGAAUUAUAUCUCAAGAUUCAUUUCACACAUGAUUGUCACAUAUGUGCUUAUAUUCAAGCUUCUUCGGAAAGAUCAGUCUUGUGAUUGGACCGAAGGCUGCCAAAAAGCUUUUGACAGUAUCAAAGAAUAUCUGCUUGAGCCUCCAAUUUUGUCUCCGCCUGUUGAAGGAAGACCGUUGAUCAUGUAUUUGACUGUGCUUGAGGAGAGUAUGUGUUGUGUUCUUGGUCAGCAAUAUGGGACUGGAAAGAAAGAAUAUGCAAUUUACUACCUCGGUAAGAAAUUCACUGAUUGUGAGACUCGGUAUUCUCUGCUUAAGAAGACUUGUUACGCACUGGCUUGGGCUGCUAAGCGACUACGCCAGUAUAUGCUGAAUCAUACCACUUGGUUGAUAUCCAAAAUGGAUCCAAUCAAAUAUAUUUUUGAGAAGCCUGCUUUAACUGGGAGGAUUUCCCGUUAGUAGAUGUUGUUAUCAGAGUAUGAUAUUGAAUACCGAUCUCAGAAAGUAAUCAAAGGUAGUGUCUUAGCUCACCAACCAAUUGAAGAUUAUCAGUCAGUACAGUAUGACUUUCCUGACGAAGAGAUCUUGUACUUGAAAAUGAAAGAUUGUGAUGAACCAUUGCUUGAAGAAGGGCUAGAACCUGGUUCCCGUUGGGGCAUGGUAUUUGAUGGAACUGUUAAUCAGUAUGGUAAUGGCAUUGGGGCAGUAAUUAUUACUCCUCAAGGCACUCAUUUUUCGUUUACAGCUAGAUUGACUUUCAAAUUGUAGCGGUGUAUUCGUCACUUUAUGAUUUAUUGACUAAAUCAAAAGCAAAGCAUACAAAGAAUCGAGUCGCCACCGCACUUUUAUUUAUCCAAAGGAAUGGCUAAAAAGCGAACAAAAGCCUGCUAAGAAGUUUUCACAUAUGAAUAAAUCAAUGAAAAGAUCAGAGAUCUGGGUAAGGGGUUAUUACGCCAAUGGGAAGGUGUUAGGCACCCAAAACGUCCUAGGUACUCCUAGGGAGCCCUUCACAACUUGUUGUAUGAAAUGUUAUUUGUUUAUGAAAUAUUUAUUGUGCAAACAUGAUUGAAGGGAUGAGAAAAGAAUAUACAAUUUUUAUUAUUUUUGUGUUUGAACGGAUGAACCCGUUGCUACGUACCUUCCAUGGAAGGUAAGGAUCAAAACGCCGUAGUUUGGCUAAAAGAUUUCCAAAAUAUAAGUGGGUGAUUUAAACAAAAGCCCUAAGUCAUUCGUUAUCCCACGGGAGAAAACUCAACCUUAUACAAACAACAAGUCCACCAUGUGAGAAAGCUUCAACUUGCUAGUGAGGGGUUAACCCCUAUAAUAAGCAAGGAGUCUUACAUUCAAUCACUAGGACAAAGGUGAGAUUAACAUCAACCAACUAGGAUAAAUCAAACCUAUGGCUAAUGUAUGAAACUUAUCAAGAAUGGACAAAGCCACAAAACAAUUGAAUGAGUGGAAUUAACUAAUUAAGAAUUUAUUCACAAAAGAUGGUCAAAGUGAUGAUUAGAAUUCAUUCAAAAGAAAGUAUUAUGAAAAUGAAGUUGGAAAAUCAAAGGCUGAAAGCCUAGGUUCUAUUUUGAAAGAAAUGAAAAUGUUUGCACACAAUAGUUUGCAGGUUUUGGGUUAACCUGCAAAUGGAGGUUUAAGAACAAAAGGUGGGGGGGGGGGUGAGGAAGUAAAACAUCUUAGGUAUUCACCUUUUAAGAUAAUAUGUAGAUGAUUCAAGUGAUUCCUUUGGAAUAAGCAAUAAAUGAUAACAAUACAUAAAGUAAAUGGAUACCGGAUGCAAUCAAUGGACUUAUUCAACUCACAAAACAAAAAUGGAUACCGGAUGAUGCCAUCAUGGACUUAUUCCAAUCCCAAAACAAAAAUGGAUACCGGAUGCCAAUCAAUGGACUUAUUCCAAUCUUCCCAAAACAAAUGAUACCGAUGCCAAUCAAUGUUAUUCCAAUCUCCAAAACAAAAAUGAAGCAAUGAUACAGAGGCCAAUUCAAUGGAUUAUACUAGUCUCACAAAAAAAAUGGAUCAGGAUGCCAAUCAAUGACUUUAACCAAUCUCCACCAUAUCAUAGGAAACAACUCCCAAGCAAAUGGACUUAUGCUUGCUUCCUCCAUGGACAAAACAAAAUGUCACAAAGAUAUGAACCAAAGUUUAUGAAUGAUAUACAAGUGAUAAUGUAUACAUGCAAAAGGCAUACUCAAGCAAAUAUGCACAGAUGAAUCAAGUAAGCAAACAACAAGUCAAUUAUGCACACACUAAUACAAUCAAUUUAGGCUCAAGCAAGGUUAGGCUUUACAGCCAACUGGAUUGGGUUUUUGAGCUCUAACCCUAACAUUGAGAAGUUAGGUUGAAGCAGAUGCAAAGGAGAUGAGGGGUGUGCCUCAUAGCUCUUAUCCUGGUCAGGAAAGAGCUUUAAACAAUGGAAAAGUGUGGGAGUUUCAAAAAGUGAAAACUCUUCUCCACAAAUGGACUCUAUAAGAUCGUUGGGUAUUAUUCACCAUUGCAUCAACACAUGGUUGUGAGCAGGGUAAGACACACUGAGUAGGCGCAGGAGAUGGAUUACGCACUCUUUUAAUCUGGCCAUUGCCUCAUAAGAGGACCUUUUCUGCUUGGCACAAAAAUUAACAACGACAAGCAUUGCCUUUAAGGAGGACUUCAGACAGGUGCCUAACGCAUAACAGUAGGUCUUCCAGACUACAUUGAAGAUUAGACCGAUUAUAGCCUUAAAGUGGUAAGCCAACCGAGAAAAAUUCAAAGUUUCAACAUGAACUUAAAGGCACUUAAGUAACCUAUGGAAACACUAAACAAAUAGUACAAUACUAGACCAAAAACAACAGUCAAUAAGCAACCAGACAAUCCCCAAUGUAAAAAAAUGUUGUAGCCAAAAGCAAAACUCAAAUGCGUUAGCAUCAAACCACAAAACACACAAUGUUAAUUAAUCAAAAGCAAACAUCAAUGCACAAAUGAUGAAGCAUCAUCAACAAUGGAACUUGGAUGCCAACCUGAAUCAAAGCCAAUGUAAGUCACAACCACAGGCUCAAAGCCUAGGGUCCAAAGAUGGAAGAAAAAAUUUGAAACAGGAGCUCAAUUUAACAUGAAUCAACUUCAAUCACAUCUUGACACAUUCCAAAAGGUCUCAGCAUGCACAAAAAUCAAUUACCAAAAAGCAUUUNAAGCUCAUAUGUGAUCAUCAUGAAUGAAAAAUUCAAAUCAAAACAGAAAUGAUUCAAAUAAUUCUGGAAAAAAUCAUGCACAUUCAAGACAUCUAACAUGAUCAACAUACAAAAAAUCAGAAGCAUUGGACAUCAUUUCGUAUGGAAAUCACAUGGUACAAGUUGAACAUUCAAAGGUGUGACACAAAUUGUCACACCAAGUUAGCACAAGCAUAAAACAGCAAUGGUAAUUGAGAAAAAUGUCAAACCAAAACCAAAAUGUCAAGCAAUGUGUCUAGUUUCAUCAUGCAAAAUUUCACAUUCAUUGGAUAAGAAACAAGCAUUUCACAAAGAGAUAAGCAAGGUAAGGUCAAACAAGCAUAUGUACUCAAACAUCCUAGCACCAAAUAAUAUCCAGCCAAGCACAACUUUGGAAAUUAUGAUAAUAAAAAAGUAGACAAACCAAGGAGCAUUGUGCAAAAAAUUGGAGUGAAAUUGAUGCAUUUUUCUAUUUUAUAUGAUUUUUUGAAGUUAAGGAAAAAAAUAAAAAAUGAAAAUGGACAUAGCAUGUGAAAAUAGGAGGGAAAGGAGAAAAUGAUGAAGCAUUUGAAAUAUUGCACCGGCCAGGAAUCGAAUCAGAUUAACAUUCAAAUUUUGGCGCUCAAAUGAAACGACGCCGUUUUUGGAUCCAAACCCUAAGCCUAAUGGCAUUUCCAGAUUUCGUAGCAAAACAUGAACUCGUAGCAAACGGCAUGAACAUUUCGUAGCUAAUCGGUAGCAAUUCUGGAAAACUAUGAAUGUUCAUAGGUUGAAGAUGAAGAUCAUGAUGAUCUUCAUCUGGAUUUUCCAGAAAAUCUCAAAACGUCCAGAAAUUAACAAGAAUAACACCAAAUGAUUCGUCAUGACAUAUACAUUCAAGAUCAACAACCAAAACACGCAAAAACAUCAAGACAAGCUCGGAUCGAAGAGAAUCAUUUCAACAUGUCAAAUGUUCAAACAUCCAUAACUAACUCAAAACAGCACCAAAUCACAUGAUUCAAAGCUCAAAUUCAUCAGCAUGCUUAGAUCUACAAUAAUAUGGCCAUGAAUUUCAAAAAUAAGAGAUUCGAAUUGUGACCUCUUGAAGUGCAUAUUCGGAUUUGGCUUGUUUCAAGGCUUGUGAUAGCUCCAAUGUUCCUCUAUGAUGCUUAGUGAGAUGAUUAAUGGAGAGAAUGAAGUUCAAACACACUUGAAUUCAGCAGAUUUUGAAAUCACCAUGGAUGCUUCAAGCUUCGAGUAUGCUUCAAUAUGGCACGGUUUGCUUCAAUUCCACGUCCAAUCUUGCUCAACAAUGCUUCAUGAUCAUGAAUCAACCAAGAGAAAGUGUUCUUGUGUGAAGAAAUUGCAAAAAAAAUUGAGAGAAAAGUUUGGAGAUUUUUUGGAUCUAGAUUUGAAAUUCAAUGUUAAUGACCAAAACAGUUAUGCUUAACCUUAUAUAUGCCAUGCUAAUCAUGUUGUAAUCAUGUUUAAGCCUAAUGCAAAUGAGAUUAAUCACUUAUGAGGUGUAUGUGCAAAAAUGGUUUUUCACCUUAUGCAUGGAAUGCAUGUGUGAACAGUACACAAAUCUGAUCCAUUUUCACUUAAAAUCAAUUUUUAAGACCAAUGGUAAUGGCAAAAAGUUCAAACAAUGGUUCAUUUUUGAAUUUUGUAAUUUCCCUCCAAAAAUCCCAUGGAUUAACAAAUGAUCAUGUGAUGACAAUUCAUGUAAUGUGAUGCAUGAUUUGGAAAUUAGAGGUCAAGAGGAGAAUAUUGCAAAAAGAACCACUCAUUUUGGAGCUUUGGUUGAAAAGUUAUGCUCAUUUGAAGUCCCAUGCACACUUUGCCAUGAUUUGGUCAUAUCUCCUUAACCACACAUUAGAAAUUCAUGAUCUUGGACAUUUUGGAAAUGGGAGAGAAAGAUUUACAACUUUGAUGUUCAACAAAAUUUCAUUUGAAGCUUUCUUGAUGAUGUAAUAUUGAGUUGAACUUGGUUCAAAAUCUUUCCAUUUUUGGAAAGUUCAAAUUAUAGGUCACUUGCUAUUUUUGGAAAUUCUUGACCUGACUUCAAAUUCUUCAAUGUAAGUGUUUGAAAUGUCAAAUGAGACUUGUUUGAGCAUGAAUGAAGUAUUUCUAAUCACUUCCCACCUCCAAAUCCACAGUUGACUUUGCAAUUGACUUUCUAGGUCUUCAGAUGACCUGACAAUGUUCUGAUGAAAUUCAAGCCUCUACCAUUUGGGAUUUUGCUUCAAAAUGACAUCAUAGCUCAUAUGAACUCUUGUGAUUGACUGUGGGGCCCAAAACUCAAGAAUGACCACCAUCUAUUGCUCAAUGAAUGCUUUUGAUGCCUUGACCUGUUAUUGCUUCAUCUGCAAGACAAAGGUUAGAUGACAUAUUUUUGUACUUUUGGUUAGUGAUAAAAGAAAAGCAAUGAUGUACAAAUGCAAACAUGCUUGGUGAUCAAGAACCUCUCUCAAAAAGAUGACCCACCCUCAGGGAAGGAAGCAAGGUGUCCAAUGAUCCUUGAGGCAAUGCAAUGAUAUGAUAUGAUGCCAUGAGGGAUCUUAGGGACAAAAUUGGGGUCUUACAGAUGCCCCUAUUUAAGGUCAUUCUAGCCGGAGAAGUGAAGGUUAAAAUCUUCAUCUCGACGCGGUAGAAUGGGCUUAAAUAACAGUAAUGAGACAAAUUUUGGUCCCUAAGAGACCUCAUGAUGCAAAUGUAUGCAUGUAAAAGAAACAACCUCGGUGGUGAAUAUGGGUCCACAAAGAAAAGACGAUCCAUCGGAGUAAUACACUCACCAGGAACAGAGACUCCAACAGGACUCUCAUGGGGAUAACAAAACAGAAAAAGAAUGCAUGAGCAGGACACGACUCUGAAUUAGGGGAAACUGACGCGGCGCGAACAAGACACGAUUGGACUAGAGACCUCACUAGGGAGUAAAGGACUCAAACUGGGGAAAAAAGAAUUCCAAAGGAAGACACAUCCAUUGGAAAGACUCAAGUUGACUCAAACUAUCCACGAAGGAUACUUCGGAUGAAAAUCCGGACUCGGACUGGGGAAAAAGAUUCACACAGAAUCUCCCUGCCGGGGAAAACUGCAUAUAUUGGGGAAAAUGCCAAUACAGCAAAAGGGCAAAAUCAUAAUGGAAACUCCACUUGGGAAAGUCUAACAAAGAGACUCUCCUGGAGAAAAAACUGCAAGAUGAGGUGUUACCGGUUACUGGGUAACAAACUCAAAGAAACAUGUGAUCUAAACACCGACUACUAGGUGAAAGAACAACAAGCUCAGGAAGAAUGAAUAUCUAAGACCGGUAUAAGGGUGAGAGAUAUCAAUCAACCAAACAUCUGAGAAAGACCUGAAAAAGGUACAUCAACUCAGGAAAAUCUGACUCCACAGGGGACCAAGGUCAUAAUAGGGAGCAGAAAGGAAGGAACACCGGGGAUACCGGUUACUGGGUAUAUAAUAGGUGACCAACCAAAGCGUGAAUUGGUAUAUAUGCCAAAACACUCAUCAUCCGAAAGGAGGGCUUGAAAAAGCAAAUCGACUUACAGGAUGGACAUUCGAAUCCACAACGGGAAAACGAAUCUUACUCAACUGGGGACACAAACCCAAAGAGCGCAUGAGAUAUAAUAUCCAUUACCGUCAGAACGUGGAUAACAUACUCGCAUGGAAGAUUAUCCACAACCGGUUACUGGGUUAAUAAAGGAUAAAUCAACCGAAAAGAAAGGCAUCGGGAUACCAACACUAGGUAUAUAAUGAUGACCGAUCAAAGGGAGCAACGAUCAUUACCGACAAAAGGGUAAAUGAAAGAGAACUUACUAGGGAUACAUUGAUAAACAUCAAUUAUCCGGGGAACAAAUCACUGGCAUACGGUGAAAGGACCCGCUGAGGAUAAAAUUGCUAGCAUACGGCAAUUAUCCACAAGGAAAGAUCUGUUGGGGAUACAAUUGUUAGUAUACGGCAAUUACCCAGAAGAAAGAGGGAAUAUCAACAUCAAAUACUGGAUGAAGAUAACCACAAAGAGUAACCAUCAUCGGUUAUGAUGAACAACAAGGUUAACUUUGCAAAGGAGAGAAAGUAGGAUUUACAACUACCGAAUACGGGGUAGAAGACCAAAAACUCUGGCUGAGGAUAAAAUUGCUAGCAUACGGCAAUUAUCCACAAGAAAGCACAGAUUCCGCUAGGGAGACACCAACAACAUAAGAUUUACAACUACCGAAUACUGGGUAGAAGACCACAAAAUCCACCGUCAACCAAAAUGGACCACAAAGGUUACCUCUGCUAGGGGAUAAAAGUAGGAUUUAUAACUACCGAAUACAUGGUAGAAAACCAACAACCCUCCGCGUGGGGAAUGAAAGAAUCACAACUCCGCACGGGGAAACAAAAUAGGGUUUAUAACAAACCACCAACUGCUGAGGAGCAAGAAAAAUAAUAGGGUUUACGACUACCGAACACGGGGUAGAAGACCAUCGACUCUUGCUGAAGAAUAUUCACAAACACCUAUUCCACAAAAGGGAAAAAGGGUAUACAGGAUUUACAACUACCGGGUACUAGGUAGAAAACCAACAACUCUCCUGAGGAAUAAAAGGUAUAUAACCACAAAUUCCGCCAAGAAGAAAGGGGAACAUAGGACUUACAACUACCGGGUACUGGGUAGAGGCCCAAACUCCGCUGGGGAUAAAAAGAAUUAUUUCCGGUUACGGGGCAAUUUAUUCAUUUAUUCCACAGGGAAGCACAAGAGACAGUUUGAAAAAUGCCAAUUCAGGAUCAAACCAAAAAGGCAAACUGAAUCAAGACUCGUCCUAUUAAGGAUAUAACUCAAUAGGAAGAUCCAUCCCAAUAUAUGUGUUGGGAGGAAACGGAAACAACCGUCAUCCACGAGGAUAUAUCUCAGUGGGGAAUUGCAGAAGGACAGACAGACACUUUCUGCUUAAGGGGCUGACUCUAUAUUGAGAUUAGACACCCGACAUCUGCUUGGGAAGAUCUACUGGAGAGAUCUAUAUCACCCUUAGCAGGAGACAACAAUAAAAGGUAUAUGGCAAAAAAUGCAAUCAUGAAUAUCUGAAUGUUGAAAGUAUGCAUGAAUAUGCGUAAUUUAUGUUUGAUGAAUGCUGACAAAACAGACAUCUCUAAUACAAACAAGCCCAGGAAUCACAACGCCCGGUACUACACUUCCAGAGGAAAAUCCAAGGAAAGCUAAUCUGUUGGAGAUCUGAAUGCUAAAAAGCAAAGAUCUGCUGGAAAGCAAAAGGUCAGAGAUAUCAAAUAAAUCACAAAAUCUCUGAGUGAUGGAUCAUCAAUCAACCCAACUAGGGAACAGAAGUUCAUAACAGGCAGAAACUGCCACAAAGACAAAUUUGUUGGGGAAAUGGAGAAAUCCCGAGAUUUCUGCAGGGGGAUCCUCAGUAUCAACUGGGAAACAAGAGUUCACUACUGAAGAGAACAGAACACACAAGUAGAAUCUAGCCGCACAAGCAACUCUACUGGGGAUACUGUCAGCCGCUCCAUUGGGGAUAAACCCACUGAGGGAAAAUAGAUCACAUAAGUAGAUUCUGCCACAAGCUACUCUACUGGGGAUCAAAAGCAUCAGGAAAUCAACCAGAUUUAUGGAUGAUAGAUCUCACCAACCAACCCAACUAGGGAACAGAAGUUUACAACAGGCAAAAACUGCCACAAAAGCAACUCUGUUGAGGAUACUGCAGGGAAACACGAAACUUCUGCAGGGAAACAAUCACAGACAUAAUCCACUGUACCAUAAAUCUACUGGCGAAUUAUCUGAGGAAGAGAAGGAGAGCUGGGGAUCAACCACCAAAUGUUGAACCUUCCAAGAAGAAACUACCCACUACUGAGGAGGAAAUAAUCACUGCUCUGCUGAAGGGAUAAGAGGUGAAAACCUCAACAAGCACUCUGAUGGGAAAGAUAGCAUAAAUGAAGUACAUUAACAACUCCGUUGGCGACUAUACUGAGGAAACAGCCGAAGUACCGGGAGGUCAAUCCACCAACUACCAAAUCUUCCAAAAGGAAAGCACCCAUGCUGGGGAGAGAAUAUUGUUGGAGAGGACUGUGAAGUUCUCAACAAACACUCUGCUUAGGGAACAAAAUCUCAACAGAAGCUCUGCUUAGGGAACAACCCCAACAACAAUCUGGAGAAAGAGAAUACAGCCAAUGCCAGGAAUAUGAACAAAUGUCUUACCUUGUUGGAAAUCAUGCCACCCUUGGGAGAGCACUGAGAAAUUCUUAAGUAUCCUUCCAUCCUUGUGAAUGUUCACUUUGUUUAAAACAACAAUUUUGAAAAAUUUGUUUGUUUAAAACAAUGACAUUUUAUCAAUUAAAACAUGCAAAACAUUUGUUGAAUUGAAACAAAUGAGAGUGCAAAUAAUUGGAUAAAAGCUCAAAUUGAUUUGAUGGAAUGGUAGUCUGCGAAUGGCGAGACUCCAUAGAUCUAUACAAGUUUGAAAUCAGUGAUAUAUAUUGGAAGAGGGCUACAUUGAACAUGCGAAUGGCGAGACUCCAUAGAUCUAUACAAGUUUGAAAUCAGUGAUAUAUAUUGGAAGAGGGCUACAUUGAACAUAAUGAUCCUUUCUCUACCAAUUUGAAUUUCGAUGUAUUCGAAGCUUCAGUUGACAACGAAUCGAGAAUCUCUGACGAAAAGACAGCUUGGAACAGAAAGUCUUGUCAGGAUGCAGUUACUUGCCAAAUCCCUAAUUUUUGCCUAGAUUGCCCUAGGGUGAGGUACUCAAUCUAGCGGGAUGCAAAUAUUCCUUUUUUAUGUCUCUAACUUUUGCCUGGAUCGCCCUUUCGGGUUCUCCACCGAGACCCUCAUUUUUGCCUAAGCCGCCCUUUCGGGUUUUCAACUUAGCGAGCUAUUCUGUUUUUCUUUUAUAUACUUUUUUUUAGGCAAAGUAUUUCUUGACUGCAUUUGAAUUCACAGGACGAGUGAAAUCCUCCCCAUCCAUUAUUGUAAGCAUCAAAGCUCCACCUGAAAAGACUUUCUUAACAACAUAUGGACCCUCGUAGUUUAGAGUCCACUUGCCCCUGGAAUCGGGCGCGAAAAAUAAGACUUUCUUGAGCACGAGGUCACCUUCUCGGAACACACGAGGUUUGACCUUCUUAUCGAAUGCUUUCUUCAUUCUCUGCUGAUAUAACUGACCAUGGCACAUGGCAGUCAAUCGCUUCUCUUCAAUCAAAUUCAACUGGUCGUAACGACUCUGAAUCAAUUCAGCAUCAGUCAACUUGGCUUCCAUCAAGACUCUCAUUGAUGGGAUCUCCACCUCUACUGGGAGAACAACCUCCAUGCCGUAAACAAGAGAGAAAGGGGUUGCCCCUGUUGAAGUGCGGACAGAUGUACGAUAACCAUGCAAAGCAAAUGGCAGCAUCUCAUGCCAAUCUUUGUACGUAACUGUCAUCUUCUGGAUAAUCUUCUUGAUAUUCUUGUUAGCAGCUUCAACAACCCCAUUCAUCUUGGGUCUGUAAGGAGAGGAAUUAUGGUGUGCAAUCUUGAACUCAGCGCACAACUCUUCCAUCAUCUUAUUAUUCAGAUUAGAUCCAUUAUCAGUAAUGAUCUUAUCUGGCACACCAUAACGGCAAAUCAGCUGGUUCUUGAUAAACUUCACAACCACCUGCCUGGUCACAUUCGCAUACGAUGCGGCUUCAACCCAUUUGGUGAAGUAAUCAAUUGCUACGAGAAUAAACCUGUGUCCAUUGGACGCUUUCGGUUCAAUCAUGCCGAUCAUGUCGAUUCCCCACAUAGAGAAAGGCCAUGGUGAUGAAAUCACAUUCAGAAGUGUCGGAGGAAUAUGAAUCUUAUCCGCAUAAAUCUGACACUUGUGGCAUUUCUUCACAUAUUUGCAGCAGUCAGACUCCAUUGUCAGCCAAUAGUAGCCUGCUCUCAACAUCUUUCUAGCCAUGGCAUGUCCAUUGGAAUGAGUACCAAAUGAACCCUCAUGGACCUCAGUCAUCAACAGGUUUGCUUCGUGUCUAUCCACGCAUCUGAGCAAAACCAUGUCAAAAUUUCUCUUGUACAGCACUUCACCACUGAGGUAGAAACUGCCUGACAACCUUCUUAAAGUUUUCCUAUCUUUCACAGAUGCCCCAGGCGGGUAGACCUGGUUCUGAAGGAAAUUCUUGAUAUCAAAAUACCAAGGCUUGUCAUCAUUGACUUCUUCAACUGCAAAUACGUGAGCUGGUCUGUCCAAGCGCAUCACGGUAAUAUUGGGAACUUCAUUCCAAUACUUGACUACAAUCAUCGAAGCAAGCGUAGCAAGCGCAUCUGCCAUCUGAUUAUCCUCUCGAGGAAUAUGAUGAAAGUCAACUUCUGUAAAGAACGUUGAAAUUCUCCACGCAUAAUCUCUGUACGGAAUGAGACCAGGCUGAUUCGUCUCCCAUUCACCCUUGAUCUGAUUGACAACUAGGGCCGAAUCACCAUACACAUCAAGAUGAUUGAUCCUCAAAUCAAUACAUUCUUCCAGUCCCAUAAUGCAGGCCUCAUACUCAGCCAUAUUAUUCGUGCAUUUGAAAGUUAGCCUUGCUGUAAAUGGAAUAUGUGUGCCAUGAGGAGUAAUGAUUACUGCCCCAAUUCCAUUUCCAAUUCUUCCAGUCCCAUAAUGCAGGCCUCAUACUCAGCCAUAUUAUUCGUGCAUUUGAAAGUUAGCCUUGCUGUAAAUGGAAUAUGUGUGCCAUGAGGAGUAAUGAUUACUGCCCCAAUUCCAUUUCCAAACUCAUUUACCGUGCCAUCAAACACCAUCGUCCAUCUGGAACCAGGUUCCGGACCUUCAUCAAGUGUAGGCUCAUCACAAUCUUUCAUUUUCAAAUACAAAAUCUCCUCAUCUGGGAAUUCGUACUAAACAGACUGAUGAUCUUCAAUCGGCUGAUGUGCCAAAUGGUCAGCCAAGAUACUACCUUUAAUAGCUUUCUGUGCUCGAUACUCGAUAUCAUACUCAGACAACAACAUCUGCCAACGGGAAAUCCUCCCAGUUAAAGCAGGCUUCUCAAAAAUAUACUUGAUUGGAUCCAUUCGGGAUAUCAACCAAGUUGUAUGAUUUAUCAUGUACUGGCGUAGACGCUUAGCAGCCCAAGCCAAAGCGCAGCACGUCUUCUCAAGCAUAGAGUAUCGAGACUCACAAUCGGUAAACUUCUUACUCAGGUAGUAGAUAGCAGAUUCUUUCUUCCCUGAUUCAUCUUGUUGACCGAGUACACAACCCAUCGAGUCUUCAAGAACAGUCAGAUACAUGAUCAAAGGUCUUCCUUCUACAGGCGGAGACAAGAUCGGAGGUUCGGACAGAUACUCUUUGAUACUGUCGAAAGCUUUCUGGAAAUCCUCGGUCCAAUUAUGAGAUUGAUAUUUCCGGAGGAGCUUGAAUAUCGGCGCACAUGUGGCAGUCAUGUGGAAUAUAAAUCUGGAAAUAUAGUUCAAGCGGCCAAGAAAACCUCGGACUUGCUUUUCAGUUUUGGGCGCAGGCAUCUCUUGUAUUGCUUUGACCUUUGCAGGAUCAACCUCAAUACCUCUCUCACUGACAACAAAACCCAACAACUUGCCAGAACGGACUCCAAAUGUACAUUUAUUCGGAUUCAGACGAAGCUUGUACUUCCUCAAACGCUGAAAAAGCUUCAACAAAUGCUCAACAUGUUUAACUUCCGUUCGGGACUUAGCAAUCAUGUCAUCAACAUAGACCUCUAUCUCCUUGUGCAUCAUAUCAUGAAACAAGGUAGUCAUAGCACGUUGAUACGUGGCUCCGGCGUUCUUCAGACCGAAGGGCAUCACUCGAUAACAGAAUGUUCCCCAAGGUAAGGUAGUCAUAGCACGUUGAUACGUGGCUCCGGCGUUCUUCAGACCGAAGGGCAUCACUCGAUAACAGAAUGUUCCCCAAGGUGUGAUGAAUGUUGUCUUCUCCAUAUCCUCGGGUGCCAUUUUGAUUUGGUUAUAACCGGAAAAUCCGUCCAUAAAUGAGAAGACUUUGAAUUUAGUUGUAUUGUCUACCAACAUAUCAAUGUGUGGUAGAGGAAAAUCAUCUUUCGGACUAGCUUUAUUCAGAUCUCUAUAAUCAACGCACAUACGGACUUUUUCGUCUUUCUUAGGCACAGGCACAAUGUUGGCCACCCAUAGAGGAUAUGUAGAAGUCACCAGAAACCCCACAUCAAUUUGCUUCUGAACUUCCUCUUUGAUCUUCACUGUCAUAUCUGGAUGAGUUCUUCUGAGCUUCUGCUUCACAGGCACGCACUCAUGCUUCAAAGGCAGGAAAUGUUGCACAAUAUCUGUAUCUAGACCUGGCAUGUCUUCAUACGACCAAGCAAAGAUAUCGGAAUAUUCUCGUAGCAAACUGAUCAACCCCUCCUUGACAGACUCUUCAAGGAGUGCCCCAAUCUUCACCAUACGAACACAAUCUUCAGACCCCAAGUUGACUGUUUCCAGAUCUUCGAGAUGCGGCUGAAUGAUCUUCUUCUCGUGCUCAAGGAGACGGGUAAUCUCAUCAGGAAUCCCUUCAACAUCAUCUUCCUCUGCCUCGAAUACAGGGAAUUCAAAAUUGGGAGAUGGCGUUGGAUCAUUAUGUUCAAUGGGUUUUAGAAUCAACCUGCAUAAUGAUUUUGGUUAAUAAAAACUUUAGAAUUUAAACAAGCAAAUCAUUAUGCAGAUGAAAAAGAUUGCUUUUAUUCUUGUUUUUUAGGUUUUUUUGUGAUCACUGAUUUCAUGCAAAAGCAAAAAGUGAAAACAAAUGGAAAAACAAAUGUUUAACAAUGCAUUAAUUGAAUGAAAUAUCAUUGUAUAAAUGCUGCCAACAAUGUCAUCACUUCUCCUUUUGGCAUGGGAGAAGGGUUUUGAACAAAGUGAACCAUUACUCUGAUCUAUGAAUGACCGUAGGAACAUCUACAGCGACCCAAUUGUGGCAGAUCCCGCCAGGGAUGACAAAAUUGUCAGUAUCCUCUGCAUCCUCUUCCAAGAUAGCAGCAGCUUCUUCAGCUUGAUCAGCAUGGAUGAAACCUCCACUCUUGAACAGCCCUUGCUCGUUGAAUGCCCCAGAAGAAUAGCCAAUGCCAGCCCGAGACUUAUUGUCUUCAAGCUCGAUCAUCUUCCCUAAACCAGCAACUGCACCACAUUCAAUGGCCAGUUUCGCAUCACGAUAGGAAGCAAAUGAAGGAGACUUCUUCUCAAUAGGCUCAGCAAUAGAUAAAGCUUGGAAAGGAGUUCCAACUUCAUCCUCAGCAUCAAUAUAUGAGAAAGAAGACAGGUGGCUAACCAGGAGAGCCUUUUCUCCCCCUACCACAACCAGUUUCUUAUUCUUAACGAAUUUCAGCUUCUGGUGUAGGGUGGAUGUCACGGCGCCAGCCUCGUGAAUCCAUGGUCUACCAAGGAGACAGCUAUAAGAUGGGUGGAUAUCCAUAACCUGAAAGGUAACUUGGAAAUCACUUGGUCCAAUCUUGAUUGGGAGAUCAACUUCCCCAAUCACGGUCUUACGCGACCCAUCAAAAGCUUUCACAACUACACCACUUUGCCUCAUGGGAGGCCCCUGAUACGACAAUCUCGAAAGAGUGGUCUUCGGCAAUACAUUCAAAGAUGACCCAGUGUCCACCAGCACGUUGGACAUGGCGUCGUUCUUGCAAUUCAUAGAAAUAUGUAAAGCCAUGUUGUGGUCUCUUCCCUCCUCAGGGAGAUCAGCGUCACAGAAACUCAAAGUGUUGCAAGCAGUAAUGUUUGUAACUAUACUGUCAAACUGCUCAAUUGUGACGUCAUGAUCAACAUAAGUCACGUCCAAUACUUUCUACAGAGCCUCCCUAUGGGGUUCUGAAUUCAGAAGCAAGGAUAACACGGAGAUCUUGGACGGUGUUUGUAGAAGCUGGUCUACAACGUUGUACUCACUCUUCUUGAUGAGCCUCAAAAUCUCAUCAUAGUCUUCAUUCACAAUGCCACUCGGGCCAACAGAAGAAGUAGGAGUCUUUUGUACAGAGGAGGAUUUGGCAACAGGUGUCGGGUUCGGAACAUUCACCGCAGUCCCAACCGGACGCUCAGCAGAAUCAGAAAUAACAUGAGGCUUCAGGGGUGCAGAAAAUACACGACCACUCCGGGUCAACCCGCUCACAUCAACAAUAUUUACCACAGAGGUUGAAGGCAAAGGCACUUCUUUCCCAUCUUCCACAGCAACUGGACUGUAACGAAAGGGAAUCGCUCUCUCAGAAGAAUAAGGCCCAGGGCCUGCAGGUUUGAUCACCAAAGAAGGAGAGACCUUCGGCUUGCUACCAUCAUAACGGAUGACAACAGGCUCAGGAAUCUUGAACACAGGAGAAAUCACAUUCACCUCAGGUUCGUCUUCAUCAACAUUUCUGUUUUGAAGAAUCUCAAUAGUACCAUCAUCUAGCAGCUCUUGAAGCUCUCUGCGUACUUGGCGACAACCCAGACGAUUGACAGAGCAGAUACGGCAUUUGUCAUGGUCGUGCUCCAUAUGACUGUAAUCACACAGCAGACGAUGCAACUCAACCAAUGACUGUCGAAUAUGGCUUACAUAUUUGACCUUGUAUUUGCCAGGGCAACCCUGGACCAUGUUAACCGACUUCCCAUGCUCGGGCAAUGGGUUCUUCGUAACAUUGGGGCCUGAGUCCUCAAAGCUCAGAAUGCCGCAUCUCAUAAGGUCUUGCACCUUAGUCUUCAAUGGAUAGCAGUUUUCUAUAUUGUGACCGGGAGCACCGGAAUGAUAAACACAAUGCUGGUCGGGCUUGUACCACCACUGCGGGUUAGCAGGUACAACCGGAGGAUCCCUCGGGGUAAUCAGUUUCCGCUCUAUUAAAGAGGGAUAUAGCUCAGCGUAUGACAUAGGAAUAGGAUCGAAAGCGAUCUUCUUCCUAUCAUAAUUCAAAUUAGCCUGAUUACUGUUGCCACGAGGCUGGUAAGCCUGUUGCUGUGGACGAUGCUGCUGUUGAUACUGAGGUUGUUGCUGAUUAUGCUGAUUGUUGUCUCUGAAGACAGGUGCUAUGUGAGCCACCUGAUGCUGGUUGCUGGCAUGACGCACAGGCUUCCUCUUGGCAGAGGGUCUUCUGGGUUUAGCAUGGGAUUGCACAGCAUGUGCCUCCCCAUCUUUCUUCUUAAACGCCCCAUAUCGUUUAGAAGAGCCUUCAUCCUUAGAUAACCGUCCUUCCCGGACUCCUUCCUCCAAUCGCAUCCCCAUGUUCACCAUCUCGGUGAAAUCAGAGGGAGCACUAGCGACCAUCCGCUCAUAAUAAAAUGAACUAAGAGUCUUCAGAAAGAUCUUAGUCAUCUCCUUCUCUUCCAGCGGAGGAGUAAUCUGAGCUGCCAGCUCUCGCCACCUCUGGGCGUAUUCCUUAAAUGUCUCUUUGUCCUUCUGGGACAUAGCUCUGAGUUGAUCACGGUCAGGAGCCAUAUCCACAUUAUAUUUUUAUUGCUUGACGAAGGCUUCGCCAAGAUCGUUGAAGGAACGGAUGUUUGCACUAUCAAGGCUCAUAUACCAACGAAGAGCUGCACCAGACAAACUAUCCUGGAAAUAAUGAAUCAGCAACUGAUCAUUAUCAGUCUGAGUAGACAUUUUCCUGGCAUACAUAACCAGGUGACUGAGCGUGCAGGUGUUCCCCUUAUACUUCUCAAAGUCUGGGACUUUGAAUUUGACAUGUAUCUUAACACCGGGAACCAAGCAUAGUUCAGCAGCAGACUUGUCGAACAAAUAUUUCCCUCAGAGGGUCUUCAAUUCCUUGUGGAGCUCAAAGAAUUGGUCAUUCAUAGCUUCCAUCUUUUCAUUAACAUCUGGGCCCUCAGACGGCUCAAAAUGAUAGAUGGUGUCGUCUACCCUGGGAAUGGUAUGCACGACAGGAGGAGGCAUCGCAAGGACCGGACUAGAUGCCGGCAUGGAAGCAAAUGUAGGAGCUAGAAUAUCUGGCAUAAAGCCUGGAGGCAUACCCCACGGAAACCCGGCUGGCAUGGCAUUCGGCAUAAAAUGAGCACUGGCAGCUGGCACUGUUGACGAAGCAACCUCAGAAAUAACAGUCCUCUGGGGAGGAGUUGCAGGAGGUGGAGAUGGUUGAUUCUGGGCAGCCAAGAAUUGCUCCAUCAGAGCGCUCAAUCUAGCAACCUCUUCCUUCAGCUCUCGGUUCUCUUGUUCAAGUUGAUCCAUCACUCUUGCAGAAUUGGCUCGGGUGUAGUACCGAUGAGUCAGCUUGUCUUCAAAAUAAAUGAAGAGCACAGAGUUAGGCCACAGACAAGAAGACCAAAACAACACCUGCUUAUGCAAAUGAUGCAUGCAAUGCUCGUGCAUAUGCUUUGUUUUUAUUUCAAGGAACUUUUAGGGUUCUAUUUACAAAUUUUUAAAUUUAAAGCAUUUAAUCGCAUAUGGGAAAUAUCUCAUCAAAUAUAUAUUUGAGAUAAAGAAGUACAGCAUUGUUGAUUAUUACAAGGGAAAAGGAAAAUAAACAUCCUAUGGAUCCCUAGAAGCUCGAGAUGCCGGAAGACGAGAUACACAAAGCUUCUUGAUCUCUCUCUCAUAUGCUGCUUCCAUAUCCGCUUUCUCCUUAGCAAGUCGAUCAUACUUCCUCUUCCAGAAUUUGGAAGACUGAGGAAGCAUAGAAGUCCAGGUAUCAUUCGGAUCAUCUAUCAUCUGAUGCUCGAGGAAUUCGAUCAGAGCAUCCUUCUCCUUAAGCUGUUGGAGCAACUCUUCUCUUUCACGGAUCCAGGCACGUGAAACGUCUUCUUCUCUCAACUCCUCUACACUUUGGUUAGGGAGGGUUGAAGGCCCAGCCAUAUCCAAAGGUGUAGGUCUCGGAUAAUCAUAAGGCAUAAGAUACUCUGAUGCUCUCUGUCUGACCCAAGAAGUAUACGGCUCCAAAGCAAUGCAGUUCUUCGGACCCAAUUCACUUCUACCCUUCUUGUGAAUCUUGCGUCAAGCGCGGACCAUCCUAGCUUUCAGGCCUUGGGGAUCUUUACCCUCCUGAAAGAACACACCUUCUAACAGAAUGUUAUGAGGUUUAUCCUUUAGGGGGAACCCAAGCUGAUGACGUGCUAAGAUAGGGUUGUAGCUGAUCCCACCACAUGUACCAAGAAGAGGCACAUUAGGGAAUAACAGAAUGUUAUGAGGUUUAUCCUUUAGGGGGAACCCAAGCUGAUGACGUGCUAAGAUAGGGUUGUAGCUGAUCCCACCACAUGUACCAAGAAGAGGCACAUUAGGGAAUUCACCACAAUAAUCAAUAAUAUGAACUGUAUCAUACACGCGAUCAUACCAAGAGAUAUCGUCAUUAGUGAGAGACAUAAGUCUCGUAGACCACCGUAAACAUCCCUUGUUCUCCUUGAAAGCAACCGUCUGCGGUAAGUGAGAAAUAAACCACUUAUACAACAGAGGAAAACAGCACACAAUAACUCCUCCACCCUUUGUAUUCCUCAGAUGCAAAGAGAAAUAGGUAUCACCCAACAGAGUAGGAACGGGAUUAGGAAAAGAAAAGAUCCUAAUGGCGUUCACAUCCACAAAUUUGUCGAUGUUGGGGAACAAUACCAAACCAUAGAUGAGCAGCACGAAUAUGGCCUCAAAGGCGUCCUCACUCAGGGCCUUCCCAUAAAUGGUAGCUUGAGCAACGAGGAAAUCAGAAGGAAGACCCUGAAUUCCACCUUUGGUGGUCAUAUGCGCUUCAAUAAGGGAUUCAUCUAUGUGCAACAAGUCUGCAAUCUCUCGAGAAGUCGGAAUACUCUCUAAGCCACUGAACGGCACCUGAUCCAGAAUAGGAAUACCCACAAGAUGAGCAUACUCCUCGAGCGUAGGCAACAGCUGAAAGUCCGAAAAAGAGAAGCAAUGAUACAGAGGAUCAUAGAACUGCACCAAAGUACUCAUCAACCCUUCAUCAACCUGAGUAGUCAACAGGUCCCAUAACGAGCUCUGAAACCCAAGGGAUCUAAUACAUAAGAUGUCAGAUUCCUUAACUCUUUCAGACCGGGCUGUCUAAAGCUGUACUUCUUUGUAUGCCUUUUUGGUCUUUCCAUGUCUGAAAAUUUUGCAAAUAAACCCUUUAAGUUCCUUGAAAAUUUUCUGAUUUUUCUGAUGACAUGAAUGCAGAUGAAUGCAUGAAUGNNNNNNNNNNNNNNNNNNNNNNNNNNNNNNNNNNNNNNNNNNNNNNNNNNNNNNNNNNNNNNNNNNNNNNNNNNNNNNNNNNNNNNNNNNNNNNNNNNNNNNNNNNNNNNNNNNNNNNNNNNNNNNNNNNNNNNNNNNNNNNNNNNNNNNNNNNNNNNNNNNNNNNNNNNNNNNNNNNNNNNNNNNNNNNNNNNNNNNNNNNNNNNNUUAUUAUUUUUGUGUUUGAACGGAUGAACCCGUUGCCUACGUACCUUUCCAUGGAAGGUAAGGAUCAAAACGCCGUAGUUCGGCUAAAAGAUUUCCAAAAUAUAAGUGGGUUGAUUUUAAAACAAAAGCCCUAAGGUCUUUCGUUAUCCACGGGAGAAAACUCAACCUUAUACAAACAACAAGUCCACCAUGUGAGAAAAGCUUCAACUUGCUAGUGAGGGGUUAACCCUAUAAUAAGCAAGGAAGUCUUACAAUUUAAUCACUAAGGACAAAAGGUGAGAUUAACAUCAACCAAAUAGGAUAAAUCAAACCUAUGGCUAAUGUAUGAAAACUUAUCAAGAAUGGACAAAGCCACAAAACAAUUGAAUGAGUGGAAUUAACCAAUUAGAAUUUAUUCACAAAAGAUGGUCAAUAUGAUGAUUAGAAUUCAAUUCAAAAGAAGUAUUAUGAAAAUGAAGUUGGAAAAUCAAAGGCUGAAAGCCUAGGUUUCUAUUUUGAAAAGAAAUGAAAAUGUUUGCACAAUAGUUUUCAGGUUUUGGGUUAACCUGCAAAUGGAGGUUUAAAGAAACAAAAGGUGGGGGGUGAGGAAGUAAAACUUCUUAGGUAUUCACCUCUUGAGAUCAUAUGUAGAUGAUUCAAGUGACUCCUUUGGAAUAAGCAAUAAAUGAUAACAAAUACACAAAGUAAAUGGAUACCGGAUGCCAAUCAAUGGACUUAUUCCAAUCUCACAAAACAAAAAUGGAUAUCGGAUGCCAAUCAAUGGACUUAUUCCAAUCUCCCAAAACAAAAAUGGAUACCGGAUGCCAAUCAAUGGACUUAUUCCAAUCUCCCAAAACAAAAAUGGAAAAAACAAAAAUGGAUAUCGGAUGCCAAUCAAUGGACUUAUUCCAAUCUCCCAAAACAAAAAUGGAUACCGGAUGCCAAUCAAUGGACUUAUUCCAAUCUCCCAAAACAAAAAUGGAUACCGGAUGCCAAUCAAUGGACUUAUUCCAAUCUCCCAAAACAAAAAUGAAACAAUGAUACCAGAGGCCAAUCAAUGGAGUUAUACUAGUCUCACAAAACAAAAAUGGAUACCGGAUGCCAAUCAAUGGACUUAUACCAAUCUCCCACCAUAUCAUAGGAAACAACUGCCAAGCAAUGGACUUAUGCUUGCUUCCUCCAUGGACAAAACAAAAUGUCACAAAGAUAUGAACAAUGUUUAUGAAAUGAUAUACAAGUGAUAAUGAUACAUGCACAAAGGCAUACUCAAGCAAAUAUGCACAGAUGAAUCAAGUAAGCAAACACACAAGUCAAUUAGCACACACUAUAUACAAUCAAUUAGGCUCAAGCAAGGUUAGGCUUUACAGCCAACUGGAAUUGGGUAUUUUGAGCUCUUAACCCUAACAUUGAGAGUUAGGGUGAAGCAGAUGAAAAGGAGAUGAGGGGUGUGCCUCAUAGCUCUUAUCCCUGGUCAGGGAGAGCUUUAAACAAUGGAAAGUGUGGGAGUUCAAAAAGUUGGAACUCUUCUCCACAAAUGGACUCUAUAAGAUCUUGGGUUAUUAUUCACCAUGCAUCAACACAUGGUGUGAGCAAGGUGAAUGACACACUGAGUAGCAGGAGAUGGAUUACACAUCUCUUUUAUCUGCCAAUUGCCUCAUAAGAGGACUUUUCCUGCUUGGCACAAAAAUUAAACAAUCACAAGCAUUGCCUCUUAAGGAGGACUUCAGACAGGUGCCUACCAAUAACAGUAGGUCUUCCAGACUACAUGAAGAUUAGAGAUUAUACCUAAGUGGUUUAGCAACCAAGCAAAAGCAAAGUUCAAAUGAACUUAAAGCAACUUAAGUACUUGUGGAAACACUAAACAAAACAGUACAAUACUCAGACAAACAGACAACAGUCAAUAAGCAACAGACAAUCCCAAUGUACAAAAUGUGUAAGCCAAAAGCAAAACUCAAAUGAGUUAGCAUCAACCUACAAAACACACAAAUGUUAAUAAUCAAAAGCAAACAUCAAUGCUCAAAUGAUGAAGCAUCAUCAACUAUGGAACUUGGAUGUCCAACCUGAAAUCAAAGCUCAAAUGUAAGCCACAAACCACUAGGUCAAAGCCUAGGGUCAAAGAUGGAGAAAAAAUUUGAAACAGGAGCUCAAAUUUAACAUGAAUCAACUUCAAUCACAUCUUGACACAUUCCAAAAGGUCUCACAUCAAAAUCAAUUACCAAAAGCAUUUCAUGAUCAAGUGAAGUUCAAGGCAAUUUUAAAGCUCAUAUGUGAUCAUCAUGAAUGAAAAAUUCAAAUCAAAACAGAAAUGAUUCAAAUAAUUCUGGAAAAAAGCAUGCACAUUCAAGACAUCUAACAUUAUCAACAUACAAAAAAUCAGAAGUAUUGGACAUCAUUUGGUAUGGAAAUCACAUGGUACAAGUUGAACAUUCAAAGGUGUGACACAAAUUGUCACACCAAGUUAGCACAAGCAUAAAACANNNNNNNNNNNNNNNNNNNNNNNNNNNNNNNNNNNNNNNNNNNNNNNNNNNNNNNNNNNNNNNNNNNNNNNNNNNNNNNNNNNNNNNNNNNNNNNNNNNNNNNNNNNNNNNNNNNNNNNNNNNNNNNNNNNNNNNNNNNNNNNNNNNNNNNNNNNNNNNNNNNNNNNNNNNNNNNNNNNNNNNNNNNNNNNNNNNNNNNNNNNNNNNNNNNNNNNNNNNNNNNNNNNNNNNNNNNNNNNNNNNNNNNNNNNNNNNNNNNNNNNNNNNNNNNNNNNNNNNNNNNNNNNNNNNNNNNNNNNNNNNNNNNNNNNNNNNNNNNNNNNNNNNNNNNNNNNNNNNNNNNNNNNNNNNNNNNNNNNNNNNNNNNNNNNNNNNNNNNNNNNNNNNNNNNNNNNNNNNNNNNNNNNNNNNNNNNNNNNNNNNNNNNNNNNNNNNNNNNNNNNNNNNNNNNNNNNNNNNNNNNNNNNNNNNNNNNNNNNNNNNNNNNNNNNNNNNNNNNNNNNNNNNNNNNNNNNNNNNNNNNNNNNNNNNNNNNNNNNNNNNNNNNNNNNNNNNNNNNNNNNNNNNNNNNNNNNNNNNNNNNNNNNNNNNNNNNNNNNNNNNNNNNNNNNNNNNNNNNNNNNNNNNNNNNNNNNNNNNNNNNNNNNNNNNNNNNNNNNNNNNNNNNNNNNNNNNNNNNNNNNNNNNNNNNNNNNNNNNNNNNNNNNNNNNNNNNNNNNNNNNNNNNNNNNNNNNNNNNNNNNNNNNNNNNNNNNNNNNNNNNNNNNNNNNNNNNNNNNNNNNNNNNNNNNNNNNNNNNNNNNNNNNNNNNNNNNNNNNNNNNNNNNNNNNNNNNNNNNNNNNNNNNNNNNNNNNNNNNNNNNNNNNNNNNNNNNNNNNNNNNNNNNNNNNNNNNNNNNNNNNNNNNNNNNNNNNNNNNNNNNNNNNNNNNNNNNNNNNNNNNNNNNNNNNNNNNNAUCAACAUACAAAAAAUCAGAAGUAUUGGACAUCAUUUGGUAUGGAAAUCACAUGGUACAAGUUGAACAUUCAAAGGUGUGACACAAAUUGUCACACCAAGUUAGCACAAGCAUAAAACAACAAUGGUAAUUGAGAAAAAUGUCAAACCAAAACCAAAAUGUCAAGCAAUGUGUCUAGUUUCAUCAUGCAAAAUUUCACAUUCAUUGGAUAAGAAACAAGCAUUUCACAAAGAGAUAAGCAAGGUAAGGUCAAACAAGCAUAUGUACUCAAACAUCCUAGCACCAAAUAAUAUCCAGCCAAGCACAACUUUGGAAAUUAUGAUGAUAAAAAUGUAGACAAACCAAGGAGCAUUGUGCAAAAAAUUGGAGUGAAAUUGAUUCAUUUUUCUAUUUUAUAUGAUUUUUUGAAGUUAAGGAAAAAAAUAAAAAAUAAAAAUGGACAUAGCAUGUGAAAAUAGGAGGGAAAGGAGAAAAUGAUGAAGCAUUUGAAAUAUUGCACCGGCCAGGAAUCGAAUCAGGUUAACAUUCAAAUUUUGGCGCUCAAAUGAAACGACGCCGUUUUUGGAUCCAAACCCUAAGCUGCAUGGCAUUUCCAGAUUUCGUAGCAAAACAUGAACUCGUAGCAAACGACAUGAACAUUUCGUAGCUAAUCGGUAGCAAUUCUGGAAAACGAUGAAUGUUCAUAGGUUGAAGAUGAAGAUCAUGAUGAUCUUCAUCUGGAUUUUCCAGAAAAUCUCAAAACGUCCAGAAAUUAACAAGAAUAACACCAAAUGAUUCGUCAUGACAUAUACAUUCAAGAAAUGAAUGUUCAUAGGUUGAAGAUGAAGAUCAUGAUGAUCUUCAUCUGGAUUUUCCAGAAAAUCUCAAAACGUCCAGAAAUUAACAAGAAUAACACCAAAUGAUUCGUCAUGACAUAUACAUUCAAGAUCAACAACCAAAACACGCAAAAACAUCAAGACAAGCUCGGAUCGAAGAGAAUCAUUUCAACAUGUCAAAUGUUCAAACAUCCAUAACUAACUCAAAACAGCACCAAAUCACACGAUUCAAAGCUCAAAUUCAUCAGCAUGCUUAGAUCUACAAUAAUAUGGCCAUGAAUUUCAAAAAUAAGAGAUUCGAAUUGUGACAUCUUGAAGUGCAGAUUCGGAUUUGGCUUGUUUCAAGGCUUGUGAUAGCUCCAAUGUUCCUCUAUGAUGCUUAGUGAGAUGAUUAAUGGAGAGAAUGAAGUUCAAACACACUUGAAUUCAACAGAUUUUGAAAUCACCAUGGAUGCUUCAAGCUUCGAGUAUGCUUCAAUAUGGCACGGUUUGCUUCAAUUCCACGUCCAAUCUUGCUCAACAAUGCUUCAUGAUCAUGAAUCAACCAAGAGAAAGUGUUCUUGUGUGAAGAAAUUGCAAAAAAAAUUGAGAGAAAAGUUUGGAGAUUUUUUGGAUCUAGAUCUGAAAUUCAAUGUUAAUGACCAAAACAGUUAUGCUUAACCUUAUAUAUGCCAUGCUAAUCAUGCUGUAAUCAUGUUUAAGCCUAAUGCAAAUGAGAUUAAUCACUUAUGAGGUGUAUGUGCAAAAAUGGUUUUUAACCUUAUGCAUGGAAUUCAUGUGUGAACAGUACACGAAUCUGAUCCAUUUUCACUUAAAAUCAAUUUUUAAGACCAAUGGUAAUGGCAAAAAGUUCAAACAAUGGUUCAUUUUUGAAUUUUGUAAUUUCCCUCCAAAAAGCCCAUGGAUUAACAAAUGAUCAUGUGAUGACAAUUCAUGUAAUGUGAUGCAUGAUUUGGAAAUUAGAGGUCAAGAGGAGAAUAUUGCAAAAAGAACCACUCAUUUUGGAGCUUUGGUUGAAAAGUUAUGCUCAUUUGACGUCCCAUGCACACUUUUCCAUGAUUUGAUCAUAUCUCCUUAACCAUACAUUAGAAAUUCAUGAUCUUGGACAUUUUGGAAAUGGGAGAGAAAGAUCUACAAUUUUCAUGUUCAACAAAAUUUCAUUUGAAGCUUUCUUAAUGAUGUAAUACUGAGUUGAAGUCGGUUCAAAAUCUUUCCAUUUUUGGAAAGUUCAAAUUAUAGGUCACUUGCUAUUUUUGGAAAUUCUUGACUUGACUUCAAAUUCUUCAAUGUAAGUGUUUGAAAUGUAAAAUGAGACUUGUUUGAGCAUGAAUGAAGUAUUUCUAAUCACUUCCCACCUCCAAAUCCACAGUUGACUUUGUAGUUGACUUUCUAGGUCUUCAGAUGACCUGACAAUGUUCUGAUGAAAUUCAAGCCUCUACCAUUUGGGAUUUUGCUUCAAAAUGACAUCAUAGCUCAUAUGAACUCUUGUGAAUGAUUGUGGGGCCCAAAACUCAAGAAUGACCACCAUCUAUUGCUCAAUGAAUGCUUUUGAUGCCUAGACCUGCUAUUGCUUCAUCUGCAAGACAAAGGUUAGAUGACAUAUUUUUGUACUUUUGGUUAGUGAUAAAAGAAAAGCAAUGAUGUACAAAUGCAAACAUGCUUGGUGAUCUUCUUGGAGAGAGUUUUUCUACUCCCACCCUCAGGGAAGGAAGCAAGGUGUCCAAUGAUCCUUGAGGCAAUGCAAUGAUAUGAUAUGAUGCCAUGAGGGAUCUUAGGGACAAAAUUGGGGUCUUACACAAAUGUACAAAUAAUAUGGUUGAGUAUGAAGCUUGCAUUAUGGGGCUUGAAGAGGCCAUAGAUCUCAGAAUCAAAUAUUUGGAUGUCUAUGGAGAUUCACCUUUGGUUGUGAAUCAGAUCAAAGGUGAAUGGGAGACGAAUCAACCCAAUUUGAUACCAUAUAGAGAUUAUGCUAGGAGGAUUUCAACUUUCUUUACAAAGGUUGAGUUUCAUCAUAUCCCUCAAGAUGAAAACCGAAUGGCAGAUGCUCUUGCAACAUUGGCUUCGAUGAUUAUGGUGAAAUUCUGGAAUGAAGUCCCCAAUUUGACUAUGAUGCGUCUUGAUAGGCCAUCUCAUGUGUUUGCUAUUGAAGAGAUCAAAGAUGAAAAGCUGUGGUAUUUUGAUAUCAAGUGUUUUCUCCAAAGUCAGAUCUACCCGCCUGGGGCAUCUUUGAAAGAUAAGAAGACUUUGAGAAGAUUAGCCGGCAAUUUCUACCUGAAUGGUGAUGUGCUUUAAAAGAGAAACUUUGAUAUGGUUCUGCUCAUAUGCUUAGAUAGACACGAAGCAGAGCUAUUAAUGACUGAAGUCCAUGAAGGUUCCUUUGGUACUCAUUCCAAUGGUCAUGCAAUGGCAAAGAAGAUGUUACGAGCAGGUUACUAUUGGCUGACAAUGGAAUCUGACUGUUGCAAGUUUAUGAAGAAAUGCCACAAGUGUCAAAUUUAUGCAGAUAAUUUCAUGUUCCUCCGACAUUGUUGAACUUAAUUUCCUCCCCGUGGGCCUUCUCUAUGUAGGGAAUUGAUAUGAUUGGCAUGAUUGAGUCCAAAGCGUCAAAUGGACAUCGUUUCAUUUUGGUGGCAAUUGACUACUUCACAAAGUGGGUUGAAGCGACAUCGUAUGCAAAUGUAACCAAGCAAGUUGUUGUGAGGUUUAUCAAGAAUCAGAUCAUAUGCCGUUAUGGUGUGCCAAGUAAGAUCAUUACAGAUAAUGGUUCGAACUUGAAUAAUAAUAUGGUGGAAGCUCUUUGCAAAGACUUCAAGAUUGCACAUCAUAAUUCUUCUCCCUACAGACCUAAGAUGAAUGGGGUUGUUGAAGCUGUAAAUAAGAACAUCAAGAAGAUCAUCCAGAAGAUGGUUGUAACAUACAAGGAUUGGCAUGAGAUGCCCCCAUUUUCUUUGCAUGGGUGUCGUACAUCCAUCCGCACUUCAACAGGGGCAACCCCUUUCUCACUUAUUUAUGGCAUGGAAGUUGUGCUCCCUGUAGAGGUUGAGAUCUCAUCAUUGCGUGUUUUGAUGGAAGCCAAGUUGACUGAAGCUGAAUGGUGUCAGACCAGGUAUGAUCAGCUGAAUUUGAUUGAAGAGAAGAGGUUAACGGCCAUGUGUCAUGGCCAGUUAUAUCAGCAUAGGAUGAAGAAGGCAUUUGAUAAGAAGGUCAGACCUCGGGUGUUUAGAGAAGGUGACCUUGUGCUCAAGAAGAUUCUAUAUCUCAAACCAGAUUCUAGGGGAAAAUGGACUCCUAAUUAUGAAGGCCCAUAUGUUGUUAAGAGAGCCUUUUCAUGAGGUGCGUUGAUUCUUACAACUAUGGAUGGUGAAGAGUUCACUCGACCUGUGAACGUAGAUGCAGUCAAGAAAUACUUCGCCUAAAAAGAAAAGAACAACUCGCUAAGUUGAAAACCCGAAAGAGCGGCUUAGGCAAAAAUGAGCGUCUCGGUGGUUUGAAGACCCGAAAGGGAGCUCCAGACAAAAAUUAGAGACAUAAAAACAGAAAGAAAUAUCCCGAUAAAUUGAGUACCCCACCUUGGGGAAAUUUAUGCAAAAAUUAGGGAUUAUGGCAAGUAACUGCAGCCUGUUGAUCUUCAGUUUUUGAAGACUUUCUUGAGCACACUGUCGGAUUCUGAUCCUCAGUAGCAGUCAAGAGCACCGUGGAUAUCAAGAGUUGGUAGAACGAUUAGUGAUCAUUGUAUUCAAUGUAGCCAUUUUCCAUGUAAAUUACCAUUUUUCAAACUUUUGUAAAGAUCUAUGGAGUCUUGUCAUUUACAGACUACCAUUCCAUUAAAUAAAGUUGAGCUUUUAUCCAAUUGUUUCUACUCUUGUUUAAUUCAGCCAAAUAGAUUUAAAUUUUAUUAUGAUCAUUUUUUAAAUUAAAAUUUUAAGCAAAAUCAUAUUUUCUUAAACAUAUAAAAACAUUAAAACAAUCGAUUUCUUUGAGAGGAAUAUCAACAUUGGUUUGAAAGCGGUAAGCCCUAAGGGCGGAGUAUUAUUGGUUUUUCCCAAGUAGUUGGCGUAACUCCUCUUUCAUCCCCAGAAGCAUGUCAGUAUCCGUUGUUUGUUGAUUUUCCCAGUCAAGUUCGUCGGCAUCUCCAACUGAGUUUGUGAUUGGCCUCCCUCGGGUUGUAAGCAUUUCAUUAUAACAGUUUGUUUGGUUUUGGCAGAACUUUGGUCCCCCAUAAGUCACCAUCAGAUUCGUCCCUAGUCAGAGUUUCCUCCUGGUUUCUGAGCAUCUAUUUGUGUUUAUCCCCCGCAAGGUUGUCUCCCAUUUAAUAUGGUGUUGACCUAAAAUUCCCCGCGGAGUUGAUAGCAGUUUCCUCAGCAGAUCUCCUUCUUUCUUCCCCAGAUAGGGUUGAACCUUCAAGGUGUUUAAUAUUUUCUCCAACAGUUGUUUCCCUCUUUUGUGGAUUGGCUAGCAAUUGUAUCGAUAAUUCAAACAAGUGACAUUUUGUAUCCUUUGUGAUUGUUUUUUCACCAUAAUCAUCAUAUAUACAUAUGCAUAUACAUAUAAACUCAUAUAACUUGCAUUAUCGCAUUAUUACAUUUUAUGAUUUUAAUCCCCUGCUAUGGUGGUACUUUAUCCCCAUACAGGUUUGGUGUGUCUGUCCUCCUUCAAUUGUAGAGUGUCAGCCCCCUAAGCAGAAAAACUUUAACCUUUCUCCCUUCCCCACUGAGUUAUUUCCUCGUGGAUGAUUAUUAUUUCAGUUUCCUCCCCAGUUGAGUAUUUAGAUGGAACCACUCUCCUUGAGUUACAUCCUCAUUAGGUUGAGUCUUGAUUGACCGUUUCUUUCUAGAUCUUACCUAGAUAGAUGCUUUUGGUCUUCUAAGAGUCUAUUACCCAGUAAGUGGUAGUAUUCUUCUUAGUUUGCAGUUUGUUACUUCUUGCCCAAUACCCGAAAAAAAUAACCCCCUUUUUUUUCCAGCGGAUUCGUUUUCAUGUUCCCUAGGAAGUAUAUCUUUGAUAUGUUCAUCCUAAUCAAUGACGGAUAUUUCCUUUCCCUUCUUUGAGUUUAUUCUUGAUAUGUUCAUCCUAACCGGUGACGGAUAUUAUCUUCUUGGUAUUCUACCUAGUAAAAAGGUAGUUGUAAUCCCUAUUUUGUUUCCCAGUGAGUUAAUCCUUGAUAUGUUCAUCCUAAUCGAUGACGGGUUUCCUUUUCUUUACGGUCUUCUGCCCAGUAACCGGUAGUUGUAAAUCCUGCUUUUCUCCCCUUUGUAGAGUUUAUCCUUGAUAUGUUCACUCUAACCGCUGACGCAUAUCCUCUUUGUGGUCUUCUAUCCAGUAACUGAUAGAUAUAAUUCCUAUUCUUCCCCUCGGAGUCUAUCCUUGAUAUGUUCAUCCUAACCGGUGACGGAUAUUCUCUUUCUGGUAUUCUAUCCAGCAUUCGAUAGAUGUAAUUCCUACUUUUUGUUCAGGCGAUUUAUCCUUGAUAUGUUCAUCCUAACCGAUGACGGGUAUCCCCCUUAGCAUCCCCAGGAAAGUUUAUCCUUGAUAAGUUCAUCUUAACCGAUGACGGAUUUUCUUCCCUUUGAGUCUAUCCUUGAUAUGUUCACCCUAACAGGUGACGGAUAUUCUCUCCUUUUGGUCUUCUGCCCAGUAAUAGGUAGUUGUAAAUCCUACUUUUUCCCCAGCAAGUCUAUUUUUACCCAGUAAUCGGUAAUAAAUACACCUCCUGGCGGCCCUCAGCGAGUCAUCCUUGAUAUGUUUUCCCUAACCGGUAACGGAUGUCCUCCCUGUCAGAUUUUGUUAUCCCCGUACCCAGUAACCGGUAGUGGAUAAUAUAUUUUUGCUCCUCCUGUGUUGAAGAUCUUUUCUUCCCCAGUCGAGUUUGAGUGCGUUUUUCCUUAGUGAAAUCGUUGUUCCUACUUGGUUCGAGUAUUUCAGUUUUGUUCUGAUCUACCCAUUUCCCUUAAAGACAUUCCUUUUCAUUCCUCGACUGAGUCUUUCCAUUGAUUUUCUUUCAGGGAAUUCCUCCGGUCCCUCAGUUGUUUUAAGUCGUAGCCUGGCCUACGCACAACCCUUUUCCCCUAGAGUCUCUGUCUCCCCAAUGAGUUUUCCUUAUGGGAAUGCAUUAUACUCCUGUGGACUUUCAGUCUCUCCGGAUUCUUUUCCUUUAUGGCAAUAUUUCCCCACAAAGAUUUAUUUUAACAUUCAUAUCAUAUGCAUCAUGAUACGAGUCGACACGAAGAUUUUAACCUUCAUCUCCUCAGUUAGAAUAUCCUUAAAUAGGGGCAACUGUAAGACCCCAAUUUUGACCCUAAGAUCCCUCAUGCUAUACCAUCAUAUGCAUUGGCAUUGGGAUCACACCUUGACAUCUUCCUUCCCCCUCAUUCAUUGGGUUUACAUUGGGAGAGAUCACAAAGCACCAUUUGAUUGUAUUAUACUUUGUAUUUUAUCAUUUUUACUAACCAAAAUACCAAAAAUAUGUCUUUGCAUAUUCUAACUCUUUUGUAGGUAGGCUACAUGCUCACCUUUGGUCUAUCAAGCUCACAUCUAGGGUUUAAGACCCUCAGUGCAAGGAGUUCAAUCAAGAAUUGGUUUACUAUGGCUCUAGGAAUCAUAUAUGGAUCCCCAUGAGCAUAACAUGUUAUUUUGAUCAAGAACUCAUCAAGAUUUUGGAAUUGGUUUGCAGUGGAAACACUAGUUCAUCUGGGUAUCUUGUGUAACUUCUUCACCAAGCUUCUUCAACAAUUGAUCAAAGAUUUCAAGGGAUACUUCAAAUUUCAUCAUCUUAUGUAUAUAUGAUAUCCCAUGUGUUCCAAAAGUCAAGAUAAUUGCAAGUUAGCAAGUUGGUUGAUGGUGGUUGACCAAAGGAAUUCAACUGAUCAAAACUGGGGUUCCCUAGACCCUAUCUCCUACAAUUUUUGUCAUAUGAAAAUGAUUCCAAGAGACACGUUACUCUAAAUUACAUUCCAAACAACUUUCAUGUUAAGGUCUAGAUCUAGUUUUUCUUGUAAAGUCAUUGUUUAUGGUGAAAGAUUAUAGGUCAUUUUGUUUAAACCCUAAUUUGGAGGUCAAGUUCCCAAGGUCAUAACAUGCUCAGUUUUUAUGAGAUGAAAUAUUUCAUAGUUGCACAAUGAAAUUCAAGAUGUCUACUUCAACUUUUAUGAGCAUGUGAUAUGAGGAUAAAUUAUAGGUCAUUUGGGACAAAUACCAUUGAACAAGUAAUUUUCUUCAACUUCAAAAAUGCAUAACUCCUUCAUAUCAAAUCCAAAUAAGGUCAAAUUUAUGACAAUUUUGAAUUACUUUAAAAUAGAUACAACUUUUAUGAAGGAACUUCUCUCAUUUGAAGCUCACACAAAAAGUUAGCCAAGGUGGAAUAAGUGCACAUAUGGCUUGACACUUAGAAAAAAAAUUGAUAUGUUAAAAUUUCCAAACUUCCACCUCAAAUUUCAUCAUGAUACAAGCUUCAAAUGGAAAAAUGUUCAACAUGAAAAAAUGUUCCUCUUGGUCUAACCUUUCCAAAAAGUCUAAUUUCAUCCCUUUUGGACAAGAUUUGAAUGGGCUGCACAUGGCUUGAACAUUGUAUCAUCAUUUGGCAAAAAUCAAACUUCAAACUUCCAUGUACAUUUGUCUUGCAUUCCAAGUUGAUUUUAGACUUGCUCACACUCAAUUAUGGAUCAAAUGGAAUGAUCUCAUGGGCCUCUACAUGCCCAUGCACACAUGCAUCACUCAUUGCCAAUUUUGGAAACUCAAUUGUAAGGUGCAAAUAUCAUGUGAUUCAACUAUAAAUAUAGGCCCAUAUGCUCAAAAAUAAGGACUCCUUCGCGCCAGCUUUGAUCCCAAACACCAAACCCUUCUAUUUGAGAGGAUAAUCCUGAGAAUUUCCUUUGGAAAUUGAGUUUGAAUCUCACUAUUUUGAGAUUCAAAACUCCAGGGAUCCAAGACCUUUUGUGCAUUCUAAUCUACUUCUGCAAGCAUCCUGAGCAAGAUCAAGCACAAGCCAAAGCAAGAACAAGUGAAUCCAGACCUGCAUUGGAGGUAUUUUCUAGAAAAUUGCAUCUCUUCGAUUCUCACUCAAUUCUCUAUAAUUGUCUUGGAUCCAUGGUCGUCUGAAGUCCUACCAAUGUAGGCAACAAGAUUAAGUUGCUUUGAGGUCAAACCGAAGCAACUCAGAUCGUGCACCUCAAAUUUCAACUCCUUGUAUCUCUCAAUAUACUUGGAGUUAGGAUAAAUUGAGGCCAGAUUCAUGCUCAGUGCCGUUUUUACUUUAAAAUCAUGUCCUCUUUUUUAUUUAAGUGAUGGUUAUGAUUCGACCAGUCCGGCGAGGCUCGCCUGAGAAACAGACCGGAGAUUUGCUCCGGUGGUGAGUUGGCAAGGUCCAGAGCCACAUGAUCUGUUUGAUUUGUUCUAAUCACUAGAGUUGGUUUGAAUUACCAAGCUUGUGGCGCACUGACAAGAGUCCAUAAUGGAUUGCGCGCUUGUGGCCACUUGAUUUGCCACCUCAAUUAAUGAGGGAGAUCAAGUGGUCCACAUUUUUUCUGAUUAUUUGAUUUUCAUUUCAUUUGUGUUAUUUUCAUUAAUUCAUAUUAAUUUAAUAUUAAUCUAAAACAUAUGAGAGUUUCACCAAAAAAAUUUAAAUAAAUUCCUCUUCCAUUUUCUGAAUUAAAAUUACUUUUUGGAUCAUUAUUAAUAUUUUUCAUGAUUUAAUUGAUUUUGUGAAUAUUUUUAAUUGUUUAAAAAUAUUUUUAAGUUUCCAAAAAUUAUGAAAAAAUUCCUCCAAGGUCCUUUGACCUUGUUUUACCUAUGAUAAAACUCAUGGUCAUUUCUUUGGUGUUUUGAUGAGGUUUUAGGAAAUUGACCAACCAUAAUUUAAUUUAAUGCAUAUUUUAGUUGAUUUUAAUUGAUUAAAUGCCAAAUAAAUUGUGUUGAGCUUCUAUUAUUGACUUAUUGAGUUUGACUUGUGUUGUUGGGUCUUGGUCAAGGUUGAUUUGACUUUGUUAAGUUAAGAUCAUUGGAUUUAGGGGAUUGAUGAAAUGUACAUUUCAUCUCCCAAAAUGAAUGAAUGAUCUUAAUUUGGUAAUUUGUUAAGUUAAGAUCAUUGGAUUUAGGGGAUUGAUGAAAUGUACAUUUCAUCUCCCAAAAUGAAUGAAUGAUCUUAAUUUGGUAAAAGUCCUCCUUUGACCAAUUUGUGUUGAUUCCAUUCCCCCCUCCCUCUUCAUCUCAUUACCCUUCUUUAUUCAUUCAUGUCAUGGACCUGUGAUAUCUCUAUAUCCUAAGGCUAGUUGAUUGCAAAAUCAACAUGAGUAUGGAUGAGAUUAGGUCCACCAUACUUUUGCAUAUUCUUUUUGUGUGUGGUAUGUUUCAUGAGCAUGGUCCAUUAUACUAUGUAUCUAACAUGCAUUAACACCAAAAUUCUAUUGCCCGACCUCAAAUAGUUGUGACUUCUGGAAGUCAUCUGAUGCAUGGGAAAUUUUGAAGAAGAUCAUGGAGUUGCUAAGCUUGGAUGUGGCUAUCUUUAUUUGAUGCCUUGCUCUUCAUAUUUCUAUUUAUGUAUUGAUAUUGCUUGAUUCUAAAGUCCAAGGGAAAUUUGGGUUUCUAAAUGACAUUCUUGUCUAUUGGAUUGCAGCCCAUUGGUUAGAUCUUUUCAACUCUUAACUUUUAAAUUUGUGCUUAGGAUUAGUCUCUUAAUCUCUCCCCCAUUUAUUUAAUUUCAAAUAUCUCCCUCCUUUCAAAAAUCUUCUUUUCUUGUGUUUGUUUUCUAAACUUAGACCAUUUUGCAAAUUAGAAACUUUGGCCUUAUGCCAUUGCAUUUUUAAAACUCUUUUCUUAAUCAAAUUUGUAAGUCAACUUAACUAUACUUAACUUAAAAUUUCAAAUGCCAAAAAGAACUAACACUCAUUCAAACCAUUUUUAGGCCUCUUGUGCCUUUGUUAAACUCAAAUUUUGUUAAAAGCAAUGCACUCACUUUGAAAUUGAUACCACGAACUACGAGGUUUUGAUCCCUCAUUUUAUGUUGGUACGUAGGCACAAGUCUGAAGGUCUUGUCAAACACAAAAGUAUAAUUAAUGAAUUCUUUUCUCAUUCCCCCACUUUAUUUAUUGCAAACAUCAUUUGAUACAAAAACACAUAUGCACACAAGAAAGGGCUCCCUAGGAGUACCUAGGACACUUUGGGUGCUAACAUCUUCCCUUUGUGUAACCAACCCCCUUAUCUGUAAUCUCUGGCAUUUUAUUAGUUUUGAUUUGAAAAUUUCUUAUUUUUUGGUUUUGUUCGUACUUUUCCCUUUUCCCUUGGACACAAUAAAAGCGCAGUGGCGACUCUAGUUUUAUUGACGUCUAGCUUAUCCAUAGCUCUAUGGUCAUGAAUUUACUGCUACAACGUGGUUGCAAAUAUCACCGCCAGCAGGUACUUAGGAUUUAAUGAAGCGGAAUUACCUUCUGAGAGGAAUGCUCACAAUAAACCAUUACAUAUUUCAGUUAUGUGUACAAAUUCCCUUCUAUCUCGAGUCCUUGUUGAUACUGGUUCCUCACUUAAUAUAAUGCCAAAAGCUACAUUAAGUCAAUUACAGUUUAAGGGGCCCGAGCUGAGGACUAGUGCACUGAUUGUUCGAGCUUAUGAUGGAUCUAAAAGACAGGUCAUUGGGGAAGCAAAUCUACCCAUUUGUGUUGGACCUCAUGAAUUCAUUAUCACCUUUCAAGUCAUGGACAUCAACCCGACCUACAGUUGUUUGUUGGGUAGACCGUGGAUUCAUGCUACUGGGGCCGUCACUUCUACACUGCACCAAAGGUUGAAAAUCUUGAUCAAUGACAAGUUGGUUAUAGUAUGUUGUGAAGAAGACUUAUUGGUUAGUGAGUUUUCUUAGUUAAGAUAUGUCGAGACAAAUGAAGGGGUUGUUGAAAUCCCACUCCAUUAUUUAGAAUUUAAAGAUGUCAGUUCAUCUACUUCGAAUCAUGAUCAGGCCUCUUCUACCAUCCUAUCUUCAGUCCGAAGCGCCAAGAAGACUCUGGAGAAAGGUCAGUUAACCGGUUGGGGUAAAGUCGUCAAUGUGGCAGAGAAGCACGACAAAUUCGGUAUUAGCUAUCAUCCAUUAGCUUGCAAAGCAAGUCCGGGGAAGAAAAUUUUCAAUCCUGUCAGGUUCAGUAGCGCAGGCUUCCAAGGCGAUCAUACCGUGGCAGUCAUUAGAGAAUCUAGUGGUAGUAAACCAGAGACUCCCAGUCUUGUACGCAGAUGUCCUCCAGGAUUCAAACUCACCAACUGGACGACUGUCGUGAUUCCUAUAGUGUAUUCAGAGAAAAUAUAAUGCAUUUUGUUUUCUUAAUCCCUUGUCUUUGCCCGAGAUAAGAGGAUAGCUUGUAAGGGCCUCCAUGUUUAAAAGUAUUAUGUGAUUAAAUAAAGAAAGUACUUUUUGCAUGAAAAAUUUAUGUUCCUUUACUUUCAGUUAUUUUUACUUUUUCACAAAAAUGAAAUGGAAAAUUUUCUUUUUAUUUGUCCACUUUAUUAAAAAGCAUAUUAAAAAUAAGCUCAUAACAUGCAGAGCAAAUAACACCAUUGAUAACAACAUGGCAAGAAUCGACUAUAAGUCUGAAUUUCCAAUUAAGCAAGUUGAAUAUGACAUUGAGGAAGAUUGUGAAUUACCGUCUGAACUAGCACGUCUCCUUGAACAUAAAUUAAAAGAAAUCCAGCCAUACAAAGAUCCAGUGGAUGUCAUUAGCUUGGGUUCUGAAACUGAUAAAAAAGAAGUAAAGAUUGGGGCAUCUCUUGCCGAGCAUGUACACUCCGAGUUGGUCAAGUUACUACAUGAAUAUGUUGACGUCUUCGCUUGGUCAUAUCAAGAUAUGCUAGGUUUAGAUACCAACAUUAUUGAACAUCACUUCCCACUCAAGCCUGAAUGUCCCCCAGUCAAGCAAAAGAUAAGAAGGGCGCGACCCAACAUGGCACACAAGGUUAGAGAAGAAGUUAAGAAACAGUUUGACGCUGGCUUUUUAGCUAUUUCUGAAUAUCCACUGUGGGUUGCUAAUAUUGAGACCUCAAUAAAGUGAGCCCAAAGGAUGAUUUCCCGUUGCCUCAUUUUGAUGCUUUGGUUGAUAAUAAAGCUUAAUUUUCUAUAUUUUCCUUCAUGGAUAGUUUCUCAGGGUAUAAUCAGAUAAAGACGUCGCCAGAUGAUAUGGAGAAGACAACUUUCAUCACACCUUGGGGAACUUGCUGCUACAAAGUAAUGUCGUUUGGCUUGAAGAAUGCAGAGGCAACAUAUCAACAUGCCAUGGUAACCCUCUUUCACGACAUGAUUCAUGAAGAGAUUGAGGUUUAUGUAGACGACAUGAUUGCCAAAUCCAGAACUGAAGACGAUCACUUAGAAAACCAUAGGAAGUUGUUUGUCAGGCUCCGGAAGUUGAAGUUGCGUUUGAAUCUAACAAAGUACACUUUUGGGAUCCGAUUUGGUAAGCUGUUGGGUUUCAUUGUCAUUCAGAAAGGUGUUGAGGUUGAUCCCGACAAAAUUCGAGUCAUCCAAGAUAUGCCCCUUCCCCAAACAAAAAAAGAAGUAUGAGGUUUCCUUGGUCGACUCAACUAUAUUUCCAUAUUCAUAUCACAUUUAACAGCUACAUGUGAACCGAUAUUCAAACUAUUGAGGAAAAAUCAAUCGAUUGUGUGGAAUGAUGAUUGUCAAGUGGCAUUUGACAAAAUAAAAAAGUACUUGUAAGAACCAUCAAUCCUCAUACCGUUGGUUCCUGGUAGGCCUCUUAUCAUGUACCUCAUGGUACACGAUGAAUCUAUGGGCUGCAUUUUGGGUCAACAUGAUGAUACAGGCAAGAAAGAACAUGCAAUAUACUACCUCGACAAGAAAUUCACUGAAUGUGAGACCAGAUACUCACUUUUAGAGAAGGCUUGUUGUGCUUUGGCUUGGGCUGCUCGACACCUAAGACAAUACAUAGUUUUCCAUACCACUCUAUUGAUAUCCAAAAUGAACCCGAUAAAGUAUAUAUUUGAAAAGCUUAUUGUCACUGGUAGAAUUGUUUGGUGGCAAAUGUUGUUAACAGAAUAUGAUAUCCAGUACGUGGCUUAAAAAGCAAUAAAGGGUGGCAUUUUGUCUGACUACCUUUCUCGUUUACCUAUGGAAGGUUAUCAAUCAUCGAGGUUUGACUUUCCAGAUGAAGACAUCAUGUUUAUCAGAGAUUUCGCUAUUCCAAGCCCUGAGGAAGGCCUCGAACUAGGAUCGCGAUAGACGCUCGUGUUCGACGGUGCUUCCAAUGCUUGUGGUCAUGGAAAAGGCUCAUUUAUUACUUCUCCAACUAGCUUCCAACUUCCAUUUGCCGCUAGAUUAUGCUUUGACUGCACCAACAAUAUGGAAGAGUAUGAGGCAUGUAUAUAUGGUAUGGAGGCGACCAUUGACUUAAGGAUCAAGAUUCUUGAGGUGUAUGGAGAUUUAACUCUGGUAAUCAGUCGGGUAAAAGAUGAUUGGGAAACUCAGGAUAGAAAAUUGAUUCCUUAUAAAGAGCAUAUCAGAAAACUGAUACCCUACUUUGAUGAAAUCUCUUUUCAUCAUAUUCCUAGGGAAGAGAAUAAAUUAGCAGACACUCUAGCUACGUUGGCAUCUAUGUUUAAAGUCAAAUGGAAGAAUGAAGCACCAACUAUCCAUAUUGAUCACUUAGAUGAACUAGCACAUUGUCUAGCAAUCGAGGCAGAUCUUGACGAUAAGCCUUGGUUCUAUGACAUAAAGACAUUUUUGGAGAAACAGAGAUAUCCUGUGGGUAUAUCUAUUACUGAUAAGAAGGCCUUGAUAAGACUCUCUUCCAAGUUUUUAUUGAACAGUGAUGUGUUAUACAAGAGGAAUUAUGAUUACGUGAUUCUCAGAUGCAUGGAUAGACACGAAGCUAGCACGAUCAUAAAAUCUAUACAUGAAGGUUGUGAGGGUGUACAUGCAAAAGGUCCUGCUAUGGCCAAGAGGAUCCCCCAGGUUGGGUAUUAUUGGACAACAAUGGAGGUUGAUUGUUACAACUUUGUUAAAAGAUGCCACAUAUGUCAAAUAUAUGGUGACAAGAUCUUUGUGCCACUGACUCCAUUGAAUGUUCUGACGUCUCCAUGGCCCUUCUCUAUGUAGGGUAUUUAUAUGAUUGGGAUGAUAAAGCCUAAAGCUUCCAAUGGUGAUCGAUUUCUCCUAGUUACGAUUGAUUAUUUCACGAAAUGGGUCGAAGCUGCUUCAUAUGCCAAUGUCACUAGACAAGUGGUUACUCAAUUUAUCAAGAAAGAGAUAAUCUAUCGCUACGAGAUUCCUAGCAAGAUCAUCACUGACAAUUCCAGUAAUCUCAACAAUAAUACGAUGAAGGAGUUUUGCGAAGAAUUUAAGAUCGAGCACCACAACUAUUCACCCUAUCGGUCCAAGAUGAAUGGUGUCGUAGAAGCGGCUAAUAAGAACAUCAAGAGGAUUAUAUAGAAAAUGGUCAAGGCAUAUAAGGAUUAGCAUGAGAUGCUACCUUUUGCUCUGCACAGUUAUAGGACCUCGAUUCGUACAUCCACUAGAGCAACUCCGUACUCAUUAGUAUAUGGGUUGGAGGUUGUUCUACCAAUUGAAAUUGAGAUUCCUUCACUCAGGGUUAUCAUGGAGGCUGACCUUGAUGAAGCGGAAUGGGUUCAAUCUCAGUACGACCAGCUGAAUCUGAUUGAAGUAAAGCGUUUAACGGCUAUUUGCCAUGGUCAGUUGUACCAAAGAUGCCUCAAACGAGCUUUUGAUAAGAAAGUUAUUCCUCGUGAGUAUUACUCUAGAUAACUUGUGCUCAAAAGGUAUUACGUCAUUCACUCGGAUCCUCGGGGAAAAUGGACUCCCAACUACGAAGGACCUUUAAUCAUUAAGGAGGCAAAUGGGCAAAUGGAUGGGGAAGAUUUAUUGUCGCCAGUAAAUGCAGACAUAGUCAAAAAAUAUUAUGCCUAAAAAUAAAUGAUGAUAAAAGCCCGUUAGAUUGAUCCUCAUAAGAUUAAUCUAGGCAAAACUGGUUAUCCCGGUGGACCAAAAAAAUGAAUUCUCCAUGCAAAAGUUAGGGAUCAAAUAAAAAUAUAAAGCUCGCUAAGUUGGAAACACGAAAGGGAGAUUUAGGCAAAAAUGAGCAUCGCGGUGGACCAAAAAAAUAGAAAAAGUCUAGAAAAAAGUUAGGGAUAAAGGCAUUGAUUAUAUUCCUUGAGCCUACUUUGCUACAAGCUAGAUCUCAGACGGUCAAAGAUCAAUUCAACCAUCAUCAAUCAAAGCAAGGUCUUGGGAUUUAGAUCCUACAGUGGAUAACAACCAAUGUUGUAAUCAACGGAAAAGUACAAAAAACAUUUCCCAUUAGCAUUUCUUUUAUUUUAUUUUAUUUUUGCAAUGUCCUCUUUAAGGAUGUUUGCAUCUUUGUACGCACCAUAUGUAUAAUUCCGUUCAUGAUCAAUAAAGUUUAGUUUCUUUUAUCAAUUGCUUUUGUUUCUCCCACAUUUUGUUUGUGAAAUAACUGAUUUAUUUUAAUCACAUAAUCCUUAAAAAUCUAGGGGAAUAAUAAAAGCUACAUUAAAAGAAAACUUUAUGCAUUGUUGUAAACUCCCGAAGAGCUUAAAAAGAUGAUCUUUAGUUCGAAAGUUUUGUUUGAACAUCUACAUUUGUCAUGAUGACUUCCCGAUUAAAUCAUAUAUCUUUGUGCUCUUCAUCAGGACCAGGUGGAUCCCUUAAAACAGUGUUAACACCCCUUCAUUUCAUAACAUCAGUUUCUUUGGUAUAAUCGAUGACGAGUCAGAGUUCCCUCCAUACCAAAGAACCACAUCUUAUAAAUGACAUCCAUAUGACCCUAUGAAACAUUCAUGCAUCAUGAAAUAAAGCAUACAUCAUGAAACAUGCAUAUCAUGCUCCUCAUUUUCCAUAUCCCAACAAAAUAUCAAUAAAUUCCAGCAAGUGAACCUAUAAAAGUCAAACUAUCAUCCAUAUAUUCCAUAUAACCGUGCUCAGCAGGAAAAUUUUAGGAUGCGUUGGUAUUUACUCCACUCAUACCUCGAAUACCCGAAAAUCUCUCGCAAUUCGACCAUUCAGGUUUAAGCAGAUUAAAUAGGGGCAAUUGUUGUACCCCAAAAUUUGCCCUCCCUUUUGCUUUUCAUCUGACUUAUGACUUGAGACUCAUUCAUGACUCAUUCGUGACUCAUUCAUGUGAAUCCUUCAUUCAUGAUUAACAGUUGCUAACAAGCAUCAUAGAUUCAAGGUUUAAGACUAAUGAAAAUCAGUGUUUUAGCUUGAAGAUUAUGGUUUUCCUCAUCAUGUGGGCGUGAAACCCCAAUUGCUUGGUUCAGGUCAUUUGAGGAGCUUUUGGUUUGUGACCUUGGAUUGUAUAACUUGUACCUUGAUCUUGUAGUUUCCUUGAAACCUUAAUUGGGGAGGAUCCACAUUGUGGUUUGCUUUGACUUGGAAACCCUAAUUUCUUGGUUUAUGACAUUGGUAUACCAUUUUACUUGCUCGAUUAAUCACAUGUGUCCUUGAGGCAUCUGAUCAAGCAUGAUUAUGACUUGAUCUUUGGGUUUGUCACAUAUCUCGUUGUACAGGUUUCCAUUUGAUUUUAUGCCUCACUUCACUCAUAGAUCCAUGUUUAUUCAAAAUCAUCCAUCUAAUUCUUGAUUCCAGGUUUCUUGAAGCAUUGAUUCAUUAGUACAUCCAUGCAUCUAGGCAUGGCAACGGGGCGGGUCGGGGACGAUUUUUACCUCUCUCAAACCUGAAUCCCCAAAUAGUCCCAGUUCCCCGCCCCAAACCCAAACGGGGAUGGAGAAUCAAAACUCAAACUCGUCCCAAACGGGUUCAGGUAUCCCCGCCCCACAAUCAUUCAUUUAGUGAAAUUAAUUUUUUUAAUAGAAAUAUUUAUUCUUUUCAAAAUAAAAUUUCAUUACAAAUAAUAAAAUAAAACAAUCUAAAAAAAUUCCAUAAAUAUAUUUCUAAUAUUUUAAAUGAUAAAUUCAAAUAAAAAUAUCAAACAUUGACCACAUAUUUAAUACUCUAAAUUGUCAAAAAUAAAUAAUAAUGUACAUAAUGAAAUAAACGGGACGGGUUCGGGGCGGGUACUAGUGUCCCCAUUAUCCGACUCAUCCCCAUAUUUUAUAAUCGGGGAAAAUCCAAACUCGAACUCAAACCCAGUCAAAGCGGGUUUUCCCCGUCAACUUCGGGGUGGGUAUCCGCGGGUACGGGUUAUGUUGCCUUGCCUACAUGCAUCCAUCCACUUCUUUUAGCCAUGGUCCAUUUUCAUUCAAGGUCAUUCAUUCAUUGUGAUACAUGUUGUGAUAGUUCAUAUCAUCAAUUGGUUCAUUCAUAAGUCGCCCUAGGGAUUACAUUACAUUUGGUUCCAUCCAUAUUAGGACAUGGCAUGUUUCAAAAGGAUAAGGAGUUUUCUUCCAAUAUAAGUCAUCUGAUUUGCUUGACUUACAAGUCUUGUGAUGAUUUGGAUUCAUUGGUCCACUAUAUGUUUUUUUAUUGUGUCAUCAAUUGCAUGAUAUAUGGUUCAUGAUAUGUGUUUAAAUUUGGAUUUGGUUUUGUUUUAACUUCCAUGUGAAACUAUACUUGAUCAUUUCAUUUAGGAUAAAUGUGCAUAAUCAUUUCAUCAUUGUUUCAAAUUGACUUUUAGGGUUUCAAAUUAAUUUUAGAAAUUCAAAUUGAUUUUUGGGAUUUCAAAUUAAUUUUUAGAAAUUCAAAUUGAUGUUGGAAAUUUAAAUUAAGUUUAGAAAUUCAAAUUAAUUUUUAGAAUCAUUUCAUACCUAAUGGGUCGUGGUGGUUUUAUUUGAAAGUUGGUCCAUCCAUCUAUCCAUACAUUCAUUUUUUUAUUUUUUUUAUGACAAAAAAAUCAUCAUAAAGCAUUACAUUGCAUUGGAUUCAAACAAGCUUAGGCCCAUGAUUAAUUUACAAGGUCCAUAACCCAAAUCCACAUCAUACCAAAUAAGACAAAAAAAAGGAGAAAGUGCAAGUGAGUAUUGCAAGGCAAGAGUCCAAGUACACGUAAAUGCAAAUGCAGGUGAAGAAUACAGCAUGAAAACGGUAAUAACCAAAACGCAUGCAAAAGAGAUGAAACGCGGAAACGACAAAACGCAAGCAUGAAAUGGAAACAGAAAGGAAACAAUAACGAAUUGGAAAACGCGGUUGUUCAAAGUUCAACCUCACAUCAAAUGCAAUGAACUCCAUAUAAGAUCAUGAUUGGCAUUGAAGCUUCUUCCUUCCCUUUUUCCAGAGUCUCUUGCAUCACCUUCUUCCCUUUCUGCUGAAUCGUGAACCAUCACCUGCACACAACAAUUCAUUCUCAAAUGCACAUCCAAUUCACUCCUAUAACUACUACAAUUAGAAUUGGAUUUAAACUUACAUUUCACAGUGAAUUUCAAACGAAUUUCCUAACUAACAACUCUAACUAACUUCUAUGUUUCAAGUGCAUUUAACCGUAAUUUCAAAAAGGCUCUACACUCUUCAAAUUCACUCUUUAAUACUCAGAACACUCCACAAUUCCUUCUUCCAAUCCUCAUUCUGCAACAAGAAUCGAUUCUGCACUGAGAAAACCAAACAGAAAAAACCUCAUUGCAUUUGCAGAAGCGCCUUGAUUCUGUAACUCUCGAUCGUUCUUUCAAAUUUCUCUCAUUCGUGUUGGGUAUCAGAAUAAUAUAAAAUAAUAAUAACAAUAACACAAGUAAAAUUUGAGAGUUGAGUAUAGGAAUGAGAAGAAACACAAUUGUAGCAAACUCUUGGAUGAUUAAGAUGAUUGUGAACUGCAAUAUGAUUACUGUAUAUAUAAUAGUUUCAUAUACUAUACUAAAUGGAUACUUAUUAUAGGAUUCUACGUAAUCUUCUCUACAUCAUAGAAACCAAUGACUUAUAAUGAAUUGAAUUUUUUUCUACAAAAACAAAGAUUACUUUAUGUCCUCACAAUCUCCCACUUAAAGUAAUUUUGUUUGCUUUUUCAAAAUUUCUUUCUGUUGCUACGUUUUAGAUAUACCAUAUGAGGACUUGCACCAAUAAAACUUGUCAGCAUUGAUUGGCUUUGUCAUAACAUCUGCUAGGUUGUCUUUAUUGUAAAUCUUUUGCAUGUCCACACUCCCUUCCUCUACUACUUCACGGACAAAAUGGUAUUGAACUCCUAUAUGCUUUGUCCUGGAAUCAAAAGCUAGAUUUCUUGCAAUAUGCAAAGCACUAUGACUGUCACAAUAUACAAUAAAUUUUGGUUGUUUAUGUCCUAGCUCUUCCAAUAACCUUUGAAUCCAUAUAGCUUCCUUGCAUGCUUGGGUAGCUGCCAUAUAUUCAGCUUCUGUAGUAGAUAGAGCUACAACAGUUUGCAAUUUGGAUAACCAGCUUACCGCUCCUCCUGCAAUUGUAAACACAUAGCCAGUAGUAGAUUUUAUUUUGUCAAGAUCAUCUGCAUAAUCUGAAUCAACAUAUCCUCUGACACAAAACUCCAAUCCUCCAAAACAUAAUGCAACAUCUGAGGUUCCUUUUAUAUAUCUCAGGAUUCUCUUAACAGCAUCCCAAUGCUCUUUACCAGGAAUAAUCUGAAUCAACAUAUCCUCUGACACAAAACUCCAAUCCUCCAAAACAUAAUGCAACAUCUGAGGUUCCUUUUAUAUAUCUCAGGAUUCUCUUAACAGCAUCCCAAUGCUCUUUACCAGGAUCCUCCAUAAAUCGACUGACCACUCCCACUGCUUGUGCAAUAUCUGGCCUUGUACAUAUCAUGGCAUACAUAAGGCUUCCCACCGCUGAUGCAUAGGGUACUCAAGACAUUUGCAUGCUCUCCGCUUCAUUGCUAGGAUUCAUACUUGAGGAUAAUUUAUAAUUGAUAGGAAGUGGGGUAGAUAUUGGCUUACAGUCUUGCAUGUUGAAGCGCCACAAAACUUUUCGUAGAUAAUUUAUUUGAGAAAGCCAAAUCUUCCUAUCUUUUCUAUCUCGGUGAAUUUGCAUCCCUAAAAUCUUGUUUGCUGGCCCCAAGUCCUUCAUAUUGAACUCUCUAGCCAAUUGUGCCUUCAAUUCUUGGACUUGAUCUUUGUUGGGGCCUACCACCAACAUGUCAUCCACAUACAACAACAAAAUGAUGAAAACAUUUUCCUCAAACCUCUUGUAAUAUGUAAAAUGAUCUGAGCUUAACCUGUUGUAUCCAAGGCUAAUAAUGAAGGAAUCAAAUCUCUUGUACCAACACCUCGGCGCCUGCUUUAAACCGUACAGAGAUUUGGUCAACCUGCAAACCAAGUUUUCUUUUCCUUUUUCUUCAAAACCUUCUGGUUGGAGCAUAUAUAUUUCUUCUUCAAGUUCUCCAUGAAGAAAAGCAGUCUUUACAUCCAAUUGUUCAAGAUGUAAAUCAUAAGCAGCACACAUAGCUAACACUACCCUGAUAGUGGUAAGUCUAACCACCGGAGAAAAUAUUUCAUUGAAAUCAAUUCCUUCCUUUUGAGCAUAUCCUUUAACCAUCAAUCUUGCACGAUAUCUUUCCACUUGAUCAUUACCAUCACGCUUAAUCUUAUAGACCCAUUUGUUGUCGAUGGCUUUCCGACCUUCUGGAAGUACAACAAGAUCCCAUGUCUUAUUUCUAUGUAAGGCUUCCAUUUCUUCCUGCAUUGCUGCCAUCCACAAAGAAUCAUUUGAGCAACUCACAGCCUCUUGAAAGGUUGAUGGUUCUCCAUCUUCGGUUAGAAGACAAUAUGCAUCAUGGCUUGCCAUAACAUAGUCUGAUUGCCAAUCUGGUUUCCUUUUCUGACGUGUUGAUCGUCGAACUUCAACACCAUCGGGUUCCUCUGGUUCUUGUACCUCGUGCUCUGGUUCUGCUUCAAAAGAAUCAUCUUCAACAGACUUUCCAUCUAUAUGAAUAGUAGUGGUAUCUUUAGAAGUGUUAUCAUUUUCUUGCUCCCUUUGCAGUUCAUUCUCUGUAAAGAUUACAUCUCUGCUGACAAUAACCUUGUGGGAAGUGGGAUCCCACAGGCGAUACCCGUUGACACCGUCAGCAUAGCCCAAGAAUAUGCAUUUCCUAGAUUUUGGAUCUAGCUUAGUUCUUUCUUGGGAGUUGUACAUCACGUACACAGGACAUCCAACCACAUGUAGAGUAGAAUACUCAGCUGGCUUUCCUUUCCACAUCUCCAUCGGAGUCUUUAAACCAAUUGCACUUGAUGGCGAUCUAUUUAUCACAUAACAGGCAGUUUUCACGACUUCUGCCCAGAACGACUUAACUAAUCCUGCAGUUUGCAACAUAGCUCUAGUCCUUUCUAGGAGAGUUCUAUUCAUCCGCUCUGCUACACCAUUCUGCUGAGGCGUAUGAGCAAGUGUAAAUUGUCUCAUUAUACCCUCUUCCUUGCAAAAUGACAAAAAAUCACCGUCUGUAUAUUCUCCUCCAUUGUCUGUCCUCGAGCACUUAAUCUUCUUUCCAGUUUCAAGCUCAAUUAGUGCUUUGAAUUGCUUGAAUAUUGAAAACACAUCUGACUUCUUCUUGAUUGGGUAUACCCACAAUCUUCUAGAGUAAUCCUCAAUGAAUGAUACAAAAUAUUUUGCUCCUCCUAGGGACAUUUGUGGUGACUCCCACACAUCAGAAUGAAUCAAGUCAAGUAUGUGUUUUCUCUUAGUAGUUGAUCUAUCAAACUUCAACCUAUUUUGUUUGCUUACCACACAAUGCUCAUAGAAAGGUAGACUUACUGAUUUGAGCCCGGGUAAGAAAUCACGUUCUGCAAGAACUUUCAAGCCUCGUUCUGACAUGUGGCCUAGUCUGCGAUGCCACAUUGUCGUUGAGUUUUCUUGACUAGUUGAUGCAAUUGACACAUCACCUUCUUGCAAUGUCUCUCCCAUAAGAAUGUAUAGAUUUGCAGAUAGCUUCUCGCCUUCACUCACUACUAGAGCACCUCUCACCACCUUCAAGAUCCACCUUCAACUGGGUCUUGCAACCGAGAUCAUCUUAAUUGUCCAAUAGACAAUAAAUUUUCUUUAAACCUUUCACAUGUCGUACCUCUUGAAUUGUGCGAAUUGUACCAUCAUACAUUUUUAUUUUGAUAGUACCUACACCAACAAUUUUAGCGUAAUCAUUUCCAUGAACACUGAUCCUUCUGAGAUAGGUUGAUAAGUUGUAAACCAAUCUCGUCGAGGAGUCACUGUGCCAUGUUGCUCCUGAAUCAAUUAUCCAAACAUCAGUGAGCUGUUUACUACCUUUGGAAUUAUUUGUUGCUCCGCUAUUAUAGAAUCUCUCCAUCAUCAGAGGUAUUGGCAAUACAUCCUAGAUGAACUUGCCUCAGAAGACUUCUCACCAUUCUUCUUAAACCAACAAUCUCUUUUCAAGUGCCCUUUCUUGCCACAAUUGUAGCAUCUCACAUUCAUCUUACUUCGAGAUUUUGAUCUACCAUGAUUUUGGCUCCCACUGGGGCCACGUUCCACUAAUCUUCCUCUUGUCAUUGUCAAAGCUUCUACUUGUUUUGAGUUUUCUUGACGGUCUUCCUUAUUUAUACGCCUGGACUCUUCCUCAAGAAUAGCUCCGGCAACAUCAUCAAAGUAUAGACGGUCUGUAACAUUAUUAUUUGUUAAGUUGACGACAAGUGGAUCAUAUGAAUCUGGUAAGCUCUGAAGUAGUAGUUCUGCACGUUCAUUUUCUGCUAUGCUAAAAUUUGCUGAUGUAAGUUGAGCAAACAUUGUAUUUGGAGUGUUGAUGUGAUUUGUCACAGAUGUGGAUUCACUCAUUCGAAGAGUGUAGAGUCUUCUCUUUAACAAAAUUAUGUUAUGAAGUGACUUGACCUCGUACAAUUUGAUGAGAACAUCCUAAAUCUCCUUUGCAGUUUUCUUUUCGGCAACGCUAGACAAAACUGAAUCUGCCAAUGCUAAGUGCAAAUUGGCAACAGCGUUGCUAUCCAUCUCAUUCCAUUUUUUGUCAGAUAAUCCCUCAGCUCUAUCUUCAAUUGCUGCUAAACAAUUAUCCUUUCUCAGGAUUGCCUUUAUCUUCAGUCUCCAUAGGGAGAAAUUACUCCAAUUGAACUUCUCAAUCUCAAAUUUUGCCGUCAUGGUAAUUUCAUUUAAACCGGCUUGCACAAUUUCACCGUGAAUAAUAUUUGCAGAUCGGAAUAUGGACCAAUACCAAAUGCUUUGAUACCACUGCAUUUGCAGAAGCGCCUUGAUUCUGUAACUCUCGAUCGUUCUUUCAAAUUUCUCUCAUUCGUGUUGGGUAUUAGAAUAAUAUAAAAUAAUAAAGCAAUAACACAAGUAAAAUUUGAGAGUUGAGUAUAGGAAUAAGAAGAAACACAAUUGUAGAAAACUCUUGGAUGAUUAAGAUGAUUGUGAACUACAAUAUGAUUACUGUAUAUAUAAUAGUUUCAUAUACUAUAAUAAGUGGAUACUUAUUAUAGGAUUCUACGUAAUCUUCUCUACAUCAUAAAAACCAAUGACUUAUAAUGCAUUGAAUUUUUUUCUACAAAAACAAAGAUUACUUUAUGUCCUCACAAUUCGUCCAUAUCAUAGCUCAGAAUCCUCCCACUUUUCACUGCAAAUUAUCAAAACUCUUCACUCAUUCAGUCAUCACCGAACGCGAUUUGCGUGACCUAUUUCUCAAAAUCCUCCCAACCUUCAAACUCAUAAUCAACAAAGUACGAAGAACAAGAAGAGGAGGAGAGAUUGAAGUGAAACAGGAAAUUAAUACCUUUCGGAUCCACCGGAAAUUCACCACGCCGAAGCUCAAUCACAGUGAGUGUUCCUCCACGAGCUUAUAUUAAUUUCACGUUCUUCAUUUUCGCCUCUUUUCGAUGCGUCGUCUACGAUUUACCCGCUACGAAAUUCGGAGCUCAAUCACGCAACGGAUUCUGGAUCGUGUUAGGUUUCCGUUUCAGCUUCAAGUUCUUCUGAACAUCGAUUGAGAAUCAGAGGACGAUUGCGGAAAGUUGAGGAAUCGAGGUCGUGUGGUGAAGGAUUCUAGUGUUCGCGUUUCGUCGCAGAAGAAGCCAUGGAUGUUUGAUUUGUUUGAUAUGCUGAUCGAGUUCUUGGACUUAUAGAACCGGACUUGCCCAUGGUUAAACCCAGUAUUGGAUCACUUAUGCGGGUGUGUGGUUUAUGCCUAAGGCCCAAACAUCCUUGUUGCACCUCCAAGUUUGGCUACAUUUCCUGGUGUUAUGAAUGCCGAGUGGGCCUCAGGCCCAGUUCUUUUUUUGUUUUGUGGCCACUGAACCCCUGUACCGGGUCUAUCCCCCUAGAUUAUACCAAAUUGAAGGCCUUUGGGCCUGUCAUGGGCCCUAUGCCCUUUUGAUUCCUGCACCUUUCUGGUUUUUUUUUUGUGGUUUUCAUUGUUUCUCAUGUUUUGAUUGUUAAUUAGGAAUUAGUACAUUGAUUAGAUUAGUUAGGAUUUUAUAUUUUGAUUAGUUUAAUUAGAUUUAGUUUAAUCAGAUUUUUUAGUGAUUAAUUAGGAUCUUUAGGUGAUUAGCUUAGAAUUUUAAUUAGAAUUAAAUAUAGGAUUAAUUAGAAUAUUAAUUAUUAUUUUUAGAAUUUAGUUUAGUCUCUAACAAUUAGGUUAAAAUCAAUUUUAGAACUUAAUCCAUUUUAGACUCUAGUUAUAAUUUUAAUUAGAAUUUAACAUUGUCCCUAAUUGAUAUUUCAUUUAAAAUGAUCAUUUUACCCCUUAGGAGUUUAUCUUCUUAUUUUAACCAUGUAAAUGCAUGAUUCCCUUUAGGAUUAAAAUCUGACUGGGAAUUUUAUUUAGUUUUUGAUUAACAAAUGCAUGUUCCCCUUAGGAAUAGCUUUUGGACCCUUAGAUUAGGAUUAGUCAUAACUUUCAAAUUAAUUCAAACCCUCGAUUCAAGUUGAUCAAAAUCAAUUCUAAUAAACUAAACCCUUUGAUCUUAUAUAACCUCACAGUCUAAUUCAAGUGAUCAAAAGACCCUUGAUCACUUGAUAAGACUCUUUCUGUAAGCUGUGGAACUCGAAGCCUCAAGUCAGAUUCUCAAUCAAGGCAUCCCUAGUUAUAUCAAACAGCGGAUCAUACAAGACACAUCAAAGGUGGUUCUUCAAGAGCUUGUUAAUCAAGGCUAGAAUUGUGUGGCAUGAGCCUUAAGAAAUCGAGAAUGAAUGAGAGUGGAAAAUUUCAUUAACUCAUUAUGAGUAUCUUUGGGUACGGGACAUUUGACCCAGUUGCUCAUUGUAUUCACCUCUAUUCAUAGACUUUAGUGUAAUUCGUGAUAAAUGAGUGAUAAUAUCUUCAUCAUCACAGGGAGCAACUAGGAUUCUUCUCCAGCAAGUUGAAAGUUAAUAUGAGAAUUACACGUCACGAGCCUUAAGAAGUAAAGAAUGGAUGAGAGUGGAGAAUUCCAUUAACUCAUUUUGGGUAUCUUUGGGUACGAGACGCUUGACCCAGUUGCUCAUCGUAUCCAUCUUUACUCAUAAACUUUAGUGUGGUUCUUAUCAAGUAACUAUCAAGUCUCUUCAUAUUCAAUCAAUCACUUCCUUUGCCUCAAUCAUCUUGUUAUCAUCCCUAGUGGGUUGAACUAUGAAAGCUUUGACUUUCUUAUUGCACGGUAAGAAUAAGUAGGCAGGAGAAUUCAGAUUCUCCGUGAGCUACCUUAUUUAUUAAAUCUAUCACUCUUCAUUCAUUCAAUAAAUACCAUAUUUUUGAUAUCAUUUCCCUUGGAUUCCAUGCACAUCCUUUUAGGGUGACCUAAUCACAGUCCGCCUUGUGAACCAAGAGAUGUUUGUGAUGUCAAACCAAACAUUUUAUUCCAUCCUUUUUGGCUAAAACCUUGUGAACAAGAAGUUGUUUGUAUUGUCAAACCAAAUACCUUAUUCCUCCUAUUUGACCAAAAUACCUAUUUACUAUUUGGUUCAGAGUUUAUUCUUUCAUGGAUCCAAGAUAUUAUUCUUCCUUGAUCUCUAACUAUUUGUUCCACAGCCAAUGAUAGACUAUUUGUAGAACCCAACAAUACUUUCUUGUGGGACCCCAUACACAUCCUUUUAGGAAGACCUAAUCAAAGUCCGCCUUGUGAACCAAGAUGUUUGUGUUGUCAAACCAAACAUUUAUUGCCCCCAUUUUGGCCAAAGCCUUAUGAAUCAAAAGUUGUUUGUGUUGUCAAACCAAACACUUUAUCCUUUCUUUUUCGGCCAAUAUACAUUUAUCCUUUGGUUCGAAGUCAUUUAACUUUGUGGGUUCCUACAUUUCCAUUUUGUUGGUACAAGUUAUACUUUUUCAUCACUGCAAUCAUAUCCUUGAAGUUGUUUGUCUUGUUAGUCCUAGUUGCUUAGGCAAACACUUCAUUAUCUUUCCUUCGUUCUCGUAGUUCCAUAAACUACAAAUGCUCUGAUUUUAUUGUUGCACAAUCAGAAUACGUAUGCACGAGGAUGUGAAUCCUUGGAGAGCAUAAUCUUAAUUAUUCCUUCUGUCUUAGGGCAUCAUUCAUAUCUUUCAUAAUCCAUUACUUACCUUCAAUCAUUACCACUCACCCCAGUGACAUCUCAUUUCUUUGAAACCGAAAUAUAAUUUUCUUUAGAUUUCCAUAUACACCCUUUUAGGACAUUGUAGCAUAAAUGUUUUUGAGAUUAAGCUAUUGAUUAACUUCACUCACAAAGCAAGAGUCGCCACCGCGCUUUUAUUUUUUCCAAAGGGAAAAACUACGAACAAAACCCAAAGAAGUUUUAAAAUAAAACUAAUAAAAAGAGAACAAGGGUCUGGGGAUUAGUUAUGCAAAGGGAAGGUAUUAACACCCUAAACAUUCAUGGUACUCCAUGGGAACCUCUUUGAAAAUAUGUACAUUUUGGUUUGAAAAAGGUUUUGUUUGUUAAAAGGUUGGAGAUAUGGGAGAAGAAGUAUAUUUUUAUGAUUUUUUUUGUGUUUGCCAAGACUUUUGAAGCCUCAUGCAUAUGUAUCAAUAAAGUUAAAUUGAGGAUCAAAACCUCAUAGUUUGUGGUAAAAAUAACAAAGGGAGUUUGUUUUGAUUCAUUUUUAUGGAAAAGACAUUUUGUCAUUUUAAGGAGAAUACUCAACUAGUCACCCAUAAGUAUGAGAACUUUGCAUCAUCAUGAGAAGAGCUCCAACUUGGAUAAGGAUCAACAAGUAUGCCAUUAACUCUCAUAAAUGGAAAGGAUUAUCAUUAAUACUAUGGAUAUAGGAGAGUUAUAACUCAACUAUGGAAAUGACUCAUGUCUAAUGCCUUGAGAAAAGUUUUUAAAAGAAAAACUACCCAAAGGGAACAAAAUGGUUUAAAUGAGUUAUGCAUUUUUUUAGUCUUUUGAAAUUGGUCUAAAUAUGCUUAAGAUGAAUUAGCAUUUAUUCAAGAAAAAGGGUUUGAAAAUCACUUGACAAAUGUCAUGGUUUAUUGAGAAAAAAAAGAUCCAAGUUUGAAAAACAAGAAGGUUUUGAAAAAGAGGGAAUAAUUUGAAAAUUAAAGGAGGGGAGGAGAAGAAGAGACUAUCAUAGAGCAUAAAGUAAAAGCUAAGGAGGAAAGAUCUAACCAAGAGAUAGCAAGCUUUAUAACAUAAGUCAAGCAAGAACCCCCUCCUUUGGAUUAAGCCUAAACCAAGCCAAAAUAAGGAAAAUAAUAAUCCAUAUAUCAGAUGAAACCAAAAUAAGCAAGCCAAGUCUUCACAAAGAAGUCCAAAGUCAAAGGUAUCAGAUAGAUUUCAAGGUCUCAAGUCACAAGUCCUAAAGCAAGGGUCAAUAUCCUAAUUCUAAGUCCAUAACUCCAUAAUGAUGCCAAGGAUAGUAACCACAAGUCCAUGAGUUAGGAGAAAUAAGAUUCUUUUUAGUUUUUUUUAUUAGUAUCUUCUUUACAAUGAUAUAAAGGAAAGGUCCAAAUGGACAAAGAACAAAAUGACAUCAUCACAAACAAUAUGAUAUGAAAUGCUAAACAUAAAGUAUAAAGUAAAUGACAUAAAAUAAAGGCAUGAAGUAAAUGACUUGGAAAUAAAAGUUAAUACAAGUGAAGAGUUAGUAAAAGAUGUUACUGAAGAUGAAAAGAUGUUUUGGUUAUUUUUUGGAGAACACUCAUCCAUCCAUUCACAAGCAUGAAAAUAUGAACCUAUAUAUCAUUUAUGAUAAGGGCUCUAACUUGGAUAAAAUCAACAAGUAUUCCACUAGCUCUCGCAAAUGGAAAAGGAGCAAUAUUUUCACACAAUAUCAUGAGGAAUAUGAUACUUACAAUCUCACUUAUAAAAAUGCCUUUACUUUUGGGACAAAUUUAGCGAUAUGUUAAGCAAUCGUAAUUAGACUUAUGUAGAAGUCACAACUAUCUGAGGUCGGUCAAUAAUAAUGUUUGUGUUAAUAUAUGCUAGAGAAAGGAUAUGUAAGUCAUUCUCCUAAAGUCAUGCCACAAAAAAAGGGAAUGAUCAAGCACAAAGGCUAGGAGGACGGUCCAUUACUUCAAUCCACACUUCAUGACACUUAGGACAAACUUAUACAUCAAUCCAGAGUACCUUAAAUGAUUCAUGAUCACUUAGAAGGUAUAUUUGAAAUGAUGAAAGUUCAUCAAGUACCAAUCCACACAUCAUGAAUAAGAUGGACACCAGUCAUCCAAUUGAUCAAAGGGAAAAGAAGGAGAUGAAGAAGAAGAAAUCAAGAGAAGUCAGACCUAAAUUGGAUCAAAAGUUUGAUCACGUCAUCAUCAAAAUCAAUCAUCUAUUUUGGUGGAUUAGGCUUUUCACCCCUCAACACCCAAGAUCCAUUGAGUUUGAUGAGACUUGAGGUUCAAACCAUCAUGAUCCAAGGCCAACAAAAGAUCAUAAGGUCACACAAAUAUAAAAUGCAAUUAAAUGAAAUAAAAAUGCAUCAAAGGUGGUUUUAAAUGAUUUUUCAAAAUAGAAAUAAAAUGGGAAAUCCAUAAAAUCCUUCAAAACACCAAAUAAAUGGCCAAGAAAAUUAUGGAAGGUUGGAAAUAAAAUAGGAAACAUAUAAUAAAAUUUUCAGAAUUUUAAAAUGCAAAAAAGUAUUUUUAAACCAAUUAAAACAAAGAAUAAAAGAGAAAAAUCAUGAAAAAUAGGAAUUCAAUGAAAUAAAAUGUGAAAAAAUAAAAAUCAGAUGAAGAAAAAUAAAAGAGAAUUUUAUAAAUUAUUUGGGCAGUUUUUUGGAUAAAAAUUGAAAUUACUAUGAAUUUAAAAAAAAGAAAUUUAAAAUAAUAAAAGAAAAAGAAUUAAAAUCAGAAAAAACACGAAGCGUUGGAUCACACCUCAUUAAUUGACGUGGUAGAUCCAACACUCCAAGUGUUAGGAUGCAUGGUGGAUCACGCUGCAAACCAAACACAGGAUCCAAUUUAAAUUCAAUCAAUCAAAACAUUUCAAUAUGCCAACGUGUCUGGUUCAAACUCAGACAACCUGAGAAAACUCCAAUCAUCUUCUCUGGUGAGCUCUCAUUGGGGUUUCAUCGUUUGGUAAAUUCAAGACACGAGACCACCACCAUUGUGAUCCUCUUCUUAUCCCGAAUUCAACCACAUACUCCAAAUUCCUUUAUGUGAACUAAGAAAAGGGAAUUUCGAAGAAGUUUCAGAAACAAGCAAACCAUGAAAAAUAAAAUUAAAUGAUGAACACGAUCAAUGAACACCAUAUAAGUUAGGGGGGAACAUAAGAGAGUGAAGGACUACAUUGUGGUAACUUGUUUGAGUUCAAAUGAUGCUCAGAACUACCUUGUCUAGAUGGUGAUCAGAAGUUGAUAAAGCUCGAUCUGGUUAAAGCACUUCAGAAGGUCUCAGAGCUUAGGAAUUGUUGCAAAAGUUUCAUAGGAUGCCGAUGGAGCUAAUGGAAUCAGGAAAUUGGAUUGAAACAAGCUAAAACUCAAAACACGAUAGUUGAAUUUUCUGGAAAAUUUUCAAGUUGCAGCAGGGGUUUCUUGGCCCUCCAAAGCUUACAAAUGAAGGUAAUAACUUGCUCUAUUUAUAGGGAAUGUGAUUGAAUCCAAAUACAUGUGGAGUGAUGUAUAAUUCGUGUAAAAUGAAUUUGAUCCGAGUGUGAGAAAAGUGUGACUUGAAACUCAUCAAAACUCAGCCAAAUGAUGCAUUUUAAGUGUCAAUUAACUUCUAGAGACUUGUUAAAACAUGUUUAGGACCAAAACAUGUUUCGCGCAAUGGUGAUUUCUUCAGUUACAAGUCACCAUGUUCAAACCAAUGGGGCAUCCUACUCAAGAGGCUUUUUGAUCCCAUUCUUUUUGCAUUGUGUUAAAAUCAUGUCCAUUAUUACAAUGUGAUAAGAAAGGUUGCAUUUGGAUGUUUGAGCACAAAUUUAUGGCAUGUUGAAGUUGGCAUGAAAAACUUGUUACAUAACUUAGAAAAAUUUGAGUGCUUCAUGGCUGAAAAGGACCUAUAAUGUCCUAAUGAAUUCCAUGGCCUUCCAAGCAUAUUUUGACAUUGGUCCUUGAAGAAACUUUUAGAGGGCAUCACAAAUGACAUUAUACAAAAAGAAUCAGAUUGAUAUGUUGAAAAUUGAAGAAGUUAUGAUCUUUGAAAGUUGAGAAAAAGUCACUUGAAAAUAGGUCAAAUUUCACUAAGUCCACAAAUGACCUAUAAUGUCUUCAAACUUUUGAUGAUCCUCCAAGAAUAAUAGGCUCUUUUCAUGUAAAGAGAAUUUGUAGAGGAUGUUGAGAAGAUUAAUAUUCAAAAAUAAGCAUUCAAAAGUGAUUCGAAUUGAAGAAGUUGUGAUCUUUGGAACUUUGACUUCAAAUUGUUGACUUUUUUGGUCAAACCCCUUGGGACAAGGUUGUAUAUUUGGACUUUUCUUGCACUUAAAAGUACAUGUGUGAUAAUAUGAACUGAAAAUAAGGUUUCCUUUAUUUCCUCUUGAUUGAAUUGCUCAAAGCUUUAAGUUUCUUAUUGAAGAAGGCAUGGAAAUAAACACAUGAACCUUUUGACUUUCCUUGAUAAGUAAGCCACAAAACUUUGAGAUGCUCUUGAUUUGAGGAGCCCUAUCUUUCACAAUAAACUUAAGGUAAACAAUAAAUAACUUUGGUAUUUUAUUAAUGGUUAGAUAAGAAAUUAAUCAUAUAAACACAAAGGUAAAACACCAUCAAAGAGGUGCUUGGUGAUCCCUGCAUAAGAAAACUCAAAGAUGGAUAAAAGGAAGGACCAAGAUGUGACCUUGUUUAUGUGCAAUGAUGAAAAUGGCAUGUGGGAUCUUAGGGUUAAACAUUACGGUAUGACAAACAUUUUUCCACCUUUGUGCCAAGAGACGUUUGGCUUGUACCCAAACACUUAAUCCACUCUUUUUAGUAUUUGAGGAGCAGCGGGUGCUUCUUUGGGUUGCAAUAAAGUUCUCCAUCAUUAGUUCGAGUUUUAACUUUUUAGGUACUUGAGGAGCAGCGGGUGCUUCUUUUUGAUAACCUGGAGGAACAAUAAGUGUUGGGUUUGAAGAAAACAACGCGUUGUUGUUUUUAUAGGAGAAAUUUGGAUGGUUUCUCCAGCAAAGGUUAUAAGUAUUAGAGUCUGGGUUCUCUUGGGAAUAGUUUACUUGGUCAGACGGAAUUCUAGCCAAUAGGUGGCAUUCAAGAGUGUUAUAUCCAAGGGUUCCACAUAACUCGCAAUUAGAUGUUGCAACAGCUAUGGUAGCUGCUAGAGUUACGGUCAAACUCUCGAUCUUCUUAGUGAGUGCGUCCACUUUAGCAUUGACCUAGUUUAUGCCACUUACUUCAUUUAUUCUGCACUUUAUUAGUGGUUUCUCUGUAGAAACUCGCUCACCUUCCCAUUCGUAGUGGGUUUGCUCUAUAUUUUCUUUGAGUUGAUAGGUGUCUUUGUAGGGUUUAUCCAUUAUAGAGCCAUCAACUGCAAUGUUUAAGGUUAGUUUGGUGUUGUACAAGAGACCAUGGUAGAAAGUAUGGAUAAUCAUACAUGGCUCAAGUCCAUGAUGUGAGAAGAUCCUUAACAUAUCCUUGUAUCUCUCACAUGCUUCAAAAAGAGAUUCAUUGUCUUUUUGCCUAAAUUCGUUGAUUUGGCUUCUUAACAUAGGUGUUUUGCUAGGUGGAAAGUAUCGUGCUAAGAAAACUUUCUUCAAUUUGUUCCAUGUAGUUAUGGAAUUAGAUGGUAGAGAUUGGAGCCAAGCUCUGGCUCUAUCUCUCAAAGAAAAGGGAAAGAGACAUAAUCUUAUGGCUUCGGGAUCGAUGCCAUUAGCUUUCAACGUGUCUGCAUAAUGCCCAAACACUGACAAAUGAAGGUUCGGGUCCUCCGUAGGGCUACCAGAGAUAUGGUUCUGUUGCACAAUGAAGGUUUUAACUCGAAAUUAUUUGCGUUGAUUAUAUGAGGUGCAAUGCUCAAGUGUGGCUCUUCUUUAGAUGGAGCAACAUAAUCCUUGAGAGGACAAUUUUGAUUUGAGGCCAUAUCAGGAUAUAGGAUAUUGUAUUCUAAACGAAGUUUUCUAACUUAGCGUCUUAGAAUAAAACACUUGAUUUUUUUCUGGGAUGUAUUAGCUCACCCCCCCUAGGAACGAGUGUUUGGCAUAUAACCGAUGAAUAAAAGGGAAAAAUAGUUGCAUUUGUCUAUACUGCGCAACAACAGAGUUACAAUAUUGACUAAAUUGGUCCUUGGAAAUGGUGCCAAAAACUUGAUCGCGACUUAGUGAGUCUAUCAAAAUAUCUAACUGCAAGUGCAUAGUUGUAUCGCGUAGAUUUAAAAGAUAUUGAAUUCACAUUGACCAAUAAUAAAACUUAUCGCUAUCUAUUGGUGCUAUAUAAAUCUAAGGCUUAUGAAAAUUUGAUUUUGGGGAAAUUAAAACUAAAAUUAGAAUAAAGUUUAGAAAAUAUAACAGAAAGGAGAGACCGGAAUAUGGAUCCCGGUGUACCUCGGAGACUCAAUAAUUUAUAGGCGUGUGUUAAUGUAUUAAAUCACUUUUCAGUAGAAAGAUAUUAAUUUAAAAACCUUUAUCUCACACUCUCGUGUUGUUGACUCUAGUUAUACUUCUAGACUAUAUGUUUCCUCUUGCUAACCCAUUUAAAUCAGGAAACCCUUUUUGAAAACCAAUAAAUUCUAAUUAAUCCUAAAGCGCUCUCGCUGUGUUUAGGAUUAAUGUCCAAUGUUUACUAUACGGUUCAAGCCUCACACUCUCGUGGUAUUGACUCGAAACCUUAAUGCUUUCGCUCUCCUGCAAAACUUUUCAGACUUAAAAUUAAAACCAGAAAAAUAAUAUAUAAAAAGGUUUACGUCAACUUAUUACCAAGUCCUGUCAGAAAUACGGUCCUCAAAUACCGGACUCAAAGCAAUUUAGUCAGACAUGAUAUUAAACAUAAACAUUAUUUUCAUGAUAAUGGAAAUUAACAACAACAUUACAAGUAUAUACAUUUCAAACAAAUACAAUUAAAUUAAAGAAAUUAUAUAAGGAACCUGAAAAACUGGAAUUAAUGCGGAAAUAACUCCGAGUACACAUAACGGAACGAAAAAUAACUUCUAAUGUCGGCACGAUUACUUUGACCCAAGCUUACAAUAAAAAAAUCCUAAGAGUUAUGGUGUGAUAGUCCCCCAAUGCGAGAGCUCUAUCACUUUUGAAUGUAUUUAAAACCAAGAACAAAACUUAUAUGUACAAACUUGGAUAUCAAAAUAUCAUCAAAACUACCACUAUAUAGUCAUAUGCUACUGGAAAACGUUCAUAAGUCGUGUGGAAAUUGUGGAGAAAAAGUAGAGAAGUUGGUUUCCUUAUUUUUUUUUUCUGAACUACACGUUCAUGGAGAAUGUCAUGAGGUCCACAGUGAAUGUCAUGGCCUUAAAAAGUGGAUUACAUUGCUGGUGAGGUGCAUGGCGAAUGCUAUGCACCAGAAAAUGAUGAUUUCUGUGUUUUUUCUUCAUUUCUUGCUCUUUUUUCCGGUUUUCUCGUACGGAUGCUCUUCUUCAAUAAAUACCUGAAACAGUUAAAUAAUAUCGGCAUAAUACUACAAAAGCAAAUGGAAAUGACACUAAAUUGCAUGUGAAUCAAGUCGAAAUAUAUAUGAAUUUUCACGUUAUCAAUGAGUUGAAGGUUUUUAUUCCGUUUAUUUAUUUUAAAGCAUACUUUUUGACUGUUAUCAAUGUUUCCCCUUUUCUAAUUACCCCAACGUGUAGGGCAUACUCAGAACUUUUCAGAUAUUUUGUUGCAGUUUGGGCAUGUCUCCUGAUGUGGGGGUUUUUCUUUAUUUAUUUAAGAAGGAGAUUCUCCCUAACAACGUUUGGGUGGCGUUGCGCCCUUUUCCAAGCGAGUGUCUGCUAAAGCCAUUCGUAAACCCUUACAAGGAUUGGAAAGAAAAGUUUGUGUGGGUGAAAGGAUGAGGUGAUACAUCUCUAAUCCUGGAUGUUGUAUCCAUGGAUUUACCAAAGGAUGAAACCAAGUGUUCUUUCCCCCUUGAUCACGAAGUAAUUCAGGUUUUGACAUGUUUCCAUUUUAAGGAAUCCUAUGUCCUAUAUUUUAUUCGGGACCAUGAAGGAGGUGAUAGGGUGGAGGAGCACUUAGGUAUGAAGGAAUACCUUUUUCGAGCCAAUCUUGUAUUUAUUAUUUUUGUGUUACAACAACACUUUCUUGCAGAGGGGAUAUGGCGGAGACCCCACUUGACGAGAGAGAGAGUGAACUUGGUGAAAAUGUAGAUGUCACAAUAGUUGGCGAAUAUGCCUCUUCCUUUCCCCUAAGACGUGGAAAGUGACGGGCAGGUAAGGAAGUGCAAGACUUCACGAGCUGGUGAGCCAUGUCCUCCCAAGGUUCCACAGAGGAAGGAGGACCCCUCAGGGGAAUUUGGGAGUCGCAAAGUAGGUCAAAGGGUGGAGAAAGCAAGAGAAGAACAUGUCCAUCCAUAACCUUCUUUAUGGAAUAACCAUGUCUUUACUGCAGUGGAGUUUUCUAUUCACCACUUUUCCUUUCCUGAGAAUUUCCCAAGUGACUAUCAAUUGUUUCUCGACAUGUAUUUUACCAGGAUAUUUGAUCAGCUGGAAGUCCAACUUUUGAGAUUCCUUUUAGUGGGAAAUCAUAGAGGGAUAAGUCUUCUUGAACCAUCCAAGGACUAAAGUUCAAGGUGGUUCAUGUGAAUAUGAGUAUUCACGAAGGUGGAACAACAAUGAGGUUGUUGAGGGAGAAGUGGGACGUUGUAAAGGCGGUUACCCAGGAAAUGGCUACUGAGGCUUUUUCCUAGUUUAAAGAGGUGGGGAGUUUGAAGUAAUUGCUGGAUAUCCUAGAGGAGAAAGUCUCUUCACUCAAGAUGAAGUAGUGGCGACCUUCGUCCAUCAUUUAGAGGGGGAAAGGAUAUAAGUCGCCUAUCUUUAUAUUAAUCUAGAUUUAACACCAAUGGAUCCUUUUAAGGUGGUUCAAGAUGGUCAUCUAAUGGAUGAGGAAUAGCUUCUCGUGCUUUGACCUUUUUGUUAUUAUUUUCCCUUUUGGGGGAUUUCUCUAAUUGUAAUGAACAAUGAUGUCCCUUGAGGGCGCCUUUUAUGUUAAUUGAUUUUAUUGUUAUACUUGUGUAAUUAACCCUUUAGUGUUGAGAGAAAAUAUUAUCAUCGUCCCUCUUGCAACAAUUUGACUACAUGGGGAUUUUAAGAGGGAUCCUAUUUUAGGGAUAUGGUGUUUUGGUUACCUCUAGGGGUGACAAGCGUCCCAUAUAAGGAUCCAUUGAUUUGAAUUGCCUAUAUGGGCGGUAAGAUCCCUUUAAAGAUCCAAAAAAUUUAAUCACCUCUAUGGGAAACAAGGAUCCGACGAAUUUGAUCGCCUUUAAGGGCGGCAAGGAUCCCUUUAAGGAUCCAACGAUUUUAAUCGCCUCUAUGGACGAUAAGGUCCCCUUAAGGAUCUAGCAAUUUUGAUCGCCUCUAUGGGUGACAAGGCUCCCACAUAAGAUCUAGAAACUUUGAUCGACUAUAUGGAUGACAAGGAUCCCACAUAAGGAUCCAGUAAUCUUGAUCGUCUAUAUGUGUGGCAAUGAUCCCACAUAAGGAUCCAACGACUUUGAUCGCCCUCAUGGGUGAUCUUCUCUUGAGCUUUCAGGUUUCCUACAAAUACAGGAAUAGCCAACAAAUAUAGAUGAUCCAAAAUAAUAAAACGAGGUAUCUCAAGAGGGAAACCCCUAUGGACCUUCAAUAUUCAGUCUGCUCAGUGGCUGGAGGGGAAGCCUCCUCGCCCUUGCAGGCUUUUCCUGGUGGCUUAAUUCCCGAGGUCAUUAUCUUCAUUCUCCUGCCUGGAGCACAUACUCUUUUCAGCUUUAGGCUCUCUAUGUAACAUUUUCUGGCCUCCGUCUCCUGAUCCCCUCAAAUAACCCCUACUUACUCAUUCAGGAGUGGGUAUUUCAAGCAUAAAUACAAAGUGAACAACAUGGCAUAUAACUAGUUAAAAGUUGCUCGCCCUAUAAUCAUAUUAUACGAAGAAGGGGCGUCAAUAACCAAAUACCUAAACUUUAUUUCUUUGGCUUGAUCCUGCUCUCUGAAGGUGAUCUUCAAGGUGAUGUAUCCCUUUACUUGUACAUGUUCUCUAGAGAAUCCAAACAGGGAUCCUUUGAAGAGCUUCAAGUCUUCGGGGUCAAGGCGAAGUCUUUCAAACACCUUAUAGUACAAGAUGUCUGCACAACUCCCCUGGUCAACUAGAACUCUAUUAAUCUCCCAUUCAUAUCAUUUGGCGAUGAUGACCAUGGGGUCAUCAUUGUGAGGGUGAAUGCCAACUGCAUCUUUCUCAGAGAAAUUUGUAAUGGCUUCUAAUACUAGGGUUUCUCCCUCGGUCUUGGCUCAAGGAGGUCUUUUAUGAUCAAGAUAUGGGAGGCGUACUUUUUAUGGGAGGAAGUGGUUUCUCCUCCCCCAGUGACUCCUCCCGUUAUGGCGGUGAGCAUGUGGCACGCGACUUUACUUCCCUCAUCUUACGAUACUUCUUUCGCUUAUUUAGGAAUGAGGCUUCUUACGUCAUCCUGCCCUUGCAAGUUAGGUUCUGAUGCCUUGGAGGAACUGCCCUUCACAUAUUUCUUGAGGUCCCCCUUCUGGAUUAUCCUUUCAAUUUCCCUUUUGAGUUGAUAUCAAUUUCUAGUGUGGUGUCCUUUGAUCCUAUAGAACUUUCAUUAUAUUCUCGAUUCAGAAUUGAUUACAUACACUUUUGGAGCGGACGAUAUGGAGAUGUCGAACUAAAAAGUGAAUCAUCUUCUCAUAUUUCAAAUGAAUUGUUACGAAUGAUGUUGAAUGAAUUGUAUAUGUAUCCACUAUAUAGAACAUUUAUAAGGAUUUAAUAAUCUCAAACAGGAAAAUCCCUUCUAAUAUUUUGGACACUCUUUAAGCUUACCAAGACAUUACCAACAAUUAUCACUUGCAUUUAGAACAACCCCUAGCCACACACAUCAUAUAUAUAUAUAUAUAUAUAAUAUAUAUAUAUAUAUAUAUAUAUAUAAUAUAUAUAUAUAUAUAUAUAUAUAUAUAUAUAUAUAAUAUAUAUAUAUAUAAGAGAAACCAAAUGUCAAAGACAUAUCAAAUGCAUUUCAAAAUUUGCUUAAUGCAGGUUCAACAAUGUGUUAUUUAAAUCUGAUUGUAAAAUUGUAGUGAAUAUACUCUUUAAUCCAAGAAUUUUAACCCAUGAGUUAAGAUCAAUAAAUAAGUGUUAAUGAGUUUUUCUGAUUUCCUCACAAGUGUGUCCAAAUUCUAUAUACUACUCUUAAUAAUUUGUUUAAGACUUCUCCUUAUAUUGUUUCUUGGAUUAAUAAUAAAGUGUAAUGAGUUUUGUUCUAAUCAGGAAGUAGGAUUAGAUACAAUUGGUGGACGAGAGAUCUUGAACUGAUGAUGUCAAUCUUUGAUAUGGCGGUGCGAGAUGGAUUUGUAAGGUUAGCACUCCAACGCGUAACUCAUUUUAACAUUCAAGAUGAGUAUGGUGAAAACUGAAGAUUAGAGAAUGUACAUUGCCUUUCUUCGGAUGUGUUUAAUGAAGUGUGUGAGUCAAAUUCAAGUGGAGCCUUCGCUCAUGUUCUUCUCUAGAUUUCCUAGAAUCUUUUUCUUUCGCUCGACCAAAUUCGGGGAUACUCAGUCCUCGACCUUCUCCAUUAACCAAUCGUUUCUCCCCGUAGUUAUUGUAAGGUUGAUACCUACUUAGUAAAUAUUUUAGAUUACAGACUUUUUUGCGGCCUAGUUUUUCUUGGAAUAUGUUGUCAAGUCAUAGUAUUUUCUCAAAAAUCCAUCACUUUAGACUUUCAUUCGUUCUUUUAACAAACACCGUUACCUUGGUUAACUGGUUGAUGUAUGCGUGUAGAAUUUAUUUCUUACCUUAAGUCACUCUACUAAGGACGACCAUAGUUGUUAGUUGUCAUUUUCUUGUAGUAAAGAAGGUCAUGAAAGUUUUUCAUAAUUCAGAAUAGGUGUCUAUGCUUCCAUUAGGGAGGGAUUUGCACCAGUGCUCAAGCACAUUCUCUUAAAAUAAGUUCAAAUAGUUUACAUUUUACGUCCCCAUCCGCGUGGUAAUGAUCUAGUCGUUCGUCUACAUGUUCAACAUGCUCUUUGGGGUCUCCAAUUUCUAUUAUAGUCUUAGAGUUUGGGGGUGGGGGUGUUUCCAAGGAUCGUGAAAUCCAAUCGUCUAAGGUAUGAGCGAUCAGAGGAUUAUUUUUAUUUAGUUGAAUUGAAGUGACUUCUUUUUUUCCUUCCAUUCUAAUCGACUGACAGGCCUUUAGAGGGGCGAGGUUGUCCUUUCUCCCCUCAGGGUCGGGUGAAGGUGUGUACUUUUUGCAUCCCCGAUGGUUUGUGGGUUUUUGUACCUCUUCCCAAUCCUUUAUUGUUCCUAUGAAUUUAUGCGAUGUUGCUUCUUAGACGAUGUUGUCCUUUGGGGUGGCAUUCUGUAAGCCCUCUUCUAUUCGAGUGAGUCUAUCCGUGAUAGCUUGAGAGUUUUGUUGUUGAAUCAUCCAGAACAUAUUGUUUAACAACCGAUGAGCUGCCUCAUGUCAUAGAUUGGUAUCUAAUAGCUGGAAACUCUAGAGUGUUUCACGCCCAAUGACUGUGGGGCAUGCAUCUGGUUGGGUAGAUGGUCCACCUAGAUGGAUUUAUGGGGAGUUAAUUACGAGCGCGGGGAAUUGAUAAGUUCCUUAGGUUGUCUAUGGUUGCAUAGGGUUUAGUUGUAGAGCUGGAGGACUAGACAAAUGACAAUUUCCUACAGCAUCAAUGGUUGCAACGACUUGUCAUUGAGCGACAUUACGAGUGACUUUUGAUGGCGCCAUUGCUUGAUGAUUCUGAUGAGAUGAAUUCGAUUGCAAAUUUAGUGAUAUUGACAUGGAAAUGUAGAUUUACACUCUGGUUGGAGAAGAUUUGCAUUUGAGAUUAAGAUAUCGUGGUAAUCAUAGGAGUUCUAUAUUGGUUCUCAUAGAUGGCACAAUUCUUUUUUAGGAGAAUGAGAAGAUGAUCGGAUACAUAAAGUGGUUGUGGUGUCACGGUGGAAAUUUAAUUACGAUGUGGUGGAUGGAGCCAACCGACAAGGUUAGCACUCCAACAUUCAAGUUAAUACAAUAAAUUAAUAAUGAACUUUUCAAAUGGGAGUGAAUUGUACCUAAAAUAUGGCUCUAACUCUUCUUUUUAUAGGGGGUUUGUUAGUAACUAAAAUAUAAAUGUGAGUGCGGAACGCGGAUGGAUGCAAGAUGGAUCUAGCGGUGUAAAAUGGAUUUCCAAAUAGAGUUGUAUGAAAUGAAUUAAGAUUAUACAUUUUAUCUCUGUCAUGCUUUGCAUUAUUUUGAUCUUGGGUCUCAUGUUCUACUAGGCCUUGGCGACCGACCUAGAACACCUCUCUAAAUUAUUCUUAUUUUCCUCACAUAUUCUAGCCAUAGUGCUUUGAGAGUGUUCUUGAGUCUAGUGAGGAUAUUAUUCUAGAUGAGGGUAUAAUUUUAAAUUUACCAAGAGUAGAUUUUUUCUCUUGAGUAAAUUAUCCUUCCUUAGGAAGUUAUUAUUUUGGUUGGGAGUUAAACAAUUUAAAAAGAUCUUAUUUGUCUUUGUUUGGUUUGUGAAGAUUAGACAUCCAGAUAUUAUUUUAAAUUUACCAUUGUAGAGAUUCUUUUGGUUCAUGAAGAUUAACCAGCAAGAAUCUCUACAAUGGUUAUUGAGCCCAGUAGGCUAAAUAGUUGUAUCAGUUCAAGAUCAGUCUGGUGUAAAAUCUCACUUGGUUUUUGAGUUAAGUGCGGUAUAAGAACUAAGUAGGUUCGAGAUCACCCUGGUAUAAAUCUCGGUUUGGUUCAUGGACGUCCAGUAUAAAACCUUGGUUUGAGAUCAUACUGUGAAAAUCUGUGUUUGGUGUGAAGACUAUCCGCUUCAUCCCUUGUUUGUUAUUUUGUUAGAAGUUAACUUGGAACUUAAUUUCCUUAUAUAAGGGGGUUUGAGGGCAUAACCUUCUAAAUUCUCUCAAGCAAGGUGAAUACUCUCAAGAUCAAUUCUUGGGGACAUGAUUAAGUUUUCUUGGUCGAACUUGUAUAAUUCUCCAAUUUUAUCUCUCUUCCCUUAUCUUUUUAUUUUCCAGUUAUUUACCUUGAACUUUUGCUUCAUUUUCAACUAUUUUUACAAAAUGGUUUUAAAUUAUGAUUUAUCAAAUGAUUUUCUUUUAAAUCAACUAUUUUCAAAUCAUCACAUUUCAAAUGAACCAGGUAGAUUUGAUGUUGAAUUCAUCACAAUUUUCCUUUAUACCACUCCAAAUGGAAGAGAAUAUGUAGUAUUUGAUAAUCCCACAAGGUCUAAGCACCCUAUUCCUCAUGAUACUUGCCCACUGGUCCUCACAGUUUGCCAAAUUCUAACAAUAUGAGACCGAAGGCCAUGUUUAAAGUGGAAAUAAAUCUAAUUCCCGUGCCUCCUUUUGACACAUCCUGUCAAUAAGUUUUCCAAGCCAUCGUGAAAAUCUUCCUCUUUUGAAUGUUUCCACUCCAUAUUAAAUUUCUUGUACAUCUUUAAAUUAUUUUCACAAGGGAGCUAGGCCAAGAGUAAAUCAACAUGUUAUUAAUUAACAUACUAUGGAUGAUAAUUUUCACCAACAAGAUUCUACUUACAAUAGUAAGCAGAACAACCAUCUAAGUAUCCAACUUAACCCUAAUUUUAUCAGCAAUGAAUUCAAAUUGGCUAGGGUUAUGUCUUCCGUUAAAAUUGGAACCCCUAGAUGCACAAAGGGAAUAAAUCUUACCCUAAAACCAAAGAGAUUAACCAACAAAAAAUGCCUUUGAGUGGGUAAAGAACCAACAUACAAAAUGGACUUUGUAUGGUUGAUGUGUUAACGAGAGGUGUUUACAUAUUGUUUGAAAAAAGAGUUGAUCGGUUGGUUAGAAGAAGAAUUACCUCAUCUGAACAACUUGAUGUCAUCAACAUAUAGAGUUUGGAUGAGAACCACUAUAUUCCGAUUGAUCUUUAUGAGCUUGAUGUUUCCUAGAAAUCCCUUUGAUGAGUACAUCCUCUGCAAUGUAAAAGAGAAGAGGUGAGAGAGGCUUACCUUGUUUGACCUCUCUAUGAUAGCUAAAAUAUCCACUUAAUUGACCAUUGAGGGAUAUAGAAAUGAAAGAAGGCUUUAGAAUAUAGCUCAUCCAAUUGCAUAAUUUUAAGCUGAAACCAAACUGUUUUAGCACUUUGAGGAUGAAAUCCCAACUCAAGGUGUCAAAUGCUUUUGAGAUAUCAAUCUUCAUGGAAAUAUUGUUCCCAUAAUAUUUCUUGUGCAAUAAGUUAGCCAUCUUAGAUGUAUACAUAUAUUAUCCUUGAUUGGUCUACCAUGAACAAAAGCUUUUUUCUCCCUAGAUUUUUAGCUAAUCUAUCAACAAUGAUUUUUGUGAUUAUUUUCUUACUAUCAAUAGAGUCAGCUUCAUCCACCUUUGGAAUGAGGAUCAGGGUGUUGUCAUUAUAACUAAGAAGGAUCCAUGAAUUUUUGAAGAAUUGUAUUGUGGAAUUUACGACAUCCUUCUUAAUAAUAGACCAAAAAGUCUGGAAGAAAAUACUACCAAACCCAUCAGGUCUAGCAACACUAUCCUUAUUAAGAGCAAACACCGGUACAUGAAUUUCCUCAUAAGAAGGUAACAUGGUAAGGAUCAUCAAAAUAGCCUUGUGAAGCAAUCAGAUCUUGCAGAACCUAUAUAUUAACCUCAAUAUCUCUAACACGAUCUUUCACAUUUCCAAAAGUAUUUUAUUAAUGUCCUUAAUAUUGAGGUUUAAAAGUUUAAGUUUCUUGUUGAGAAUGAACAUUAGGCAACCUACCAGCACAUUUUUCCAAAAUGAGUCCACCAAGUCUUUUACUUCGGGGUGUCUGAACUACAUAUGCAAGUACUUAAAGUGAGAUUUAAACUCUUCAUCUUGACACUGGAACUCAAAGAGAAUGGGAUAGAUGUCUAAUAUAUUUUUGUUUAGAUAAUAACAAGAAAUAGAGGAACAAGUAUCUAUCCAAACCUAAGUACAUAUGACUCUAUCCAACCUUUUUUCAAUAUGGUGAUGACCCCUAUGACCAUUGGACCACUUAAAUUGGGGCACCAGAGGUUGGAAUAUGAAUGUGGUGGUUAGAGUCUGUCCAACUAGAUAAAUCUUCCAUUGGGACUCUUUCUAGUUGAUGGGAUCCAUUGUACUCAUGAUAUCCAAGGAUGGUGUUAACCCCCACCCCCAAAAAACAAGGCAAAUUAUGAGAAUUAGCAACAACUUGAAGUGCAUGCCAAAAGUUCCUCAUAGUUAAGUAGUUUGUGGAGGCAUAUAUUACAGAGAACCAAAAAUCCUUUUUAUUGACCUUAAAUGUAAAAGAGAUUCGUUGGUCAUCCAUGUCCACCAUAAAAAGGUCUAUAUUUGUCUUGCACAGACACCAUUUGUUUGGAAAGUGUUGUCUCCAGAGUUAACAACAAAAAAAUUCACGUUGAUUAUAUUAAGUCGUCGAUUAGGAAGAUUAGCCUUAGGCAUAUUGGGUUCAACAAUGAACACUAGCAAAGGAUCAUGAAUUUUAAUUAAUCUCUUCAAAGAAAAUUUUGAGUGAGAGUUGACUAAGCCUCUCACAUUUCAAAAAAUGAUCUUCACGGAGAGGGCAUCACCAAACCUAAAUCUAGUAUUAUAUGCACUCAUAUAGUGAUUUUUUCCCUUUUGUUUCCUUCUAUAUUUUGAGGUAACUAGUUGAAAACAAUCAUUUUGGUUUUUGUCACCGCUAUCCUUUUGAGUCAAGUUUUCAUCUACCUCUAGGCCCAAAGUAUUGGCCUAUAAGGUUUUAAGGAAUUCCACAUAUUUCCUCACCACUUCAAGAACAUAAUCCGUACUUAACCUUUCCACCUCUAAAGCUUGUCGAGUGGCAUCCAAAAAUUCAUACUCCAUAAAGCUAUUUGAUUCCACAGGAUCUGGCUCAAGAUAUUCCAACAAUUAUGUUUACAUAAGUAUUGUACCAUUAAGGGCGUUGGUCAUCCAUGUCCACCAUAAAAAGGUCUAUAUUUGUCUUGCACAGACACCAUUUGUUUGGAAAGUGUUGUCUCCAGAGUUAACAACAAAAAAAUUCACGUUGAUUAUAUUAAGUCGUCGAUUAGGAAGAUUAGCCUUAGGCAUAUUGGGUUCAACAAUGAACACUAGCAAAGGAUCAUGAAUUUUAAUUAAUCUCUUCAAAGAAAAUUUUGAGUGAGAGUUGACUAAGCCUCUCACAUUUCAAAAAAUGAUCUUCACGGAGAGGGCAUCACCAAACCUAAAUCUAGUAUUAUAUGCACUCAUAUAGUGAUUUUUUCCCUUUUGUUUCCUUCUAUAUUUUGAGGUAACUAGUUGAAAACAAUCAUUUUGGUUUUUGUCACCGCUAUCCUUUUGAGUCAAGUUUUCAUCUACCUCUAGGCCCAAAGUAUUGGCCUAUAAGGUUUUAAGGAAUUCCACAUAUUUCCUCACCACUUCAAGAACAUAAUCCGUACUUAACCUUUCCACCUCUAAAGCUUGUCGAGUGGCAUCCAAAAAUUCAUACUCCAUAAAGCUAUUUGAUUCCACAGGGUCUGGCUCAAGAUAUUCCAACAAUUAUGUUUACAUAAGUAUUGUACCAUUAAGGGCACUAGUUUAUCCUUUAUUUGGCAUAACCAUUAGUUCCACAUGAUUUUGUGUGGAUUCUACAUAGACCUUACCCUUGUCCUUAUUGUUUAAGACCUCAAUCACAAGAUCCUUAUAUGUCCCCCUACUUUUUUAGCCACCUGAACAUAUUUCCUCUUUUUCUCCUUGGGUUUAGUGAUCAAAGUUUCUCCAUGGUGUUGUAUAUAUGUGUCAAUCACCUUUCUCUUACAAACAUCAAAGUGAUGACCAACACAAUUGCAAAAAUUAUAGAAAUUUGGGAUGUUUUCGUAAUCCAACUCAACAGAAAAGGUAAAAACUUUUCUUUCUACAAAAACCUUAUACAUUAAUUCCUUAGAGAUCUCCAUGUCAACAAGAACUCUCACACAAUGAACAAAAGAUAUUUCAAAACAACCCUUGUUAGUUGUUGAGUCAAUGCAAAAAGGAUUUCCCACACUUCUAGUAAUGGCGAACAAAAUCUUGGGUCUCUAAUAAUCUUGAGAAAGAGUUCAUAGAUUCGCACCCAAAUUUGGACUGAUGUUUGUUUCAAGGAAGUUGAAGUCCUUAGACCAUGGGAACAACUUCAAAAAACCAGAACUUAAUUUUUAAGAGCUCACCGCCCUAACCCUUCUAACGUCUUCAUUGGAUAUAAAAGAAAAUUAAAAAUAUCCUUUACCCAGAUAUCUUAUACCAUAUCUUCCCAUCGAUUUCCAAAAUGAUGCUAACUCGUUUCGUAGGUUAACAACAAUUAGGGAAAUGUACCUUUGAGUGUGACGACCCUCCCAUGGAGAUUGUGUUUAUCACCCUCUACACCCUUUUGAUAUUUAUCUUCUAGUAUCACAAUUGUGAUCCUAUCACCUUUGGCGUAAGAUAUGGGAAUUUGAUUAAGCAGUAUAUCAUAAAUGUUAUUCACGGCCUCAAUAAAAGAUUUUUAUUGCUUUGAAAUGUUCUCUUCAGUUUUUGAUAUCUUGUGUAGAGUUAUUGGUGUUGAAAGGUAAUUCAGUAUUUUAGUAUUUCUCCUAUGGGGCAUUAUUGAUUGUGUAUAUAAGUGAGUAGUGUGCUCAGCCAUUAAGAAAUGUAACGUAACACGCUGUACACAUAAGUAGUGGAGUAACCAUUCUCUGUGUAACCGGUAAUGGAAUAGUAGUGGAAGUUUGUUAGAGUUUGUUACUCUCUCUCUCUCUCUCUCUCUCUCUCUCUCUCUCUAUAUAUAUAUAUAUAUAUAUAUAUAUAUAUAUAUAUAUAUAUAUAUAUAUAUAUAUAUAUAUAUAUAUAUAUAUANUAAGUAAGUCAUUCUACCAAUGUUGAUUUGGCAUACUAAACAUAGUCACCUUGAGAAGGCUACUAUGUUAAACAAAUACAUUAAGUAGCUAAGUAAUAUGUAUAUGUAUAUGUCAUUUUAUUUCAAAAGACAUGCAUUUGGAGUGUUUCAACCCCUUCCUAUCAUGUUCAAAGCAAACUCAGUUCUUUUGCCUAGUAUCCAUCUAAUAGGUUUCAUGUUUCUAAUAAAAGUAACUCUACAUUAUUUUUACAAUCGAUUUUUCUUUUCAUAACUUUAACCCAUCUUUGUCUAUAUAAAAUGUCAUAUUCUUUCUUUCGUUUUUUCAUGGUCAUUUUUUUAAAACAACAUAUUAUGGUAUCAAUACAUUGUAUUUUAGAAUUAUAUAUAUAUAUAUAUAUAUAUAUAUAUAUAUAUAUAUAUAUAUAUAUAUAUAUAUACAUAUAUAUAUAUAUAUCCUCUCUCUUCCUCCAUCUUUAUCUUUUUCACCUUGUGCACCAAUAAUUGGUAUCUAGAGCUCCGGUUUAGAUCCACAAGGAACCAUAGGGAAACACUAGUGAAUGGUGAGGCACUGUGUGAUUGAUUUCAUUUCUCGAAUUUGUGUUGAAUUUAUGAAUCUGAAUCAUAACAGAAUCAUAUUUAUUGAUUCUGUGGGAUUGGGAAACGCUAGUGUUUGGUGAGAUCUAAGUGAUUUGCACAAAGCUGAAGAUGAACGACAAUGGUAAUCUAAGUACUAAGCUUCAAGUGUUCGAUGACAAGAUCUGAAAUCGGUGGGUGAUUUAGUUGCGUGUGUUAUGUGGAGCUUAAUUUGUUCUUGAUCUCGUCAAUGACAGUUAUGUUCGUGUUGAACUUCUAGAAAAUGCAUUGAUGUGCAACGAAAUGCUCCGCAUGACCUGAUGAAAGAAGGAUCAUAAGGCGUUGUUCUACAUCCAUCAGUGUGUGGAUGUGAAUGUGUUUGAUAAAAUCUUUUAUUCGAUGACGGAGAAGCCUGUGUGGGACAUACUGGUACGGAUCUACGGUGAUGAUGCAUCAGUGAAGAAGGUGAAACUUAAGCCUCUAUGUAAGCAGUAUGAGAAUUUCAACAUGAAGAACAAUGAGAAGGUACCUUACUAUAUCUCCAAAGUUACUCUGAUCAUAAAUGAGAUGAAGUCGUAUGGAGAAAAUCUCUCUGAAGAAAGUAUCAUUGAGAAGGUACUUAGACCUCUUACUCCUCAAUUUGAUUACACUGUGGUAUAAAUUUGAUAUUCUAAGGAUCUGAGCAUCAUGAGAAUAGAAGACCUGCAAAGUAGUAUAGAGGCACAAAAGUUGCGUCUGACUGAGGGAAACUCUGAAAUGGAGGUAGAGAAACAGGCUCUGAGAGCAGCUUCUGGUAAGAAAUAUCAGAAGCGAUCCUGGUCAGAAGCCAGGAAGAGAUCUGAUGGUGUUCAGAAGUCAGAAACCUCAACUUCUGGAAGGCAGAAGAGUGUUCAAAAGGGAAAGGAGAAGUAUGACAAAAGGAAAGUUCAAUGUUACUGUAGUAAGAAGUUUGGCCACUUCGCUACUGAUUGUUGGUCAAACAAGGAAAGGAAUUCAGAAGAAGAAAAUAUAGCCAGAGAAUAUUUUGAUGAUGAAUAUGUGCUAUUGAUGGCUUCUGAAUCUGAUGAUGUGUAUUUGGCAGACUGGUGGUAUAUGGACACUGGCUUCUCAAAUCAUCUUAUUAGAAAUAAGAAAUGGCUGGUUGACUUUGACUAUUGAAAGAGGACAAAGAUCAGAUGUGUUGAUGAUAAAUACCUCAAUGCUAAAGGUAUGGAAAAAAUCAUAGUAGUUCUGAAUAAUGGUAAAACAAUAUUGAUUCAGAAUGUGUGGUAUGUUCCUGACAUGAAAAGAAAUCUGAUGAGUGUAGGCCAAUUAACUGGAAAGGUUUUUCAGUUACCAUGAAUGACAUUAUUUUGAAGAUGUAUGACUAUAAUCAGAAUAUGAUUUUGAAGUCAGAACAGGGGAGGAAUAGGACUUUCAAAGUGAAUGUAAAACUACAGACUUUGAAUGCUUGAGUUUAAUAAGUGUUAUGAAGGAAAGUGAGUUAUGGCACAAAAGAUUUGGUAAUUUGAACUUCAGAAGCUUAUGGCAUAUGAAUUCAAAGAAGUUGGUACAUAGAAUUCCUGAAAUUAAGAAUCCAGAGAAGUCAUGAAAUCCGUGCAUGAGAGGGAAGCAACUAAGACUUCCAUUUGCAUCUGAAAUGCCUCCAAGAGAAAAGCAUGCGCUAGGUGUGAUGCAUUCUGAUGUGUGUGGACCAUUUCCAGUACCUUCACUUGGAGGGCAUAAAUACUUUGUGUCAUUUGUUGAUGAGUUCACUAGAAUGACAUGGAUAUCCCUCAUAAAGUUCAAACAAGAGGUGUUUGCUGAAUUUAAGAAAUUCAAAAUCAAGGUUGAGAACCAAAGUGGUCAGAAGCUGAAAGCUCUCAGAACUGAUGGUGGAGGUGAAUAUAACUCUAUAGAGUUCAGAAAGUUCUCUGAGGAGAAUGGUAUUGAGCAUAAGGUGGUUGCUCCAUACACUCCCCAACACAAUGGUAUUACUGAAAGAAGAAACCGAACUUUGCUUGAUAUGACAAGAAGCAUGCUGAAGGAUAAGAAGCAACCUCACACCUUAUGGGGAGAAGUUGUUGCCACUGCAACAUACUCCCUCCGGCCUUAUUUAUAAGCAAAAGUCUUCUAAUUUUUUUAGCCUUAAAUAUAAGCAAAUGUCAAUAAAUCUAGGUGCAUUUAAUGCAUUUAUUCCAAAAGUAUCCUUGCAUUAAUUACUUAAUAUUGUUAGUAAAAGACAAUUUAAUUGAGGGUAUACUAGUGAUUGUCUUGUCUCUCUCACAUGAAAUCAAGAAACUUAAAUGCACUUAAUUAUAUUUCUUAAUAAGUGUAAAACUUGUCUUUUUUGCUUAUAAAUCAGGUCGGAGUAGUAUGUGCUCAACAUGUGUCCAACCAAGAAUCUGAAGGAAAUUGUUCCUUUAGAGAAGUAGAUUGGAGAUAAGCAAAGUGUGAGCCAUCUGAAGGUGUUUGGUUCUGUUUGUUAUAGACAUGUUUCAGAUGUGGAGAGAAGGAAGUUGGAUGACAGAAGCAGAGUUAUGUUGCUUGUAGGGUACCAUAGUACAAAUGCUUAUAAGCUUUAUAGUCAAGUCACUAACAAGGUUGAAUUCAGUAGAGAUGUCAUUGUGAAGGUAUUAGAAGUGUGGGAUUGGAGUAAAUCUCAAUCCAACUCUGGUGUAUAGAUAAUCUCUGAAGAUACUUCAGAAUCUGAAGAUUCUAAAGAUGAGUCAAAAUCAGAAAAUGGUUUUGAAGGUGAGUCUGACUCUGAAGGCGAGUCUGACUUUGAUGGUGAUUCAGACUUUGGCGGAGAUCCCAACAUUGGGAAUAUUCCAGACUUUGAAGGUGGUACUUAUGGGGUUACAACAUAUGAUAUUAUUCCAGCGUCUGAAGCAGAUUCUGAACACGUUCAGAGGCGAUAAAGAAUCAGAAGCAUACCAAAAAGGUUUGUAGAGUUUGACAUGUUAUAAGAUACUGAAGUAAAUUGUGAAGGAGAAGUCAUUUAGUGAGCCAUGUUAGUAGACUCUGAACCAAUCAGUGUUGAAGAAGCUCUCAAGAAGAAAGUUUGGUUGAAGGCCAUGAAAGAAGAACUUAUGGCUAUAGAAAGAAACAAGACUUGGAAGUUGACUGAGCUUCCAAAGGAUAAGAAAGCCACAAGCAUCAUAUGGGUUUUCAAGGAGAAACUGAAGCCAAAUGGAUCGACUGGAAAACACAAAGAAAGAUUUAUAGCAAGAGGAUUUCUACAUAAACUGAGGUUAAAUUACUUUGAAGUGUUUGCUCAUGUAGAGAGAUAUGAGACAAUCAGACUGGCGAUUGUGGUAGCUGCUAACAGGAAUUGGCCUCUGAUGCAUUUGGAUGUGAAAUAUGCAUUUCUAAACGGUCAAUACAAGAAGAAGUAUACACAUCAAAACCUCCUGGAUUUGAGAAAAAGAAUCAGGAAGGCAUGAUGUACAAAUUGUAUAAAGCCUUGUAUGGACUGAAACAAGCUCAUCGAGCUUGGAAUCUAAAGAUUGGUUCAUUUUUCAAGCUCCAACGAUUCAGAAAGUGUGAGAUGGAGUAUGGAAUUUAUGUUCAACAUACUUUUAAAGGCAAUAUGAUUACGGUGUGGCUCUAUGUUGAUGACAUAUUGCUAACAUGGAGUUGUGAACAUGAGAUAGCUAAGUUAAAGAAUGUGCUGAUGAAUGAGUUUGAGAUAACUAAUCUAGGAAAGAGGACAUAUUUUCUAGGGAUAAAGUUUAUGUACUUUGAGAAGGGUAUCAUUUUGCAUCAGCUGAAAUGUGAACUUGAGCUUCUGAAGAGAUUGAAGCUGUUGAAUUGUAAGGCCGUUGUCACACCUGCAUAAAUAAAUCACAAAUUGGAUUCUGAUUCUGAAGGUGAUGAUGUAGAUGCUACAACUUUCAAGAAGUUGGUUGUCUCUCUAAGGUAUUUGUGUAAUAUCAUACUUGAUAUUUUCUAUGCAGUUGGAAUGGUUAGCAAGUUCAUGAGUAAACCGAAGUGGUCUCAUUACCAAGCUACUGUCAGGACUCUGAGGUAUAUUAAGAGGACUCUGACAUAUGGAGUUUUGUUCCCUUCUGGUGAAAAGGCUAAUUCAGAGUUUAUAUGUUACUCAAACUCUGAUUGGUGUGGAUACAAAGUUGACAGAAGAAAUACUUAUGAAUAUUUGUUAAGUAUCUGAGAGAUCUUAUUUCUUGGUGUUCCAAGAAGCAAUCAAUUGUUGCUUUGUCAACCUGUGAAGCUGAAUACGUUGCAGGUGUUGUGGUUGCAUGCCAAGUUGUUUGGCUUCUGAAUUUACUACAGGAUCUGAAGAUCAAGGUAAACAAGUCUCUCAAGUUGAUCACUGAUAACAAAUCUACAAUCAACCUUUCCAAUAACCCAGUGUUGCAUGGGAGAAGCAAACACAUUGAGAUUAAGUAUCAAUUUCUGAGAAGUCGGAUUCAGAAUGGAGUGCUAGAAGCUAUGCACUGUAGCACCAAGAAGCAGCUGACAGAUGUUCUGAUGAAAGCGAUCAAGACUGAUCAAUUUCUGCACUUGAGGAAUGAAAAUGGUGUUAUUAGUUUUGAUUAGCUAAAUCCUGAAUUAAAGGAUGAUGUUGAAGGGUAAUUCAAUAUUUUAGUAUUUCAUUUACGUGACAUUAUUGUUUGUGUGUAUAAGUGAGUAAUAUGCUUAGGCAUAAUGUAACAUAACACGUUGUACGCAAAAGUAGUGGAAUAAUCAUUCGCUAUAUAACCGUUAGUAGAAUAAUAGUGAAAAUUUGUUAGAGUUUUUUAUUCUCUAUCUCUCUUCUCUCUUUCUUCAUCUUUAUCUUUUUUACCUUGUGCACCAACCAUUAAAACAAAUUACGGUUUAUUGUCUAAGAAUGGCCAUAGCACAGCCAGAGUCUUCAUUAAAUUGUUGACUUGUUAGUUCAAGAGUGUCGCGCCAUACAUAAUUGCCAUUUUGAUAGUUCACCAAUAAAAAUGGAGUUGAUUUAGGUUUUUUAACGAAUUAUUUGAACAAAUUAUUGUCACUAAAAUAAUACUAAAUUUAUAACAACUUGAUCAUAAUCAUAAGUCAAUGAUGUGUUAUAAUCCACUGAAUAUUUAUAUUCAAGAACUGAGAGUAACUUUAUAUCUUUUUAUAAAAAAAACAAGAUAUAUUUUGUCCUUUUCCAUGAUUCCAAUUAUUAAAGACUAACUUUGCCGUUAAAAUUUUACAUACAUAUUACUAUAACCCACUGCUCACAUAUAUAACAGUGUCAUGUUUAAUCACGCGACUAUGACGUUAAAAAAACAAAAACAUAUUCAACAUAUUCACAUGUAAUCCGAGUUAACUUUUUCCACGGAAAUGAGGUGGAUAAUUUAAUAGGCAUCCUCCAAUAAAAUAAAUAGAUAUUAUCCUAGCCUAUGAUAUUUUUAUAUAUGAAUAUUAAUAUACUUUACAUCGUAAUUUACUAUUCAUCAAUCAAUAUGGUAAAUAAUAAAUUAAUAGAUCAUAAUAAAUUAACAAAUAUAUAUAUAUCUUAUAUAUAUAUUAUAUAUAUAUAUAUAUAUAUAUAUAUAUAUAAUUCUAUGUUAUUUAUUUUUUAAAUUUAAAUAUAUUUUUAGUCUCCUACUUUAAUAUUAUUAACUUUUUGUACCCCUUUAAACAAAAUUAAUUGUGUGAUUCCCAUAAUUCAUUUUUCUUAUUUUUUUAUCCCCCAGCAACAUAAGGGAGGAUUUUAAUGACGUGACUGCAACAGUGUCACAUGUAUUAACUGCCGUCAUGUCAUAUUUAUUGUAUAAUUUUAAUCUGACUAAUAUUUUUUAAUAAUUUAAAUAUAUUUAAUUAAUUACUAUUUUCAAUUUAAAUUAAUUCAUUUUCUCCACGAAAGCAUUUACGUUCUCUUUCUCUUCUCUAGCAGUUGCGCGUGAAUGACAUAAAUAUGAGUUCAUCUUAUCCACAAAUCAAUUUUUCGUUUUCUUCUCUUCUCUAAGUAACUUCGGUUCAACCCUAAAUUUGGUUUUAUCUUCUCCACAAAUCACAUUGUCUUCUCUUCUCUUAUCUUCUUUCAAUCGCAGAAAAAUAUCAUAAAGCUUGAUGUCAAGCCAUCGAAAGGUUGUGUGGUACAUUCAGGAAGAGUGCAAAUGUGGAUUAGAAUCAACAUUGAUGACUUCCUAGACCUAAUCGAACCCAGUCGUUCUUUUUAUGGCUUUGGAAUGUUUAACCUACAAUGGUAUAAGAGAUGUAACCAUUUUAGUUGGUUUGAAGAAUAAAUGUCACCAAGAACCAAGGAAGUAAUAUCUGACCUGAAACAUAAGUUGAGUGAGGAGAAGUCUAAAUUAAAUGUUGUCAAGAUCAAAGAGGAAGAAAUGAAGAUUAAGAUGAAGUUUAUGAAGAAGAUGAUGAAUUUAUAUGUGUCAAUCACUUUUGUUUUUAUAAUUGGUUUAGUUUUGUGUAAUUUAUUGAAGUAAGAAUUUUAGUUAUGUGUAAUUGGUUUAGAUUAAUGAAAUGUGUAAUGUUGUUGAAUGAUGUAAUGUAAGGUUGAGUUAUCUUCUACGUAAUUCAUUUAGAUGAAUGAAAUGUGUAAUGUUGUUGAAUGGUGUAAUCUGUAAUUUUAAAUGUUGAAUGCAGAUGAUUUUGAUUGAAAAACAUGACUUUAGUCUUUAACAUGUAACUUUAAUAUGUAGUUUUUAAUGAUUGUAAGGUACCAAAUUAUAACAUGUACCCAAAUCCUAUAAUGUGUGAAAAUGACGGUAAAUGUUGUUCAUGACACUGUAAUGUUAUAACAGUAGUGUACUAAAAUCAUUUUCAUUGAUGUAACAAGUUUAAUACUAUAUUUAUUCAUGGAAAAAUUUCUUGUUCUUCUCAAGUAUCAGUUGAAUCCUUGGACAAAUUUAUCCAACGUACUUAGACAUCAUCAAUUAGACUAACUACUUAUCACAAUUGGUUUCCAACCCUUUUACUUAAUCUCAUAUAGAAUUUUCAGCCAACCAUACACUUAACCACCAUCCUUUUUCCAUCCUUUUUCUUCAAAAACACAUUCUUCUUACUCUCAAUGGGAUACUCCUUACAACAUCCCUUAUCAACUCUUUACUUUUUGAAAUUCUAGUUAUCAGUCUUUCGAUGUCACACGGGUUGUUAUGACAUCCAAUUCUGCGCAGACAAGAAUUAUGCAGAACUUAAAAAGUAAGUGCAGUAAAUAACACAAGUAAUUGUUUACCCAGUUCGGUCCAACAUGACCUACUCGUCUGGGGCUCAAGCCAGGGAGGAAUCCACUAUUAGUAGUAUUAAUUCAGACCUUAACCAAUUGUUUAACCUAUCACUUAAUACCUACCCAAUGCAAUUUCAAUCUUAACUAAGAUCAGAGUUCCUACUCACUCCCCCUCAAUCCCUCAAUGAUACAAACUUUAAUUAAGAUUAAAGACAAUUGUGAAGUCACACUUCAAACAACUCUUGAUUGUGCUUAACAGCUUAUCAGAUACACAGCACUCACGCUUAAAAGCUUAGAGUGACACAAACUAUUACAACUUAAUGACACCCCUAUACCAAUCAAUCAUCUCAGUGAUAAUAGCUUGGCUUACAAGUUACGUCUAAUACAAGACUCAAAAAUACAGCAGUGAAGUAUAUUGGACAAAUAAAAUCUUCACGCCUAAACCCCUAAGUUCUGAAGGAAGGAUUGCCAUCCUUUUAUAUGNNNNNNNNNNNNNNNNNNNNNNNNNNNNNNNNNNNNNNNNNNNNNNNNNNNNNNNNNNNNNNNNNNNNNNNNNNNNNNNNNNNNNNNNNNNNNNNNNNNNNNNNNNNNNNNNNNNNNNNNNNNNNNNNNNNNNNNNNNNNNNNNNNNNNNNNNNNNNNNNNNNNNNNNNNNNNNNNNNNNNNNNNNNNNNNNNNNNNNNNNNNNNNNNNNNNNNNNNNNNNNNNNNNNNNNNNNNNNNNNNNNNNNNNNNNNNNNNNNNNNNNNNNNNNNNNNNNNNNNNNNNNNNNNNNNNNNNNNNNNNNNNNNNNNNNNNNNNNNNNNNNNNNNNNNNNNNNNNNNNNNNNNNNNNNNNNNNNNNNNNNNNNNNNNNNNNNNNNNNNNNNNNNNNNNNNNNNNNNNNNNNNNNNNNNNNNNNNNNNNNNNNNNNNNNNNNNNNNNNNNNNNNNNNNNNNNNNNNNNNNNNNNNNNNNNNNNNNNNNNNNNNNNNNNNNNNNNNNNNNNNNNNNNNNNNNNNNNNNNNNNNNNNNNNNNNNNNNNNNNNNNNNNNNNNNNNNNNNNNNNNNNNNNNNNNNNNNNNNNNNNNNNNNNNNNNNNNNNNNNNNNNNNNNNNNNNNNNNNNNNNNNNNNNNNNNNNNNNNNNNNNNNNNNNNNNNNNNNNNNNNNNNNNNNNNNNNNNNNNNNNNNNNNNNNNNNNNNNNNNNNNNNNNNNNNNNNNNNNNNNNNNNNNNNNNNNNNNNNNNNNNNNNNNNNNNNNNNNNNNNNNNNNNNNNNNNNNNNNNNNNNNNNNNNNNNNNNNNNNNNNNNNNNNNNNNNNNNNNNNNNNNNNNNNNNNNNNNNNNNNNNNNNNNNNNNNNNNNNNNNNNNNNNNNNNNNNNNNNNNNNNNNNNNNNNNNNNNNNNNNNNNNNNNNNNNNNNNNNNNNNNNNNNNNNNNNNNNNNNNNNNNNNNNNNNNNNNNNNNNNNNNNNNNNNNNNNNNNNNNNNNNNNNNNNNNNNNNNNNNNNNNNNNNNNNNNNNNNNNNNNNNNNNNNNNNNNNNNNNNNNNNNNNNNNNNNNNNNNNNNNNNNNNNNNNNNNNNNNNNNNNNNNNNNNNNNNNNNNNNNNNNNNNNNNNNNNNNNNNNNNNNNNNNNNNNNNNNNNNNNNNNNNNNNNNNNNNNNNNNNNNNNNNNNNNNNNNNNNNNNNNNNNNNNNNNNNNNNNNNNNNNNNNNNNNNNNNNNNNNNNNNNNNNNNNNNNNNNNNNNNNNNNNNNNNNNNNNNNNNNNNNNNNNNNNNNNNNNNNNNNNNNNNNNNNNNNNNNNNNNNNNNNNNNNNNNNNNNNNNNNNNNNNNNNNNNNNNNNNNNNNNNNNNNNNNNNNNNNNNNNNNNNNNNNNNNNNNNNNNNNNNNNNNNNNNNNNNNNNNNNNNNNNNNNNNNNNNNNNNNNNNNNNNNNNNNNNNNNNNNNNNNNNNNNNNNNNNNNNNNNNNNNNNNNNNNNNNNNNNNNNNNNNNNNNNNNNNNNNNNNNNNNNNNNNNNNNCUCCACAGCAUGUCAUGACAUCAGUCAAGACAUUAGAAUCCAGCUAGUGUUUUACCAUACAAUGCAGCCAAUUAAACAUCUACAAACUCCCCCUUUGGCAAAUUUUUGGCUAAAACACUUUGGUCUCACAACAGAGUCCAUAGCAGCGGAAAUUUCACAUCUAGCAGGAAAUUAACCUAGCUAAUACACUCAGAGUGGCAGCACACUCACACACAUGGAAGUUAAAUAAAAACUUCACAAACAGCAUACAUACAGAAGUUAAAUAAAAACUUCUAAUUGCAGCACACAUAAACACACUCACACUCAUGGAAGUGGAACAUCAGCUGCAGCACAACCUCUGGAUUAGAGGAUCUUGAAUAUCUGUCCUGAAUAUCUGUUUUGCAAAACAAUCUGUUGUCCUGGGGCAUCACAGGUGUUACUCCCCCUUUUUGUCAAAAAUGUUGCCAAAGCAACACAUUAAAUUACCGACCAACAUAACAGAAUUACACACACAAAUGAUAGAAUUACAUACUUGAUUUUACUUCAUAGUUUCAAUCAAGACAUCACCCACUUGAUCUUGCUUCACAGCUUUGAUCAAGUAGUCACACGUUCUUGCUUUACACCCAUAUCAGAUGCCAUAACUUUGAGUCUGACAUCUUGAACCACUCCUGCAUGAACAUCUUGUUAGGAUAUCCCCUUAACAUCUUGUUACUACACUUGCAGCAAGUAACAUAGCUGUGAGUUGUUGUCCAGUCAUAACACACUUUCAAUUGUUUAAUAGGUUGAGAUAUUAAACAAUACAUCCCAAACAUCAUUGGUUGCUAUAAGUCCUCAGAGAGGCAUAUUCCCACUUUGCCCCUUAAGUUUUCAAACUGAGUAGCAUCCAGAGCCUUUGUAAAUAUGUCAGCCAGUUGAAGUUCAGUGGCUACAUGUUCCAAGGUAAUCACUUUGUCUUCCACCAGAUCUCUGAUGAAGUGAUGUCUAAUGUCAAUAUGUUUGGUCCUGCUGUGUUGGAUGGGAUUCUUGGAAAUAUUGAUGGCACUGAGAUUAUCACAGAACAAUGUCAUGACAUUUUGAGUGACAUUGUACUCAGUGAGCAUCUGUUUCAUCCAAACCAGUUGGGAACAACUGCUUCCAGCAGCUAUGUAUUCAGCCUCUGCAGUGGACAGAGAUACACAAUUCUGCUUCUUGCUGAACCAAGAUAUGAGAUUGUCUCCCAAGAAGAAACAUCCUCCUGAUGUGCUUUUUCUGUCAUCAGCACUCCCAGCCCAGUCAGCAUCACAGUACCCAGAUAGGACAGGCUCAGAACCAUGUGAGUACAGCAUCCCAUAGUCACAAGUCCCAUUGAUGUACUUGAGAAUCCUUUUGACUUGAUUCAAGUGGCUCACUUUAGGCUCUGCUUGGUAUCUAGCACACACUCCAACUGCAUAAGAAAUGUCAGGUCUACUUGCAGUUAGGUAUAGUAGACUGCCUAUCAUGCUUCUAUACAAGCAUUGAUCAACACUAGGCCCUCCAUCAUCUUUGGUUAACUUCAGAUGAGUAGGAGCAGGAGUCCUCUUGUGCCUAGCAUUAUCCAUACCAAACUUCUUAACUAUGUUCUUGGCAUACUUGCUUUGGGAGAGAAACAUAGAGUCCUCCAUUUGGUUUACUUGCAUUCCAAGGAAAUAGGUCAGUUCUCCAACUAGACUCAUUUCAAACUCAGAUUGCAUCUGGUGAACAAAUUGUUUAACCAUUUGUUCUGACAUUCCACCAAAGACUAUAUCAUCAACAUAGAUUUGAGCUAUCAUGAUUUUGCCUUCUUCAUCCUUCACAAACAAGGUUUUAUCUAUGCCACCCUUUCUGUAUCCAUUUGAGGUCAGAAAUUCGGUUAACCUUUCAUACCAAGCUCUGGGUGCUUGCUUCAACCCAUACAAGGCUUUCUUCAACUUGUAUACAUGCUCAGGUUGGUUAGGAUCACAGAACCCUUUGGGUUGUUCCACAUAAACUUCUUCAUUCAGGUAGCCAUUCAAGAAUGCACUCUUCACAUCCAUUUGGAAUAGCUUAAACUUCAGGAUGCAUGCUACCCCCAACAGCAAUCUGAUGGACUCAAGUCUAGCCACAGGAGCAAAUGUCUCAUCAAAGUCUACCCCUUCAACUUGAGUGUAUCCUUGAGCUACUAGUCUUGCUUUAUUCCUAGUAAUUACUCCUUUCUCAUCAGAUUUGUUUUUGUAGAUCCACUUGGUACCAAUGAUGUUGGUCCCUUCAGGUCUUGGAACUAGCUCCCAUACUUCAUUCCUUUUGAACUGCUCAAGUUCCUCUUGCAUGGCAGUGAUCCAGUAUUCAUCAGUCAGGGCUUCUUUCACAUUCUUUGGUUCAACCUUGGAUACAAAGCAGGAAUUUGAGUUUAUUCCCCUUGACCUGGUAGUUACACCACUGGUGGGAUCCCCUAUGAUAAGAUCCUUAGGGUGGUCUUUCUGAAUUCUGAUAGAUGGCACUUUGGUGGUUGCAUCUACUUCACAUUCAGGAGGAGGUUCCUGUACUUCUUCAGACUUGACUGGACUGUCAGUUGAACUGUCAAGGAAUGUUUCAACAUCCUCCAUGACAUCGGUUCCUUCCUCUUUAUCAUCCACAAUGACAUUUAUGGAUUCCAUCAGGACAUUGGUCCUGUAGUUGAACACUCUAUAGGCUCUGCUGUUAGUGGAGUAUCCCAGAAAUACGCCUUCAUCACUUUUGGGAUCUAGCUUCCUUCUCUGUUCACGAUCUGUGAGAAUGUAGCAUUUACUUCCAAAAAUAUGAAAGUACUUCACAGUGGGUUUUCUGCCCUUCCAUAUUUCAUACAGAGUGGAGGAGGUUCCUUUUCUCAAGGUGACUCUGUUGUGAACAUAGCACGCGGUAUUCAUUGCUUCAGCCCAAAAGUGCAUAGGGAGCUUCUUUGCAUGAAUCAUUGCUCUGGCAGAUUCUUGAAUAGUUCUAUUUUUUCUUUCAACUAUCCCAUUCUGCUGAGGAGUUAUAGGGGAGGAGAACUCAUGACUUAUUCCUUCAGACGAGCAAAACUCAUCAAACUUGGAAUUCUUGAACUCCGUACCAUGAUCACUUCUAAUCCGGACCACACAACUGUCCUUUUCCCUUUGAAGUCUUAUGCACAGAUCUUUGAAGACAUCAAAUGUAUCUGACUUCUCUCUGAUGAAGCUUAUCCACGUGUAUCUGGAAUGGUCAUCAACCACCACGUAAGCAUACUUCUUCCCACCAAGACUUUCAACCUGCAUAGGUCCCAUUAGGUCCAUGUGCAACAGUUCCAGAACUCUGGAGGUUGUGGAAUGUCCCAGCUUCGGGUGUGACAUCUUGGUUUGCUUGCCCACCUGGCAUUCUCCACAGACUCUUCCUUCAUCAAUCAGAAGCUUUGGAAUUCCUCUGACUGCUUCCUUGGAUAUGAUCUUCUUCAUUCCCCGUAAGUGGAGAUGUCCAAGUCUUCUAUGCCACAGCUUCACCUCCUGUUCUUCCUUGGCUGAGGAGCAUGUUGUGGAAAAGUUAGAGAGAUCAGGUUCCCACAGGUAGCAGUUGUCUUUGGACCUGGUUCCUCUCAUAACUUCCUGAUUGUCACCAUUUGUCACAAUGCACAGCUCCUUAGUAAACUGAACAUGAAAACCUUGAUCACACAGCUGACUUAUGCUGAUGAGGUUUGCAGUUAGUCCUCUUACUAACAGCACAUUGUUCAGUUUUGGCACUCCAGAACAGUCCAGUUUGCCCACACCUCUUAUUUUUCCUUUGGCACCAUCACCAAAAGUCACAUAGCUGGUGGUGUGAGGUUGAAUAUCUACCAGUAGAUUUUCCAUACCAGUCAUAUGUCUUGAGCAUCCACUGUCAAAGUACCAGUCUUCUCUGGUGGAUGCCCUUAGAGCUGUGUGAGCUAACCAAGCAUACCAUUGUUGUUUCUUGAUGGGGGAAUUAUGCCUAUAUGCCUUAUGCUUAGGUCUGACAUGGGGGGCUUGGUUAGGAUAACCAUGCAGCCUGUAACAAAAGGCUUUUAUAUGGCCAAACCUACCACAGUGAUGACAUCCCCAUCGAUGAAAUUUCUUCUUCUGAUGGUUACUCAUCCUGGUUCCCUAAUGUUGAGACAUCGGGUGUGACCUCCGCUUGAAUUUCUGAACUUUAGCCUUUGAGCGUUUGAGUUCAGCUGAGGAUUUUUUCACAAAGCCUAAACCAGACAUGGUUCCAGAUUUCUGUCCCACCUUUAGGAUCUCUUCCAAUGAGUCUGUUCCUUUAUUUAGCAUUCUGAUGGAUUUCGUCAUUUGAUCCAGCUUGGAGGUCAGCAAGAUUAUCUCACCCUUUAGACCAUCUAUGACUGUCAAAUGCUUCUGUUUCUCAUCCUCCAGUUCCUUGAUGAGCUUCUUCUGCUUUUCUCCUUGUACACGCACUUCUGCACUGGUGACACAUAGCUCCUUAAAUGAUGCAGCAAGUUCAUCUAAGGUCAGUUCAUCUGCACUUGAGUCAUCAUCAGUGGCACAAACACUAGUUAGUGCAGUGACAUGUUUAGCAGAUUCUCCUUCAGAUUCACUCUCAGAAUCUCCCUCAGACCAUGUUACAGAUAGCCCCUUCUUUUGCAUCUUGAGGUAAGUAGGACAUUCANNNNNNNNNNNNNNNNNNNNNNNNNNNNNNNNNNNNNNNNNNNNNNNNNNNNNNNNNNNNNNNNNNNNNNNNNNNNNNNNNNNNNNNNNNNNNNNNNNNNNNNNNNNNNNNNNNNNNNNNNNNNNNNNNNNNNNNNNNNNNNNNNNNNNNNNNNNNNNNNNNNNNNNNNNNNNNNNNNNNNNNNNNNNNNNNNNNNNNNNNNNNNNNNNNNNNNNNNNNNNNNNNNNNNNNNNNNNNNNNNNNNNNNNNNNNNNNNNNNNNNNNNNNNNNNNNNNNNNNNNNNNNNNNNNNNNNNNNNNNNNNNNNNNNNNNNNNNNNNNNNNNNNNNNNNNNNNNNNNNNNNNNNNNNNNNNNNNNNNNNNNNNNNNNNNNNNNNNNNNNNNNNNNNNNNNNNNNNNNNNNNNNNNNNNNNNNNNNNNNNNNNNNNNNNNNNNNNNNNNNNNNNNNNNNNNNNNNNNNNNNNNNNNNNNNNNNNNNNNNNNNNNNNNNNNNNNNNNNNNNNNNNNNNNNNNNNNNNNNNNNNNNNNNNNNNNNNNNNNNNNNNNNNNNNNNNNNNNNNNNNNNNNNNNNNNNNNNNNNNNNNNNNNNNNNNNNNNNNNNNNNNNNNNNNNNNNNNNNNNNNNNNNNNNNNNNNNNNNNNNNNNNNNNNNNNNNNNNNNNNNNNNNNNNNNNNNNNNNNNNNNNNNNNNNNNNNNNNNNNNNNNNNNNNNNNNNNNNNNNNNNNNNNNNNNNNNNNNNNNNNNNNNNNNNNNNNNNNNNNNNNNNNNNNNNNNNNNNNNNNNNNNNNNNNNNNNNNNNNNNNNNNNNNNNNNNNNNNNNNNNNNNNNNNNNNNNNNNNNNNNNNNNNNNNNNNNNNNNNNNNNNNNNNNNNNNNNNNNNNNNNNNNNNNNNUGGAUUCCCUUGCCUUGGUUGAACUUUUCUUCAGAAGUUGAUCUUUUCCUGAUGUCAGACGAGAUGUUCUUGACAUUUGGUCUACCUCUUUGAUCAAUCUUCUUCACGAACUUGUUGAAAUGUCUCCCAAGCAUGGCUAUGGCUUCUGAUAUGCUUUCAUCACCUCCAGUAUAUCCUGCUUCUGACUCCUCUUCAGUAUUUGAUACAAAAGCUACGCUUUUGUUCUUCUUUUCAACAUUCUCACACAAGCCCAUUUCAAAGGUUUGGAGAGAACCAAUGAGCUCAUCCACCUUCAUAUUGCAGAUCUCCUGAGCCUCUUCUAUUGCAGUGACCUUCAUGGCAAAUCUCUUAGGUAACGACCUGAGAAUCUUUCUUACAAGUUUCGCUUCAGCCAUUUUCUCACCUAAGCCACCAGAGGUGUUUGAAAUCUCAAGAAUAUUCAUGUGAAAUUCAUGAAUAGUCCCAUCCUCUUUCAUCCUCAGAUUUUCAAACUUGGUGGUCAGCAUCUGUAGUUUGGACAUCUUCACUUUGGAGGUACCUUCAUGAGUUAUCUUGAGGGUAUCCCAAACUUCCUUAGCCAGUUCACAGUGGUGCACCAACCUGAAUAUGUUCUUACUGAUUCCAUUGAACAAUGCAUUCAAGGCCUUAGAAUUUCCAAGGGCUAAUGCCUCUUGCUCCUUGUCCCACUCUUCUUCAGGAAUUUGCACGCUGACUCCAUCUUCACCUGUCUUCGUUGGAUGUUCCCAUCCUUUGUUGACAGCUCUCCAGACUUUGCUAUCUAGAGAUCUUAAGAAGGCUAUCAUACGAGGCUUCCAGUCAUCAUAGUUAGAACCAUCCAGCAUGGGUGGUCUAUUUGAGUGUCCUAUAUCCUUGUCCAUGGUACUAGAAAGUAACUUCCCUAGAUCUCACCCAGAAAUUAACAGGCAGGGUGCCUGCUCUGAUGCCAAUUGAAAUUCUAGUUAUCAGACUUUCGAUGUCACACGGGUUGUUAUGACAUCCAAUUCUGCACAGACAAGAAUUAUGCAGAACUUAAAAGUAAGUGCAGUAAAUAACACAAGUAAUUGUUUACCCAGUUCAGUCCAACAUGACCUACGUCUGGGGGCUACCAAGCCAGGGAGGAAAUCCACUAUUAGUAGUAUUAAUUCAGACCUUAAACCAACUGUUUAACCCUAUCACUUAAUACCUACCCAAUGCAAUUUCAAUCUUACACUAAGAUCAGAGUUCCUACUCACUCCCCCUCAAUCACCUCAGUGAUUACAACCUUUAAUUAAGAUUAAAGAUAAUUAUGAAGUCACACUUCAAACAACUCUUGAUUGUGCUUAACAGCUUUAAUCAAGAUACACAACACUCACGCUUAAAAGCUUAGAGUGACACAACACUUACAACUCAAUGAACACCCUAUACCAAUGCAAUCAUCUACGUGAUAAUAGCUUGGCUUACAAGAUACGUCUAAUACAAGACACACAAAAAUACAGCAGUGAAGUAAAUUGGACAAAUAAAAUCUUCACGCCUAAAACCCCUAAGUUCUGAAAGAAGGAUUGCCAUCCUUUUAUAUUGCAGCACUUGGGCCUUGUACUUGUAUUUCCUGAAUUUAAGGUCAAGCGAGUUAACCUAAAUUCCACAACUAGGUUACUAACAAAUAGGCUAUUUGUUAGGUUCAUUAAUUGUAGCUUAGUUGUUGGUUUCCUGGAUUUUAGCUCAGCUGUUGACUUCCUGAAGAAUAGCCUGAGAAAAAUGCUGAAACAGAAAAACUAAACAACCUACAAUUUAGCAUACGCUGUCAGGAAUGAAUGUCACAACAUUCAGUUUGACGUCCAAAACAUAGACCAUAUGCUAAGUCUGUUUUUCCUGAAAACAGACUGUACAAAUUUGUUGUACUGUACAGAACCAAUCUGUCCAUACUUCAGUAUCAGCGUACAUUAAUAAAUGUCAAAACAUCCAAUUUGACAUUCACACAUAGAGCCUUACAUCAGGUCUGUUAUCCUCUUGAUAAGCAGACUGAGCUGCAUACUGAAAUGUAGCAGAAAACCAAUCUGCCUAUUGUUCAGUAUAUGCUGUCAAUGAUGAAUGUCAUAACAUCCAGUUUGACAUUCAGACAGUAGGCCUUAUGCCAGGUCUGUUAUUUCCUUGAUAAACAGACUGAAAAUAAAUACUGAGUUAUGGCAGAACACCAACUGUUCUAUUCCUCAGUAUCUGUUGACAGGGAUGAAUGUCAUAACAUCCAGUUUAACAUUCAAUAAAUCCUGUAUUAGCUAAACCUGCAGUAUACUACUCAAAAUGUCAUGACAUCAGCCAAGACAUCAGAGUACAGCUAGAUAUUCUAACAUACAAUGCAGUCAAACAAACAUCUCCACAGCAUGUCAUGACAUCAGUCAAGACAUUAGAAUCCAGCUAGUGUUUUACCAUACAAUGCAGCCAAUUAAACAUCUACACUUUUAAAAACCAUACCCAACUGGAAUUUGAUGGCCUCACCACUUUUAUAACUUGGAAAAGUCUCUUACUUUUGCUCAUCCUCACUUUCAGCAGGUGUGUGCAAUUGAUCAGAAUCCUCACCAUGAUUUUGUUCAAACCCAACUGGAAUUUGAUGGCCUCACCACUUUUAUAACUUGGAAAAGUCUCUUACUACAACAUUGCCAUCUUUGUCAUUGUUAACUUCAACAUCAUCAUUAACAUCAAAUCCACGAACUACCUCCGCCUCAUCUACUAUCUGAUGGUUAUCAAGCGUGUGCUCCACAUACAGAUCAACAAAGUUAAAUCCACUAAGAUCUUCAAUGAGUUUCAACAUAUCAACAUCACAAUUUAGGGGUCUAAGUCCGCUACUAAUGCUAAACAUAAGGUUCCAAUACCACAAACAUUUCUUGUUAAAAUAACCCUCACUUUUAAUCAAAGACUCCAAAUCCAUAUAGGAUAAAUACUCAACAUCCAUCUUUCAACUCAUUUAUGUCACUACCUCACCCACAUACCAUUUAACAUGGGAGUGUACAAGUUCCCCUUGUGAUGAAAUCUUAAUCUAAUACUGUGAAUCUUAGUUGGUUUGUAAAUGAUUUUUAACAUGCAUAUUAGAUUAAACACAUGGGUCCACAAAACGUGAAAUUAAAGGUCCAUUAACCAAGCAUAUGGUUAACAUACAAUUGACAGAAAUCUAGGGUUUGUACCUGUGGACCACAUUUAGAAAUAACACACAUACAUCAGACAAAACUUCACCUCAUCGUCUCUUUUCCAUGAAUGUCAUAGGCUGUUCUUCAUUGGAGAUAUGUGUCGCCUGCAAACAAACGGAACAAGGUGAUUAGUGUUUCGAACUGAAAAGGUACAAAUUUGUAACAAGGAUUCAGAAGGAAACUUGAAAGACAUGGUGUAGAUGUAAGACAGGGUGUAGGAAUAUCAUAACUGUAUUAAUAUUUCUUGAUAAAUAUAUAACAUUAUUAAAAUAUUUUAUUAAGUACGGAUACGAUACUCGAUGUGGGUACGAGUACCAAUACGAAAUACGAUAUUUAAAAAAAUCAUAGUACGAGUACAUGAAUAAAACAUAAGAGUUUACUAAAAUAUAUGAUGUGAGAAUUAAAUUAUUCAGUUUCUAACAAAAGACCAUUUUAAAAAUUAAAAAGAAUAAAAAAUAAUAAUAAUAUAUAAUAACAAAGAAAUUAUAAUACAAAAAUAUACACGGGGUUCAUAUAUGAGAAAAUACAAAAUUUCAAUCGAAACACAAUACUAUGAAUGUGUUACAUAUGUCUAAUACGGGUGUGUAUCCGAUACUUUAUAUUUUAGAAGUACUCAUGUUUUAGAUUGGUUGGACAUAAUUGGUGGGUAAUAUGCAAGAGAUCAAUUCACUUAAAUUUUAGAGAAAAAAAAAACUCUCG
rnacentral:lncRNA from 1 species